AAACAAAAAAAAAAAUUAAAGCAACAAGGGAAUAUAUAUUUAUAAUAAAUGAGUGAAGGUUUUCUGUCAUAAAGAUAAAAUAAAAGAGAGUAGGCCAACACAUUAAUUUUUAAAAUCUACUAUUAAUCUAAAUACAGUAGUAAGCAGGGUUGUUGAAGUCUCUCUACUGAAUUUUGAAGCCAGACUGUAGGAGUGUUGUCACUUUGCUUUGAAAGUGUGCUUCUAGUCUUGUAGCACAUUUGUAAUAUAUGGUUUUUGGAGGAUUAUAGGUUCGUGCAUUCUCAAACAUUCUUCUGGCAUCCGCGAGAAACAUCUCAAAUGUGACGUAAUAUUGUUCUGACUCCAGCCUCUCACUCAUUGUCUUUAGAUCCAUCGGAUUCUUGAUGAUUUCAUAAUAACCAGGAACACUCAGUGCAUCAACAGGCUCCUUAAAUGGCCAAGCAUCAGGGUGAUCAUGCAUUUCCUUUAGAAUUGACCGCAUAAACUCAGUUAAAUGUUUUAGGUUUGUAGCAUGGUCAGUAGAACCAUCUAAAGCUCUAAACCGCGAGUGACCGUACAUAUCAGGAGUCCAUUUAGCCUCUUUCAAACCAGGGAUGUCAUCAACAAUUCUAUUAGGAAUAACUCCAUCUUCUGAUCUCUUCUGAAAAUCAAUUCCAGCAUAAACAAUAUUGUGACAGUUUGAUAGUUCUCUAAUCUUUUCAAAUAGUGCCUGUCUUUGCCGACGGAUCAUAGUUGUUAAAUCAGUAUAAGGAAUCUUUGGAUCAAGCUUACAUUCCAUGAGAGUUCCCCCAUCAUAAUCCUUUAUAUAACCUUCCCAUCGAUCUUUCUCCAAGUGAAUCUCUUUUGUAAAACCUUGUUUGAUGAAAUAGCCAAUAGCAUUAUUAUCAGCAUACGUGAGAAAAUGUGUCAGUCCAUCUACAUCACGUGCAUACUGUUUCAAGUGAUUCAUCAAUCUGGUACCAUAACCUUUUACUUGUCGAUCAUCACUAAUUGCACAAAAGGCUAUCUCAGCGAACCUCUGAUUUGCAUAUGGACGAUAUGUAACGCCUCCAACAACGCGAUUAGGCUCCCUUAUAACCAUUAUAGACUUAUGGUUCCUAUCCAUAAUAAGUCGGACAAUGUACUCCUUUGGCAUAUUGGGAAGUUGUCUGGCAAAUAUAUUCUUUAAUGCUAUCAACGAAACCAUAUGGUCAUCAACACCAUCAUUGCACACGCAUACAAAUUUGAGUAAUCCAGAUUCUUCCUCUUUCUUAAGACUCUCUUCCCUGGCACUGUAACCACCUCUUAUCUGCAAGUUUUCAGUGAAUAUAUUUGUUGCGGCUUCGUCCUUAACCACAAAGUCGGGGACAGAACCGGAAGUAGUGGCCAAACUGUUGACAGAACCGGUGAAGUUGUGCAUCGAAGAGUCGCAAGAAGGGUGGAAUGGAGGCGAGUGAUCCUCGGACAGGUGUUUGCGCUUGUGGAUGGAAGAAGUGGCGAAGGCCGAAGGGCCAGUCUGCGGUUCCAUCUUAGGGUUUUACUCUCUACUUUGUUUUUUUAGGGUUUUAUCUCUACUCUGAUUUUUAGGGUUUUUACUCAUCAAUUGAUUGAUAUGUUUUUUAUUUAUAAGAAUAAACGUGGGCUUUUUCUUUACCGAGCAUGGACUUUGUUUGACUUGCUAUUAUAAAACAUGUGUUAAAUUUUCUGUACUAUACAUCGAAUAUAAUUCUAUAAAAAAAAAAUAAAAAAAAACUAACUGAAUAUAAAUUAUUUCAAUAAAAAAAACCUACUAAAAAAUAAAUUAUAUAUUUUUUUGAAAAAAAUAAACGAUAUUCAUUCAAAUUGAUAGAAUACAUUCGAUACAAUGCAAAUUCAAAGUCACUUAAAACAAAACGGAUGAACCACGAACAAACUCACAACAUUCAUGUUAAUAACACAAAACAACAUAACAUAUGUGCCUACAAAUAUGUCUAUAUUCAAGCCACCGAAAUACUCAUAUUUUCGAAUUUACAACGUUGAUGAUACAAAAUUCAUUGAAUGAAUCUUCGCAUGUUAUACUUAUUGAAUAUAAUUUAUUUCUAAAAAAACUCAUUUAAUAUACAUAAAACUACUAUAAAAUAAUUUAUACAUGUACUCUCCUGAAAAAAUGAUACAUGUACUUGCCUCAAUUCAUUCUAAAAAAUGUAUUUGCCUCAAUAAAAGUAUUUUAAUUGAGAGCUUCUAGAGUGAAGUCAGAAAAUUAACUUUUUUAGUACGGUCGUUUAAUAUAAACAAUUAGGUUAUUGUCGAUGCCAUGUCAUAUAUUACAAGUAGAUGAUAUACAUUAUCAUAUGUGGAUUUAAUAACUUUUAAAUAUUGCAAACCAGUCCAUAAUUAUCUUUAAACUUUCUUGAGGGGAAUUACCUUUAAACUUAUUAAUUUAAAGUUAUUACAAGAUAAAUAAUAUUUAAAUUAAUUUAGACUUAUUAAAAAAAUUAUAUAUUAUAUCUAUCUAUCUACUAUGGUAUCUUCAUAUUUAGUUUUUUCAUAAACUACCUCAACAAGCUUGUUAAUAAUAAAUAAAAGCUUACUUUUUUGCAUAAGUUGUUUUACAUAAGCUCAAAAUAAGCUCAAUCCAAACGGGACCUAGUGCAAUUAAAAAAUUUCCUCUUCUAAUUUUAUUUGAAUUUAACCUUCUUGUUCAUACGUAAAGUCAAACUCAAUUGUGUAGGUGUCAUCGUGUUCGUACCAUGAAAUCCAUACUUAUAUCUUAACACAUUCUUCUCCUUCGUAUCUUUCUUCUCAUAUUCGAACUGGUGGUAAUCUGUUGUUGUGAAAUAGAAGAAUUGCUCAGUAGUAUUGUGAUGAGAUCAAGAGUUCAAUAAGCAUGUGAAAGAAAACCUAUAAGAAAUUAACAUGACAAGAAGCUUUAGUGGACUGAUUACUACUAAAUAAAACAAACAUUAAAAGUCCAAUUUUUUUCAUUUUAAUAUGUAAUUUUCGUUUUUAUUUUUAGGUGGAUUUUUAGAUGAUCUUUUGCAUUCUCCUAGCCUCUCUAAAUGCUUCAUAGUGCUCUGAGUCAUUAUAGUGGCUAGUGGGAAUUUUAGUCAUGUAAGUGCCUAUUUUAUAGGUAAUAAACAUGCACUUAUCAAUGUAUUUGAUAAAUGCAUGGCGGUGAGAUUUAUUUCUAGUUUUUCAAGCCUAGGCUAUAAAUAAGAAGUUCAUGUACUUCUCAAAUCUUAAUUUGAAGAAUUAAUCAAUUUGAGAGUUUUCUACUUUGUGAGAACUUUUCAUUUGUUCUUGGGUCAAGAACUUUUAUAGUGUUGGUUCUACCGGCAGGUCGCGGUUAGGGUCACACUUUUUGAUAACUUUGAUUCUAUCGACAGGUCACGGUUAGGGUUAAGUUCCUUACCAAUUUUCAAGACGGUCCUAUAGUCGGUCACUUAUCAGUUGUUAUCAGAAACACCAGCUCUUUAAAUCAGGUGUUGUCUAUCAUCUAUCACCUUAUUUUGUUCAAAACAAAAAAAAAUUGUUCCGUUGUUGCUUGUUUGGAUUUAGGGCAAAUCCUCUUUAAGAGGGGGAGAAUGAUGAAAUCAAGAGUUCACUAAGCAUGUGGAAGGAAACCUAUAAGAAAUUCGCAUGACAAUAAGCUUUAGUGGGCUGAUUAGUGAUAAAUAAAACAACCAUUAAAAGUCCAAUUUUCUUCAUUUUAAUAUGUAAUUUUCGUUUUUAUUUUUGGGUGGAUUUUUAGAUGAUCUUUUGUAUUCUUAAGCCUCUUUAAAUGCUUCAAAGUAGUGCUCUAAGUCAUUAUAGUGGCUAGUGAGAAUUUUAUUCAUGAUAGUGCCUAUUUUCUAAGUAGAAAACAUGCACUUAUCAAUGUAUCUUAUAAAUGCAUGGUAGUGAGAAUUUAUUUCUAGUUUUUCAAGCCUGGGCUAUAAAUAAGAAACUCAUGUACUUCUCAAAUUACAAUUUGAAGAAUUAAUCAAUUUGAGGUUUUCUAUUUUGUGAAUACUUUUUCUUUGUUCUUGGGUCAAUAACUUUUAUAGUGUUGGUUCUCCCGGCAGGUCGCGGUUUGGGUCACACUUUUUGAUAACUUUGAUUCUACCGACAUGUCGCAGUAGGGUCAAGUUCCUAGCUUGUUUUGAAGACGGUCCUAGUCGGUCACUUAUCACUUUGUCUUGCUGUUGGUUGAGUUUGUUUGAAGUUGUCUCUGUUCGCAAUAUAUAAUUAUCGGGUACCUAUUCAAGUUUCAUGAGUAAGAUUUAGAGAUUCAUAGUAAAUUAUGACACAGUGGAUUAAGGUUUAUGGUUUGAAUUGUUGUAUCAAUUUCCCCUAAUUAUGGUUAAGGUUUUUCCUAUUGUAUAAUAUUUUAAUAUUCUUAAUUUGGACAUUGUACAAUAAUGGUUUAGGGUUUGAAUUGUUGUAUCAAUUUCCCCAAUAUUGAUUAGGAUUUUCCCCGUUAUUAUAUAGAAUUUGAAAAUUCUGGAUCUGAACAUUGUAUAGUAAUUACUAAGGUUCGAAUUGUUGUAUCAAUUUCCUCGAUUUUUAUUAGGGUUUUCCCUAUUGUAUAUAAAUCCUCACGACCCCAUUGCGAGUGUUAACUCCUACCACCCAACCUUUAUUGACCCAUUAUGUUUUACUCCAUAAAAGGAAAAAACACAAACACACACACAAUUUUAGGUUAAUUAUAUUUUUUGUCCAUGUAAAUAUUUCAACUUUUUAUCUUAGUUCCCUUAAAAUUAUUCGAUGAUUUUUAGUCCUCCAGACGUUUCUGUUCACAUUUUUGGUCCCCAUGUUCAAAUGGGAGUAAUAGCGGAUAGUGUAGCAGUGCCACAUUGUAAGUUUUUAAUGAUCAUGCAUUGACUAGACUUUUUUUUUUCUCUGCAAUAUCCUAAAUAAAUUCAAAUUAAAAUAAAAGAAAAUACAAGAUACUUAGGGCAUAUACCUAACCCAGUCAAACCACGUAAUUAGCCCAAACGGGUGUACAACCAAUCCAAAUACAACAAAAGUGGUUCAAAAGACUCUUUCAAGCACGAACAAUAUGAAAUCGAAGACUAAUACUGAUAUUGAGGAGAUCAAUGCGUUGGAGGCGAACCUGAAUUCUUGAAACCUUGAAAUCUCAACAAAUCUGAAUAAAUCAGAAAAUCUAAGAAAGAGAACACCCACUAUCCAAGGCAAUAAUUGCUUAAAACGAACCAAUCCAUCCACCCGCUAGGAGGGUGACAUAUCUGAAACACCCAAUCUCGAGUCCACCUCACGAACGAAACCAACUAAGCUGACAGCGGCGCUCUGCAAUAAUCUUACUUUAAAAUUGAAACAACUUCAAACAGAGGAGGGAGGGGGAUCCCAUAUCCAAUGAAAAAAAUUGCCGCCACAAACCAUCGACAAAUGACAACUUAAAAGGCUUCAAUCCUCGCCCUAAAAAAGGAUAAAAACUUGCAGACAAACAACAUGGAUUUACACUCACCAUGAUAACUAAUCGUGAUAGAGCCAACAAUUUGAGGAGAAGAGGUGAUGGCGUCGAGGGAGAGCGCACCAUGCAAUUGCUGUUACAUCGAAUCAGAAUGAUUUGGAUAUGUUAGAGAAGAGAAAUGAUGGUGUUAGUGGACAGUGGUAGUCAGGUGAACGAAGUUUGGAUUCUGAAAGGAAGGAAGAUAUGAUACUUUUGUUGAAGUCGGAUGAGUGGUGGUGAUGAGAAGAGAGCUUUUCUUCUCUAAGGAGAUUACAUAAAUGAAGUCAAGAUCGAAAUCCAGUGCACUGACUGGACAUGCCACGUAGGAUAUUAUGCUAUAUUUUUACUAAAAUAACUAAAAAAUAAUUAAUUUGGUGAAUUUAAUUCCGGAUCAUCUUUAUCCCUAAUUUUCCGUAAUUCUACAUCUCAUCAUGGUGUUCAACAUUUCAUCUCCAUAUUUAAUGCAUAUCUUACAAUUUUGCAAUAUAAUUUUGUUUAAACUCGAUAACUGGUCUAAGGACCGACUAAUUUGAGGGGUUCAAUCUCCCUAUCUACUUGCAAUGGUCUCCAAAAUUGGAAUUGAGAGCUAAAAACACGCAUGCAACAUAUCCAUUUACAAUUGGGGUGAGUGGAAGUUGCAAGUCCAACCAACAAUGGAAGGUGGAGACAUGGAUUCACUAUUUGGAUGAAUGUAUUGUUCAAGCCUUCUACCCAAAUUAACCCAGGAGAGGAGGAGAAUCAACCGGACAACAAUCAUGGUGAUGAUUCUGAAUUUGAUACAAUAACAAACAACCACAUGAAACAACAUUUAACCUUCAAUUGUAGUGUUAGCUCCCGAUGGGGACACUAUCAACGUUCAUUUAGAAUCGACUUAAUCCACACUACAUUAAUUUAUAAUCUUUCUUUUUAAAAAAUACUAGAAUCGGCCUAACCGAGGCUACUCGUUGCUAGGACUCAUAAAUUAUAUAGAGUAGUCUAUAGUUUUUUAUUUUUAUUUUUAAGAAGUCGUUAUUACCUCUUUUUACUUAAGUCAACAAAAAUUACACACUUUUUUUUUUUUUUUUUUUCAUCUUUUCAUUAACUAAAAAAACAAAAACCUCAACACUCUCUAGAAACCUUUACGCCCUCUCUUGCUCCAUUCGAAAACUCAGAAUUAUUCGUUCCCCUUUAACACCCAGAAACCCUCCUUCAUUGUGAAUCUCCCCUUUUCAGGUAACGAACGAUUCAAUGAUUCUCCUUUCAAUUACCUUUCGAUUUUUCUUGAUUCGAUUAUCUCCCUUUACCAUUUCUUAUUUAUUUAAUUCAUCUAUGUUUGUUAAUCCUAAAAUCUAGUGUUGAACUUGAAUGAGCUUGUGGGUUGUGACUAAUUUUUCUUAAAGAUAAAUAAAAACUUCAACUUUGAUUUAACCUUUUUUGUGACUAAGCUAUGCAUUUGAUUGGAUUUAGUGUUCAAUUUCAUGUUAGAGAAGUGACAGUGCUUAUUAUUUGAUUUGGAUUUAUGAAUUGUUGAUUGGUUCAUUUUAGCACCGACGUCUAUAACAUGUUUUUAUAAUCAUUUGCAAUUUUUAAAAUGAACCUUGUAUGAAGAAAGAAAGUGUUUUUGAGACAUGAAGCUACAUUUACACUUUCAUUCUCAUAAAUUGUCACUGGUGUUUAGGCGUCAGUGCCGUGUUCGUGAUUCUGAUUAUGGUUAUGAUGCAUCUAAAUUGUUUUCUAGAGUUUUCGUUUUUAUUCAAUUAUUAGUGAUUAGUGAAUGCAUAUCACACACCUAGGAGGAAUGCAAAUUCUACCAUUUUAAAAUACCUUCAUUAUUUGUAUAGGGAUAAGCCAAGAUACUAAGGAUUUUUUCUAUGAGCUGUUUAUAGACCAUAAUUUUGAUGGUAUUGUUGAUCAUUCAUUGUUCUGUUAUUAACACGCUGGUGUAAUCUGGUAUGCAAUGGUAAAUGUGUAUUCUUUCAAAUGUUGAUCAUAUUUUCCGGGCUGUGGAAUCAUUAUUUUAAAGACAGUUUACUAACUGAACCAAACUGUUGUUAACCGUAAUUAAUUGUUAUGAACCGAACCGAACCAUUUCUAAACCCUAAUUUCAUUUCAAAUUCAAUCAAAUUCACCAUCUUCAAUCUUCACCUCUUCAAUCGAAGCUCACUGAUGGCGAGUCUACCUCUUCACCUCAUCUUUCUGUGACAGUGAGCUCACUUCAAUCGAAGCUCAUUCUUCUGCGACUCUAACUUCCACCUCUUCUUCAAAUCAUCUUCUCUGAAGAAUCUAAGGUACAAAUUAGCUUAUGGGUAUGCUUGUUUUGGGUUUCUAGGGUUGAUUUUUGUUUUUGUAUAUAGUUCUUAGUUUUGAUUUCUGGGUAUGCUUUUUUUUGAGCGACAUGUUUCUGGGUAUGCUUAAUUUGUGUUUUUGGAUUUUUACAAAUUAGUUUCUGAGCAUGGUUAAUUUGGGUUUUUGGAAUUUAGUUUCUUGGUAUGCUUGAUUUUGGCUUUGUCUAUUAGUUUCUGGGUAUGAUAUAUUAUACAAUGCGAUUAUUGCUGAGAAAAUUUGUAUGGGAAAAAGCUCAUUUUAGUAUGGUAAAAAGCAUAUUAUGUAACCCUCCUAGCUUCUGUUGUUUGUGUAUAGUUUGUGUAUGACACACUCAGGUUUCAACAGAGAAAUGAAAAUGUGGAUGGAUUUGAGUGUGUGUUUUUGUGUGUGUUAUGUACAAAAACAGAAUUAGAGUAAGGUAUUUAUAUGUGAAAACAAAUGUGUAGUAAUGUGCUCAAUACAAGUAUUUGAAACGUGGCCCUUAGUGAGUUUGAGCUGCUACUUGUCAUCAUGAACAAGGCUAACCGUGUCAACUAUUAGCCUUAUUGUUGAUAUAUCUUGUACACACUUGGCUUAAGCUUUUCUAUAUGUUUAUAGGAUGUGAGGAUUUUGUUUGAGACAAUCAAGUAUUCUUUUGAACUAGAUGAAUAAUGAAUGUUUUUUCAAUUGUUAUUUAAACUAAGAUGCUUUUGUUUUGGUUUCAUUGAACGAUUUAAUUACAUGUUGGCUUCUUCAUUGAUUAAUGAUACACAACUUGAAACUUGGAUGGUUCAUAAUAUGUAUAACAUUUACCAUUUUCUGAAUUGAAUUAGUUGGUUCAACCAAAACGGACCUCGAAUAUUUGGCAGAAUGGUCCAGUUUACGGUCUUCUGUUAGCAUGCCACGUUCUUCUGUUAAACCUUUUGGCUAAUGCAGCUUUAGUUUCCUUGUUUCUUUUCUCUUGAUGAUUUUCCAACUAUGUUUAUUCUUUGUUAAUAGUCUAGGUUAGGGUAAAGUAUCUUGGUGUUGAACCUCCAACAUUUAUGGAACAUGUUUUGUAGGCAGUAACUGUAGCUUGGUUUUGAUAUGAUUUCAUGUGAUAAGCCAUACUUACCUCUUGGCAGUAAUAUGGUUUGUUGUCUUUGAUAGGCUGAUUGUUCGUCGGUUCAAAGACACAUUUUGCAAGAGCUACAUUUCAAUGACAAGAGCAUCAACUUUCUUGUUAUAAUAAUAUUAGAGCCAAAAGAAGAAAAUACAUAGUGAAAACUCUCAUCACCACCAUUAUUCACAAACAGACAUUUAUCAAUGGAUUACACUUAAUAUAAUAAUAAUGUUUCGAAUACCCUGCAAUUAAAUUUCAAAAGGACAAAAAAACACAAUUAAAUUAGCAAAAGGAUAAAAAAAUACAUUUCGGUUCAAAAUUUUGGUUUUGGUUCGGUUCGGUUAGGUUAAUAGGCAAGCAAACGGUUAACCGAACCAUAACUUUGGUUCAAUUCGGUUAGUUCCAAACCUUAAACGGUUCGGUUCAUUUAUUCCGAACCAUUUCAACACUUCGGUUCAGUAAAUAUGGUUAACCGAACCAUGCCCACCUCUAGUGGUCAUCCAUCGUUAUGUUCUAAUAUCUUAAUGAGCUGAUAUUGUUUAAUAAGAUUGAGUUUUUAAUGAAAAUACACAUUAUUUUUUAAUCUAGUGUAUACUUCUACCAUUAGCAAGUAGAAAAAAAUUCAGAAUUAUUUCAUCAAGACUCGAUAAUUUACCAAUUCACAUUCAGAUGAUGUGAAUGUGUGCAUUAAACUGGAUUCACAUUGUAUGCUGUAGCCAUCUGUUUCUGCUGCAUAAUCUGUUCUUAUGUUUCUUCUUAUGCAGUGUUAAGAAUGCAAGAUCACUAGCUUAUUUUUAAAAUUUUUCUGAACAAGUUUCUGGUUUAUUUAAUACUUCAGUGAAUUGUUUGAGUUUGUAUACUGAUUGUAUAUACACUUAAACUAUACUGCCUGUAAAGUACUUCAGCUAAUCCUUUUGUGACUAAGCUCUGCAUUUGAUUGAUUUUGGUGUUUCAUUUCAUGUUAGACAAGUGAAAGUGCUUAUUAUUUGGUUUGGACUUUUUAAUUGUUGAUUGGUUCAUUUGCCAGUGUGGCAUUGCCACAUCAUCUGCCAUUAGCCCCGUUUAACUGUUUGGACCGAAAGUGUGGACUGAAUAUUUUGUGUUGAGUUGAUGAAAAAUUUUAGAGGUCGAAACGAGAAGUUGGGAUAUUUAUAGAGAUCAAAAACAUAUUUAACCCGAAAAUGUCUCUAAAUCAUAUUUUGCCCCCUUUUGUUUGUAUAACCAUGUUAAUGUUUUUUUUCUUUAGAGAUGUUAAUGUUGAUGUUACUGUUAUAACUCAUUCUCUUUCAUCUCUUCUUCUCCAAGGUCACUAGUUCUCUUGCUUUGUUUCGUUUCUACCGAGUCCACCAACUGAACGUUAGUGCCUCACUUUUCCUCUUCGUCUCAAAAACCCUAAAACGCCAAAUAUCUGUCUUUCCUCAACAUGAAUUUCAAAAAGUUUUUAGCUUAAGUUUUUGUGACGAAACCCUUUGUUUCCAUUCGAUUGAUUCAAUUUUCUGAUACUUCACAAUAUAAAAGCAAGGUUUAAUUUUUAAUUAUUAUUAUUAGCACUAGAUUUUAAGGAAGGAAGAAAAAUGGUGUUUGGGCAAGUAGUCAUUGGUCCUCCUGGCUCUGGCAAAACAACUUACUGCAAUGGCAUGUCUCAGUUUCUCAAUCUUAUUGGAAGGUAAAGCUUCACACUUUACAAUAUAUUAUCUUUUUAAUUAAAUUUAGGUUUUUUUUCUUUCUUUCUAAUUUCUACUAAUUUAGGUAUUUAAUUUGCUAAUGUUUUCUACUUUUCAAAUGCAGGAAGGUUGCUGUUGUCAAUUUGGAUCCUGCUAAUGAUUCAUUACCGUAUCCUUCCGUUAAUCUCUUUGAAAUGUUGUUGUUAUUCUUAAAGGUCUCUCUCUUUUUUAGAUGUAUAGUUAAGUUAAUUGAUAUGGUUAACCUUAAUAAUAAAUAUAGAUAUGAAUGUGCUAUUAACAUUGAGGAUCUUGUGAAACUUAGCGAUGUCAUGAUAGAACAUUCUCUUGGUCCUAAUGGGGGUAAGUCUAUUCCUUUUUUGUUGUUUUAAGUAUUUAUUCAUUUUAAAUUUUGUGCUUGUUUACUGUCAUAACCGAGAGAAGAUCAGACUGAGAGUAGAUCAAAUCAAUAGAGGCAGAGGAAGAACUAGAAAAAACUAUUGGGGGUGGGGGAGGGUUGGGUAUUUCAACUGGUUUGUGAUAAGGGAUAAGGAGUUGGAGGUCAUGGGUUCAAACUUGAAUGAAAGAGUAAAUAUUAAUCUAAUAACUAAUUACUAACAUUUACCAUUCAAAAAAAAUAAAUUAGUGAAAUUAUUAAGGAUCUAGAGAUUAAUGAGAUGGAUAGGGGUAUGAUAUAUGAUUGAACAUUAUGAUGGCGUUUGAUCCAUGUAGCCGAUCCCACUUAGUGGGAUAAGGCUUGGUUGUUGAAUGGCAUAACCAAUAGUUCUGUGUGAUGGCACAUUUGAAGUGUAGGCAUGGGUGAUGGUAUAUAGCAUCGGCCCUUUCAGAUUGAAAACGUGUUUCAGUGUUAAUGGUGUGUCUAGUGUUUGCAUCUGUGUUAGUGUUUCAGAGGUAAUGGACAUCAGUUUCAUCAUUUAUAGCGUAUAUGAGAAAUAUAAGAAGUUACCCAAUAUGCAAAUUAAUUGUUCUAUUGAAUGGGCCAACACCACCUUAAUACCUUUUAUUAGAGCCCUGUUUGGAUCAACAACUUAAUUACGCGCUUAUAGCAUAAGCUUUUUUAUUAUAAGUGUUUAUGUAUAAGCUAAUUCUAAAACAAAAGAUAAAAUAUAGCCAAACUGUUCUCAAAUAAGCUAUUAACUAUUUUUAUAAGCUAUCAUGGAAAACUUGUGGGAAUAAGCUAAAAACAGCUUAUGAAACAUGUCAUUAACUGCUUCCAUUAGUUCUUCCAAAAAUCUCACAAGUACUUAUGCCAGAUAAGCUCAAAUAUAAUCUAAACAGACCCUAGGUAUUUGUGUCUUACUGUAUUCAUAUUCUGAAGUUUCACUUGUGUUGUACAAGCAGGUCUUGUAUACUGUAUGGAUUAUCUAGAGAAAAAUAUUGACUGGUUGGAAGCAAAAUUGAAACCUCUUCUGAAAGGUUGUUACAUUACUUUGUAGAUUUACAGCCUAAAUUAUCCUUAAAUGCACUCACAAACUACUAUGAUUCCUAUUCAGCUAAACUACUCUAGCGUUCUGACAAUAUUAUUCACAUUUCAGAUCAUUAUUUACUCUUUGAUUUUCCUGGCCAAGUGGAACUAUUUUUUCUUCAUUCAAAUGCCAAGAAUGUCAUCAUGAAACUCAUAAAGAAAUUAAAUUUAAGGGUAUAGUUCUGUCUUCAACUCUUCCUAGUGUCGAACCAUUAUUUUAAGAACUAAUUUGUAUUUUCAUUCUAUGCAGUUAACGGCAGUGCAUUUGGUUGAUGCUCACCUUUGUAGUGACCCUGGGAAGUACAUCAGUGCAUUGCUUCUAACCUUAUCCACAAUGCUACAUAUGGAACUACCCCACAUAAAUGUCUUGUCAAAAAUUGAUUUAAUUGAGAGCUACGGAAAGCUAGGUGCUGUAAUUAUUUUUGCAUGCUACGGUUAAAUGCUUUUUUUUUUUAAGCUGGUUAUUAUAGUUGACAAAUUUGUAUAUUCAUUUUACCAUUUCAUUGUUGCAGCCUUCAACCUUGAUUUUUAUACAGACGUGCAAGACUUGUCAUAUUUGCAACACAGUCUUGAUAAAGAUCCUCACUCUGCUAAGUACAGGUGUGCUUUGUUGUGUGGAAAUUCUUUACCUACUGACGCUUAAGUGUAACAGUUUUUCUGAGUGUGAUAGUAAUGUAGUAUUUUGUACUCGUUAGAACUUUUGAACUGUUUCCUUUAUUAAAAUGUAGUUUCCUAAGUUUUAUUUUCUUAUUUGUCUUGUCUAUGCUGGUCAUUUCAUGCCAUAUUAAAUUGUUGCUGUGAACAGCGUCAUACUUGAUGAUAGAUGCUAAUGUAAAAUAUGGAAUAGAUAUUAGAUGACAAUGCUCCACGAUUUGGUUAACAUUUUAUUCUCUCUUUUCUCUCUAUGCUGUGCUCCUUUUAUAUUAGCAGCUUAUAAUGAAAUCAAAUAUAUGCUGGAAUCGAGUCAUGUUUUAAUUUUCCUCGUUUGCAAAUGGUGGUUAGGUUUGGUUUAAAUGGGUCAGAUGAAAGUUAUUUUUCUGUCAUGUUAUCCAUAUCAUCCUUAAGAUACACAGUUUUUUUUAUUGAGCAAGUUGUUUUAGAAGAAUUAUGUUUUAUAUUUGCAGAAAGCUCACAAAGGAAUUGUGUGAAGUCGUUGAACACUACAGUCUUGUGAAUUUUACAACCUUAGAUAUUCAGGUACGCCAGAUAUGCCUAAUUUUUUCUUUUGUUCGUAUCAAAUGUUCAGUAGAAAUUCUAAGUUGGAUUAUCCUUUUACAGGACAAAGAGAGUGUAGGGAAUUUAGUGAAGCUGAUAGACAAAACCAAUGGAUACAUAUUUGCCAGCAUAGAUGCAAGUGCUGUUGAGUUUAGCAAGAUUGCUAUGGGAGCUCCUGAUUGGGAUUAUUAUAGAUAUCCUUUUUUUUCUCAUGCAACUAUUCUGACAGUAAAUAACAUCAUUUACCCAGCAAUUGCAUAAUAGAAUUACCAAUCUGCACUUGUAAUCUGAAUAGGUUCUUUCUUUGAAUUCUUAUACUGUUUUUGAACUGUUUUUUUAGUCCUCUAGUAUCAAAAGUGAUGAUGGUAUUGUAUUAUAAGCACAAUAGUUGCCUCCUACACUGCUACGGACUCCAAACUCAUCCUAUUAGUUGGUGGAAAUGACUGAUUGUAACUCGAAGGGUUUAUGUAAAAGCUCUUUAGAAAAUAUUCUUGUUGGCAGAAUGAUGAUAAGUUGAGACCCUUAAUUAGAGGAGAGUUGGGGGAAAUGUAUUGGCCAAUAAUAGUCUUCUAAGGGGUAAGUAGGUGACUGUUCUAAACACACCAACUACUUAACAGGCAGUAAGUUAGUAACUAAUGUUAUAGUUAGUUUACUGUAAGAAUAAAAAGGGUCAAGGCUAGGGAGGAAAGGGUAUAAGAAAUAUAACGAGAAAAUUGUGAGACAUGAACCUCUUAAACCAUCCAGGAAGGCUUUUCAUUCUUUGUAUACAAUAGGCCCAAAAUGCAAGUAUGUAGGAGGAGAGAAGGGGCGUGAGAAUAGUAGAAGGAAUAAAUGGGCCCAAGAAACAAAGCCUACUUGUGUCUGAAAGAAGAAGGAAACAUGAUAUCAGCUGUUGAGGGAAUGGAAGAGAGAGAAGAGCAGAAUGGGUAGAUAGAGAAAAGGUGUCUAAGAAGGGGUACAAGGACCAUGCAGGAGGAGGAGAGGAUAGUAGGUAUAUAGUGGGGAGGAAACCAAGAAGGGUCAUAAUUUUUUGAGUGAUCAUACUUGUUGCUAGGCUGAGUAGAGAAACUGGUUCUUUCUCAGGAAAAGGGAUUCUUCUCGUCUUCUUCCUUUGAUAGGCCCAGAAUGCAAAUAUAUAGAAAUAAAUUAAUGUACCUUUGAGUGCUGAAAAUAAGUGUACUUUAGGCCUAGCCAUCAUGGAGUAUUUAGGCCACAUACUAUAUCGGCAAACGGGUCUUAUCAGACCCUAUAAAAGUGAAGCUUUGUAUUGUAUGUAGUUAUGGCCUACAUCUACACAUACAAAAGGACCAAGAGGGUUCUUAGGCUUGAUGAGCUACCAUAGGUGCUUCGCUCAUGGUAAUGAUGAUUACCAGACUCGUGAAUCAGUUGUUAAAAGGUGGCUUUGUAUGGAAUAAGGACAUGCAAGUAUCAUUUGUGGAUAGUGCGUUUCUGCGCUACACGUAUACUUUUCCUUGUAAACAUGUCACAAGUACAUUUUUUUCCUAACUAUUGUUUGAAUGUCACUAAAGUCAUUAUUAGUCCUAUUUGAAAGAAGUCAUUUAAUUUAACAAUGAGCUAUGUGACCUAGUUCCGGUAGGCAGGUACAUUUAGUCCUUAUUUUUCAACCGAAUGUUAUAAGGCCACCCUUUGAGUGUGUGUGUCGAUAUACAUUUUCUCCACUAUGUUGCUUAUUUUUCUCUGGCCACUCUCCUGGACAUAAUUUUUAAAAACGAUGAGUUUCCCUUAACUCAGCAAUCUACAGUUGCAGAAGUGCAAGAGAAAUACAUAAAGGAUGAUGAAAAUAUUGAUGAUUGAUGUGGAAAUGCUUAUUAUUUUUGGCAGCAGUGCAGGGGAACGACCACUUGGUAAUUUUACUUCAUUUCUUAUUAAGUUGCUUUUGUGUUUUGUAACAUUACUAAUAGCAUGUGAUUCCCAUUUCAGACAUGGACUAUCGUCGUGACAGUGUCUGGUUUACUCAUCCUUAUGGAACAAAAGAUUUUGAGAACAUGGUGGAAGCAGCAGAGCUUUAAGUCAGUUUCAUGAUAUUAUUAGGACCUACCUUUUUGUAUAGAAUCCCUACCUCUUUUUAGUAUUGAACGAUAUUUUUGUUGUUAUUUGAAGCUUCAUUUGAAUUUUUGCACAUGGUGUAGUUUUCCAACAACUUCUUUGGUUCUUCAUUCAAAAACUUCACACAAAGUAUUCAACAACCGUAAAGGAAAAUUCUCCAUUAUAAAAUCAGCUCAAACUAUAAAUAACGAAAAGGAAAAUGAAGAAAAAAUAACCACAAAAAAUAUGAAUUCAAAAAAAUACCUCAACAUCAGAGGUAUAAACUGAGAACAAUCGUUUUUAAUCAAAUUAUGAAUUUGAUUAUCAUGAAUAGCAAGGAAGUGUUCCCUGGUUCCAUCACAUACAUGAACUUCAACUUUGAAUUUGAAAUGUAGGGAUAAUUUUUUUUACUGUAGUUAAAAUUAAGGCUUAAAUGCUCUUUUGGUCCCUUAACUAUUUAAUUGGUAUCGCUUUGGUCCCUUAACUAAAAAAAAAGAUUGUUUGAGGAUUUUAAGUUUUUUUUUAGUCUCGUUUUGGUCCCUUCUGUUAGGUUUUCGUUAGAAUUUUAAAAAAAAGUUAACUCCUGGACACGUGUCACCUUGUCAUUGGUUCUGAGUUUUUUUUUUUACAAAAAAAUUAUUAUUUUUUAAAAAAAAAACCCCAAAGCCAAUGACAAAGUGAUACGUGUCCCAGAGUUAACACGUGUCACCUUGUCAUUGGUUCUGAGAAUUUUUUACAAAAAAAUAAAAUAUAUAUAUUAAAAAAAAAUUAUUAUUUUUUUUAUAUAUAAAAAAAUAGAUUUUUUUUGUAAAAAAAAAAAAAUUUCAGAGCCAAUGACAAGGUGACACGUGUCCACACCUAACGUUUUUUAUUAAAACUAACAGAAAUCUAACAGAAGGGACCAAAACGAGACUAAAAAAAAACUUAAAAUCCUCAAACAAUUUUUUUUUUAGUUAAGGGACCAAAGCGAUACCAAUUAAAUAAUUAAGGGACCAAAAGAGCAUUUAAGCCUAAAAUUAAAAUUGAAAACCUUAAAAGAAAUUAAAUAUAAAUAUAUAUAUUCAUAUUUAAGCUUGAAAUCUGUGAUACAAACUUUUUGAAGCAUUGAAAAAAUUGAUACGACAAAUCAUCGUACUGCAUAUCAGUAAAAGGUAAAGUGAUAUUAUUUUUUUCAUGUUUAUCUGUUUGUUGAUAUGAUUUACAAAUUGAUACGACAAAUCAUGUUAUUGCCAUGGAAAAAUACCUUGCUUUAAGUGGGAUGAUACUUCGAAGACAUGAUUUACAAUACUGAACUAAACUUACGAGAAUAUGGUUGAUUAUAUAUCAGUUUUCGAAUAUUCUUCCUAUAUAAAAAUAUAAUAACAGAUAAAGAAACCUUAGAUUAGUACCAAAUGUAGUAAAAAAGUACUAAACCGUUAAUAUAUGUAAAAAUUAUCUUACCUUUUCGUCAACCAAGACAAACUCUAUUGAAUUUACAGAGUUGUUGUUUUUAGAUGGAAAAACAUGCCACAAACAUAUAAUUCUACAUUUGAUACAAAGUGAUUGAAGGCCAAGUUGAAUAUCACGCACACUAAAAUGAGAGAAAGCCAAUUCAUUUCAAUAUGCUGUUAUAGUUCUGAUUCUAUAUAAAUCUACCACGAGUAAUUUAAAUGUAUAUUGUUGCAUAGCUAGCUUCAAUGAUAGAAAGACAAUACAAAAGAAGAUACAUGGUAACUACACAGAUAGCCACAACUAUAUUCAGUAGACGUCCAUCUCCUACGUAGUAGUCACUGAUAGCAUUUAUCCUAGAUUGGAUCAAUGUGAAAUAAUAAUAGAUUAUUUAUAAUUGUUAUAUACUAUGAAGUAAAUAAAAUAAUAUGACUUGACAAUGACAUUAAUAAAAUUCCGAAGUAUUUGUAAAAAGUAAUAGUCAUUUUGGUCUUUAAAAGUACGAUGCGUAAUUACAAUAUUAAAAAUAUUGAUAUAAGAAAAUUUUAAAAUAAUUUUUGAUUGAACACUUGGUUAGUUUAACCCACAUGAGUUGGUCUGAUGAUAUUAGCUUGAGACUUGAGAGUAUGCUCCUUCUCAAUGUCUCAUGUUCGAUUAUCUCUAGUAUUAAUUUCUUAAAAAAAAAAAAACUUGGUUAGUUUAAGUAGUCUCUCAAUUUAAACAUCAACUAUUUUUAUAUAAGGAUAAAUAUGAUAUUAAGGGUGUGUUUGUUUUAAGUUUACCAAAUUUAUUCCUAGGAAUAACAUUCCUUGUAAUAUAAAGAUGAGAAUUUUAUUCCAAGGAAUUUAGGAAAAAUAUGUUUGGUUAACUUUAUAAUAUUCCUAGGAACCAUAAAAAUAGGGAUUAUAAUAGGUAAAUUAUUUAUGAAUUUAUUCCCAUCUCCAUGGGAACUUUAUUCCCACCCUUUUUCUUGGGAAUUUUUUUCUAUUCCCAGGGACAUUUUAUACCAAGGAAUAAAUUUUAGUAAACUUGUAACAAACAUAGGAAUAUACAUUUCUAUCAUUUUAUUCCCGAGAAUCAACAAUUAUAACUUGAAACAAACACACCCUUAGAGAAGUCCUCAAUUAUGGACUAUUUUGAAAUUUUUAUACUUAAAGGACUACUGGCAUUAUUCAUUACACAUUAAAAACAAAAAUGACUAAUACCCUUAUUCAUAAUAAGACUUUGUAAAUUAUAUUAUUAACAUGGCUAAAUAGUUCUCUGGUCCUUUAAGUUUUAAGUUUGUUUUAGAUAGAUUCUUUAAGUUGUUAAAACCUACCAAAAUAAGAUUGUAGUGAUUCACACUUACUAUUUUCCCAAAAAUAAGAGCAAGUUAUUGACGUAAGGUUGGAGUGACUCACCCUCAUUAACACCCCAAGAAUGACCGGGCUUAGCUCUAAAAGGAGGAGGCUAUUGACGUAAGAUGGGAGUGACUCACCGUCACUAACACCUCAAUAAUGACCCGGCUAUCCUCUUAUGAAUAAGUGACUCUAAAGCUGCCAUACAAAGAUGUAUCUGAUGUAUCUAUGUGAAACACCAAAUACUCUCUCCGUUCCUUUUUAAGUGUCAUUUUUAGAAAAUUUUUUUGUUCCUAUUUAACUGUCACUUUCGAAGUUCAAUGCAACAUUAAUGUUGUUUUACCAAUAUUGUCCUUAGUUAUUUAUUGCGGAGAGAGAAAUAUAUGAAAUGAGAUAUUAAAUGAAUAAGGUCAUUAUAGUAAAAAUAUAGCUUAUUGCAUCAAAAGUAGUAUCAAUUGUUGAUUAUCUUGAUUUGUGUAAAAUGUCAAAAUGUGACAAUUAAAAAGGAAUGGAGGUAGUGACUAAGAAAAAUUCCCACCUAGAUUAUGCGAAAGAGUUGACAUUUGAUUCAUAUGUUUAAUUUUCUUUAAGCUUUUGUUUGCACAUGAGAAAUAAGAAGUUGAACCCCCCCCCCCCCCCCCCCCCACACACACACACACACACUUUAUACCAAUAUGGAGUGAAUGAUCCAAGUUGUGUUGAAGUGGGAUAUUGAAUUAGAUUUUUGCUGUGGUAUCCAUACUUGAGAGUUAUCCGUACCUUUUUGAUGUGAUUUCUCAAAACGGUCCUAUAUUUAAAUAUUUAGGGAAGGAGGUAGUACAUAAAAACACGAUAAAGUUGGAUUAUGUUACGAAAGUUAUUAAAACAUGGAUUAUUUAAGACUAAAAUUGAAGGAGGGUAAAUGAUUGAAAGCUUUAAAAUAUCACUUAUUAUUGGUGAUAUUUCGGUUUAAUUCAAUAUAGGGUUAAAUAUAUUUUUGAUCCCUAUAAAUAUACCAACUUUUACUUAGUAUUUUUUAAUGAAAUUGUGCAGAUAUGUGUAGAAUAAUGUAAAAAUAUUUCCCAAAAAAAAAUUAGAAAUUUUUAACAAAAUAUAAAUUUAAUAUGAAUUUUUAACCAUCAAAAAUAUAAAAAUUCAUAUUAAAUUCAUGUUUUGUUAAAAAAUUCUAAAUUUUUUUUAAAGAGAUUCUUUUAAUAUUAUGAAAUUUUCUGUAAAAUCUUAUCCAAAAAUAUGAAUUUUACAUAUGAGUUUACUUUAAAGGAGGGACCAAAAGUGAAGAUGAAAUUUUUUUGAGGGACUAAAAAUUGAAGGAAAAUUUUAUAGGGACUAAAACGAAAAGUUGAUAUAUUUAUAGGGACCAAAAACAUAUUUAACCCUUCAAUAUAUCGUUCACUAGAGUCGUUAAUAUUCUUCAUAUGGAUCUUCCUUUAUGUAGUUUUGCUGAUUAAAGCUCGAUCAAUUAGUAUCAUCUUUUUCUUCAUCAUCACCACCUCCUUCCUUAGUGCCUUCAGCAUUCGCAACAGCUCCCAUCCCCUUCGGCUAAAAUGGUUAGUCCACAUGCCACUAAAUGAAGUUCUAAUAUUUUUUUGGGUUAUGUAAUAACUAUAAAUGAACCGAUUCAUAGUUAUUUAAAUCAGAAAGAUUUAACUCCUUAGAGAAAUAUUUAUGAGUCAAAACAGAUGAUUCUAAAAUAGAUGAAAAAAGGAUUUGGCUGUUGUGUUCUCUUUUCCAUGUAAAGUCUGGAUACAUAUUGAGAGUUCUUGGACCCAUUUCAUAUAAGGUUUAAACCUUUCAUUUAAGCUUGUGUAAUAUAAAUAUUUUUCACGAAAUUUUUCUUUUUAGAGCAUGAUCAAGAUUGGCUAGAAGGCAACAAGGUACUGAUUUUUAAUCCUAUACAUUCUGUUGUCUACUAGAUUCGCUGGGCAAUGCAGGUUCGCCUAUCGAAUCACUCUUGAAUGACAAAUGUUUAAAAAAUUCAAUUAUUUGAAUUUAAGACCUAAGCUUCUCUUGCUAUUUUGUGCACUAUAACAUUUAACCGGUAUCAUGAAUUUGGAAAUAUAGUUUCCUUUCUACAUAUCAAGUUUUACAAUCAAAACCUUCCACAAAAAUGUCAUGGUGAUUUUUGCAUUAAACGAGAACAAAAGUAGCUUUCUAUAUGAAAAUUAUAAGUUAAAAGUAUAAAACAUACCAUGAUGAAGAAUGAUAUGCAAAACUUUGAAGAGAAGUGCAACUAAAAAUGAGAAAAAGGAGUAUUCUUGUUGUUUUGGAUAACUGCAUGCAUGUUUAAUGAGGUGUUAUGCAUAUUCACAAGGAAGAGGUUUACCCAUAGGUUAAAGAUUUGGGAAACCAAAUCCAUGUACAAUAAAAUAGCUUUGAAUGACAAGUUUUCAAAUAAUGGAGUGGUUCAAUUUGGUUUCCAUGACUUCUUUAUUUUUGGUUUUGAUCAAUUUUAUUGAUUAAUUCUGCAAUUUCUGUUUAAUAUUUGCACAGUUUAUAAUAUUCAAAAACAAUUUAAACUAUUUUUUUUGUUUCAGUUCGGUUAACUGAUUUUUUUUGAAUAUGUGGUUCAGUUCAUGAACCAUAUAAGUGGUUACAAUUCUUUUUGAUUUAGUGUAGUUCAGAUCAUCCAUAUGGUUCAAUUAUCCAUAUAUUUGCACACCCCUACUACCAUAUAAACUUUAUGAAGAGAUAACUUCAACAACUACAUAAAACCUAAUAUAACAUAAAAUAUCACAAAAUACUAUUGUAUUAAUCUGAAAUCUCAAUGUCUCAUCAAUUUCCCUAUUUUCUAUUGCAGUGAUGCUUCAUUUGCACAAGAGAGAAAAGACUUUGUCUAAUAUUUCCAAAACUAGCCUUAAACUUCUACCUUGCAUUCAUCAUAACAAAUAUACAAUGGUAUUUUUAAAGCCAUUAAGAAUGUCCACAAUGAAAUUGAAUAUUUUAGAAGCAAACAUUUACAAAGAAACGGAAAUUAUUUAAGUAAACAUCAAAUGUUGGUAUUGUAAAAUCUCAAGAUUGCUUGUAGGAUUAAAAAAUUUGUUCCCAUUAACCAACACAAUUUUUUAAAGGGAAAAGAUUGGUAGACCACCUUCUUUCUAUACCACUUGGGUACACCCCCUUAUGUGGCAGGGAUAUUUUAGAUAUUUCACCAUUUUCUCUUUCAUCGUCCUCUUCUCCUUUCUCUCUCUAAACCCAAAACAGAUCUCUCUCACCACCAUCUGCAACACACAAAUUCCACCAUGCCGACGACUUAAUGUCAAGUUUGUAAAAGGGAGGAGAAAGAAUGAACCUAAGUCGUUCAAAGGUUGAGCAAGGUCAACGAAUGAAAGGUUUCGGUGAGGGUUCCGCAAAGAAUGGUGAGAGAAUUUUGGUGAGGGUUUAAGCGACGGUGACGAGAAAGGAUUGAUGAAUUUGGAUUUUGAUUGACGAUGAGAAAGAGUUUUAGCGGUGGUGGUGAGGGUUAAGUUCGAUGAUGAAUGUUGAUGAUGAAGGUCAAUGAUGAAUGUUCAUGAGACAUUUUCGGACAACCUCAAAGUACACAAGCGACAGUACACGACGGCGACGGCAUCUGUGAAAAUUGUGUUGGAAUUUCUUGCCGGAGAGGUGCGAGAAAAGAACAGGGAUGAGAGACAGAGAAAGACAAGAGUGAAUGAGAUGAGAGAGAACAUUAUUUCUUUUCUUUUUUCUUUUUUGUAUGAUGUAGAUUAUAAAAUCUUUUUUUUUUUUAAUUAUAAAAUUGGCCACAUAAGAGUGGUAGAAGGGUGUUUGUCCACGUAAGGUGCUCUUUUUUAAAUUUGUAUUGUCCUCACUUUCACACUCUUAAGGAGACUUCUCAAUAGUUCACAUAUCCCAAUGGUUCUCCAAGUUAAGCAUGCUUAACUAUGGAAUUUCUACAUUAUACGUUACUAAAGAAAAAAAUGCAAUUUUUAAAAUUUGAUUACUUUAAGUCAUUCUAAAAAACGAAGCAUUUUACUUCUAGUCUAUAAGUAUGUGUCAUUCUAGUAUAUAUUUGGUUCAUUUGCAUAUCAAUUUUUUGAAAGACUAUCAAGAGCCACUCUUUGAUCGUGUCUCUUCCACAUGUGACAUUCAUCUCCCUAAAUCACCACCACGAAGUGUCAUAUACAUGCAAAUGUUGCAAUGAUUUUAAUUAUUCAAAAUUCUUCAUGCAUAAGGGAUUAUAAUAGGUAUAAAUUAAAAUUUUCAUUAAACUAUCAUAAAAAAGGCAAAAUUAUGCCUUUAACAAAUUUAAAACCACCAAAACGCAGUAGUUAUAAUGCAAACAUAGUUUUAUGUUGUUUCAGAAGUCAUACAAAGUUUAAAUAAUUAUUGAAAAUAGCACACCAUCUAGUUUCUUGUUUUGGUUAUCCACCCUAGAGGCCUCCACUCAUUAAACACCAGGAAAAAACAUAAUUAACUCAUCUUGAAGAUCUGUGUGACCCUCCAAAAGUGCAGCAGCCUAAAGAAGUUCAACAAUGUAUGGUUAGAAUGAAUGUCUGAACCACAUGAUUAAAAGAAUAUAUUAUUGUCUAAAUAUUCUUACAAGAGAGGGAAGAAGUUGAAUAUACCUCGUAGUAAGUCUCGAUGUAAGUCUUUUUUCUAUCUGUCAGCAUGUUCAUGAUGUAAAGAAAUGACUUGAAAACAUGACGAUCACCUUCAUACCGAGUCUGCGGAAAGAAAAUAUUCAAUGAUUAUAUUCAAUGAUUAUAAAUAAGUUUUACCUAAGUUCACAAUAAUUAAUAUUAUCAUUUCAAAAUUGUCAUAUCAUUGACAUGUUCUUAUGAAAGAAUUUUAUACACAAGAUUAAAUGAAUAGACAAGUAGUUUGUGGAAUAUAAUUAUGUUUUUUUGGAACCAAGAGGAUCUUAGCCCUAAGAAAAGAAAGCUACACAACAAUUUUUGAAUAAGUUGAAACUCAAUAACAACAAGCAGCAACACAAUGUUGAAUACAAUCAAGCAUAUGGUCAAACCAAAUUUAUGGAUCACCAGAUUCAAAACCGACAAUAACUAAGGAUUAAAAAAAGCAUCCAAUUCAUUGUCGUAAUGAAAAACAUUUGCAUCUCAAUUAAUUAAAGUAACCUUUAAGUUAUGGAGCCCUAUGGAAUCCACAUGGAGCUCCAAGAACCGUAAACCAAUAUCAUGAGGCAAAGACAAGCCGAUAAUGCUAUUUUGAAAAUAGGAAGGCCAAAAUCGCAAGUUAGAGGGCCUAACUUUUGCGAAAGGGUUGAAACUUAGGGGGCCAAUAAUGCUAUUUUGAAAAUAGGGGGGCCAAAAUCGCAAGUUUUACAAACUUGGGGGGCCAAAAGUGCAUUUUAGCCAUAUAAAUUAGAACAUGCUUCCUUAUUUACUUGUCUCCACCAGGAAUACCAAGAAGUUUUCCCCACCAACACUCCAAUAUGUAAAGUUUGUAACGAUGACUUCAUUUUUUAUAUUGAAAUUAAUUUACCCAUCAAAACUAGCUGAGAAAAACAAACAUCAGUCGUUAAUAUGAACCAAGUGCGUCAAAGUAUGCAUGCACACUGAAAACCGCACAACUAAUGCAAAACAAAAACUCAACAACAAUUAUACAAUGAUAACAAAAAGGAUCUCUAAUUGCAUCAUCAGAAAUCAACCAACAAUCAAUCGUCCUUGAUAAUCCCUAAUAAUGGUACACCUUCUUUGUCAGAAGAAACCUCUGAAUGACCCUCAUGUUAUCUUGACCUAAAAAAAUAUUUUUUUUUUCUUUCCAAUUUACCUUUAUUGUGCUUAAUUUAUUUAUUUUAUUAAUGAAAGAAAAUGUUUGGAAAAUAACUUUGAAAAUGAGUGGUUUUUCCCUCCCCCUCCAAUUUGUUGUGUUUUCUUGUAUGUUAAGUUAUUCGCCAUUAUACUUCGCAUUCUCUUUCUCUAAAUAACCCUCCAUGUUGUUACCGAAAUUCGCACAACACAUGAAGAUUGUAGCACUAUACUACAUAGUUCCUAUCCUUGAUCGCAAAUAUGUCUAGCAGUGGUUUAGUAAGAUCAACAUCCACAAAAGCGAGCAUAUUUACUCUUUUAGCAAAUAUGAUUGUAAACAUGAUGUAUUCCACAAAUUCCACAAACGUCAAUUUCCUUAACUUAGGUCCAUAAGUUGUACCACAAGUGGGUGACUUGGGAAAAUGUAACCAAACAAGUUUAAGAAUGAGACUAAAAGUAUAAACUCUAACUAAGGUGUACCUCAUUUGUAUAUAAAAAAAUUACCUUAACUUUGCUGACAAACUCAUUAGCGUGUUCAGGUCCACCAAAUGGCUCAUUCCUUAAUGGAGUUGUGAUAUCCUCCUCUCCACCAAGCAUCAUCUGAGGAGAUUGUGCAUUAAGAGGUUCUAAUUCUUCCGAUGGAAUUGUCAUUUCACAUUCAUCAAGAAUCAUAGGAUCAAGUUGUUCAGUUUCAUGUGAAAUUGGGAUUUGAUAACCACUUGGUGCAAAGAUGUUGAAUCCUGUAAUCAGGUCAUUAUGUCCUUUAAACAACUCUUUCACCUCCAUUACAACAUCAUGGUAAUUAAUCCUAUAAAUCAACAAAAUAAAUAUAUUGAAGUUAAUUUUCGCAAAUAAAAUUAAGAUCCGGCCUCCCGUGGUAAACUAUAAAUAAUAUAGGAAAUUGCACAAAUAGAAAAAUGUAAAUUACCGACCUUAAUUAGAGAUGAAAAAAAUUGGUUUAAAUUUGCAUUUAUUUUACAUAUUUUUUUCGUCCCAAAUAUUGGUCAAGUGAUUGAAAAUUUUGAAGUUAUGCUAAGAAAAAAAUAGUGAUGGAAAGAAUGUGGAACAAGUAAACAUAUGAACUAACCGUUCAUCUUUGUAAUCCUUCAUUAUUUUCAAAAAGUAAGAAUAGUUUUCCAUUUUAUCUCUAAAGACAUCCUUGACUGCCUUAAGAUAUGCAAAGGCAUCAUCUUCGGUUAGUUUCUUACCACCUUGACUCGUACUCAUCUUUGUUUCGAGCUUUACUAAUUCCCUAAAGUUUGACAAAAUAUAGUUAGAAUGUUGGAAUGAUUUCAUCAAUGAUAAAGAAUUCUGCAUAUUAUCAUGUGAUUUAAACACAAUUUAUCAUAAGAAAUUUUUUAUCCUAAGGCAAACUUUAUAUAUAAACCAAAAAUAAAAUUACUUAUAGUUUUUCUUUAAAAAAAAAAAAACUAUGUAUCAAUGAAACAUUAUUCAAAGCAGAAAGAAAACACAAAACACAUAGUAAAAUAAAUUAAAGAAAUAUCCAACAAAUAAACGUUACAAAAACGACGCGCCAAAAACCAAUGUACCAAACAAAAUUCUCAAUACUUGAAAAAUCAUAAUGAUUUAAAUCGUAAAUAAUUUUUUUAGUUUAAAGAGCAUAUAUAAAUAAACAUUACGAAAAAAAAUACAAAAAAGACACGACAAAACCAACACCAAACCAAAUUAUGCAAUUCUCAAUAGCUGAAAAAUCCCAACUUAAUACUCAAUUGGUUGCACCCUUCAAUGAUUUAAAUCAUAAAUAAAACUUGUAGUUUAGAGAGCAGAUAUUCUUAAAGACAAGCCAAAAAACAACACCACACCAAAUUACGCAAUUCUCAAUAGCUGAAAAAUACCAACUUAAUACUCAAUUGGUUGCACCCUUCAAUGAUUUAAAUCAUAAAUAAAACUUGUAGUUUAGAGAGCAGAUAUUCUUAAAGACAAGCCAAAAAACAAUACCACACCAAAUUACGCAAUUCUCAAUAAUUGAAAAACCCAAAAUUAAAAUGCAAUUGGUUGCACCCAUCAAUGAGUUAAAUCAUUAAUAAAACUUGUAUUUUGGAGAGCAAAUACAAAUACACAUUACGGAAAGAAAAAACACAAAAAAGACGCGCCAAAAACUAACAUCAAACCAAAUUACGCAAUUCUCAAUAGUUGAGAAAUCCCAAAUUAAUACUCAACCGGUUGCACCCAUCAAUGAUUUAAAUCAUAAUUGAAUCUCGUAGUUUAGAGAGGAGAUAUAAAUAAACAUUAUGAAAAAAAACUCAAAUAAGAUGUGCUAAAAAUCAACACCAAACCAAAUCACGGAAUUCUCAAUGGCUGAAAAACCCUAAAUUUAUAAUCAAUUGGUUGCACCCAUCAAUGAUUAAAUCGUAAAUAAAUUUCGUAGUUUAAAGAGCAUAUAUAAAUAAACAUAAAAAAUAAUACAAAAAAGACGCGCCAAAAACCAAUACGAAACCAAAUUACAUAAUUAAUAAUCAAAUGCUGAAAAACCCCAAAUUAACACUCAAAUGUUUGCACACAUGAAUGAUUUAAUCGUAAAUAAAACUUGUAGUUUUGAAAGCAGAUAUAAAUAAACAUUAUGAAAAAACUAAAAAAAGACGCGCCAAAAACCAACACCAAACUAAAUUACGCAAUUCUCAAUAGUUGAAAAACCCUCAAUCAAAACACAAUUGAUUUCACCCAUCAAUGAUUUAAAUCAUAAAAAAAACUUGUAGUUUAGAGAGCAGAUAUAAAUAACAAAUGAUAGAGCAAUUUUAGAUCAUUUGAAGAAGAAAAAAAUAAAGCAAAGUAAAACCAUUUGAAAAAUAUAGAUCGAUUUGAAAAAAUAUAGAUCCAUUUGAACAAAUUAAACUCAAGCAAAAUAAAGCUAAAGAUUCAAAAUUGUUUCAUUGGAAAUGAAAACAUGUUCCACGACAGAGAUUCAAUUGUUAAAAAUAACUAAUCUAUGUGUUUAUGGUUCUUUUAUUUCACUUCUCUACACUUACCCGCCUUAACAAUUGAAUCUUUGUUAGGCCGGAAAUCUAGUUCAAUAAACUCUAGUUCAAGUGAAGAUAUUGAAGACUACAAAAAAAAAAAUGGAGAAUAAGAAUUUAACACCAUCUAAUUGCAAUUAAACAGCUUACCCAGAAUGAGCCUAAUCCUUACGGCGGACUCAAAUUUGCAUUAGAUCAACGUAAAGCAAGGUAAGGAAAAUUUACAACAUUUAAGAGAGGUUUGAAACAAAAGCCUUUGUUAAGUGCAUGUGUAAUAUAUUUUUAUAUAUAUUAUUAAUAAAAAUAUAAUAUUUAGACCCCAUAAACAAGUGGGCAGGGGUUCGAUCCCUGAUUCUUGUGUAUGGAACAAAUUUUAUUGGAAGGCGAGAACGCAUUUUAUGUGUUAAUAAAAACUUAAUACAUAUAAAUGGUAACAAACAAACAAAAAAUUGAAAACAUGCAUAAGAUUCUCUUCGGGAAAAAGUAGUGGAUGCCAGAUAAACUAUAGCUAAUUGCGGAUGAUCUAUAUUGAAUAACUAAUAAAUUUUCAUCUAGUAAGCUCACAACGAAUAAGAAUUAAGCCAACAUAAAUCGAAUUUGAGUAUUUGAUAAAAUUAACAAUUAAAAAUAUAAUAUUUAUGCGUUACAAACUAAAACUUUAUUUGAAAUGGUUUUUAAAAAACGUUAUACAUGCAAAAAAUUCUUUUUGCACGUGACAAAAGAUUAUACGAAUUUGUGCGUAAUAUUUUUUGCUAAUGCAAAAGAUUAUAACCACAACUUAGACAUUUGAACCGUCAGAACUAAUUAAUUCUCAAGUCGGCAAUGAAACAUCAAUUAUUUUGCAUGGGUUACACACCCAAGCUUCCAAAUGCACGAGGAAUAUAAUUCAUGAUAUUCAUUUGUAGAAAAGAGUCGGUCUUAUCAACUCUUUCUACACCACGUUGAUAUAAUUACUUUUGUAUGAGCUGAAAAUAAAGUUAAAAGAUUUACUCUUUCGUUUGUUUUGUCAAUUAGUUUAGUGACUAGAAAUUCACCUUUUAAAAUGAAUAAAUGAAAUGUUGGCUCUUUAAAAAAAAGUUUUAAAAAAAGUUGAGUGUCUAGGAUUUGAACCCAGACUCCCUACAUAUAUUAUAUAAUGUUCAUAUCAAUUGAGUUAAACUCAUAGAAACCAUUCCAUAUUUUCUUUACUAAUUAAUGAUGAAUGCAUACAUUUUUUUUAAAGUAAAUUGAUACAUUUUUAUGAAUGGAUACAUUUCAUUUGUCAAAAAAAAAAAAUGAAUGGAUACAUUUCAUACGACAAACGAAAAUACUAUAUGGGUUGAUUUGACCGUAACAUAUUACUUAAAUUGAUAUAUUUCUUUUUUAAAGAUAUUACUUAAAUUGAUAUUAGACUAUCAGCAGUAUAUAUGUUUAGAAGAAACAUUUUAAAAACGUUAAUUUAAAUAAGUUCUUUAUAUGUAAAAAAGGUUGAUUUAAUAAUCUUAUCUAUUUGUGAUUUAAUUUACUGUAAAUAAUUUUAGGCUAUCAUCUCCAUCUGUGUCGUUUUUAUUUGUCAUAAAAUUCAUUGUUUUACUAAAAUUUGGUAAAGCUUCACACUGUAUAGUAAUUUUUAGAGGUCCAUAAAAUAAUGGAUAUUAUAUAAUUACAAAUAUAUAUCAAUCAAAUAAUUUCUUAAUAUGUGUGUCAAAGUCUUAAACUAAUAAAUAUAUUUUUUCCUAGAAAAAAAUUAUAUUAUGAGAGAGUACGGUUUUACAGUAAAAAGAAUUCAAUGCACCUAAUUAUUGAAUAAUUUUGAUAGCUAAAUACUAAACUAACAAAAGUAUCUAAUUACUUUUUUGUAUUUUUACCAAAACAAAAAAAUUGACAAACGUAAAAUUUAAAGUAUUGGAUGGGUCAAAUUUAUUUAGCCAAAAAAACCAUUAACUAUAAUUUGACUAAAUAUUCUCUCAAAAAAAUUGACUAUAUAUAUAUUUUUUUUUGACAAGAAUUGACUAUAUAUUUUAUUAGCUAAAAGAAGAAAAGAUAAUGUGACUAAAUAUAUAUUUUGUUUAGUUCCUGAAUUUAAUCUGACUCGAGUCGGGAGGAUCUAUAUAAAAGAGGGUAAUAAAAUUCUCCUUGCAUUUUCUCAACAAAAAAAAAAAUCUCCUUGCAUCUUUUGUUUUUCAUCCAUAAAUUGAAUCCCCGACCCAUGAUUAAGAAAUAUUUGAAUAAUUUAUUAAAUGUAAAAGAAAAAGUUAAUUUUUUUUUAAAAGGCAAAAAUAAAACUUAUAUUAACAACAAAGACUUCGUCCCUUCCGCACAAGGAGUGUUAGAAGGGAACGACAAUAAUUAUACAAGAGUUCAGUCAAAAGACUUUGCUAAACAAAGAACAGGAAACAGUUAGCCUAUAUCCAAACAAAGUAAAGGGCUGGCAAACCAACCGUGAACCUCGAACACAUGAAUAACAUUAGCUGCCUUUAGCCACCAAUAAGAAUGGAUUUGAACCUUUUCGACCAAUUGAUGAAUAGAAUUUUCAAUGUUGUUGAACUGUCUAUUAUUACGCUCAGUCCACAACACCCACACACAAGCUAACCAUAACAGUUGCUUGAAAGAACGAUGUUUUGAUGUUGAUCCUAGCAAAUAAGAGAAUUGAACAAAGUGAUCAGAAGUGUCAAAAGGGAUCGACCCCAUUAACCCCAAUCCAAGCACGAACAUGCUGCCAUAAGUCUCUAAAUAUAGGGCAGGAAACAAAUAAAUAUCGAGUUGUCUCCACUUCCCCACAACCAGAAACACACUGAUGCACAUCCUAAACCAAGAUACCAUGAACCGCCAGAUUUGACUUUGUUGGAAACAGAUUGCGAAGCAGCCUUCAAGCAAGAAUAGAGACCUUUAGCGGGACAUGUCUGUGCCACACCAAAGUUGACGCCUCAUCCACAAUAGUAUUACCGCCAGAAGUUAACAUAUCAUAAACAGAACAGACAUAAUAUUUUCCUGAAUUAUCAAGUUGCCAUCUCCAUUCAUCUGACUUUGUGACCUGCAAAAUAAUGUUAGAAAACAACGUCUGACACUCCUUAACUAACGCCUCCUCCCAGUCCCACAACCUCCUCCGCCACUGCCAAGCCUCACCACCUUCCUUCUAGAAACGGAGGGAGUAUCUCUUUAGCUAAUUGAAUUAUCUUCUCUUGUUCUGAAGCACCAAUCGACAACAAGGGGGAAACAUCAACCUGGGUCUCCGAAAAAAUUUCUCUUUAGAUGAGUUAGAGUUAUUCACCUGCUCUUGAAUGUUCUGCUUUGUAAGCUCAACGUUCUCAGUGUGCUCUGGGAGAGGAGCAUGUUGUGCAACAAGUUUCAAAACGGUCCCUACGGAUUUCUUAAAACUUUUAUCAAUAGCCUCAUAUGUGACAUUAUGCAAAACUAAACCAAAAGAAGCGAUGGGCGAAGAAGGUUCACCAAUAUAACUAGGUAAUGUGUUGCAUGCGCUAUCAACGAGGUCUCUAUGGAUUUCUAGAUAACAAUAACAUGUGAUCUCUCUGCAAUGAUAAGUUUCUCUUUAAUGACAGGUGCAUCUUCAAAGAUAGGAUCAUCCUAUGUAGGCUUGGUAGUACCGGCCUCAACCUCCUUUUCACGAGGUUGCCAUUUUUGGGCUGUUAUUUUUUUUUGGGACAACUUGCUCAAUUAGUAAAUGUUUCUUACCAUGGUCAAUCUUUUCUUUUUUUGUCUAGGGUCCAGCCACUCACAAGUGGAGAUACUAUGACAAAUGAUGUGACAAGAAGUACAAAAUGGAGGAAGAUAUUCAUAUUGGACUUCAACGUUGAAAGUGUAGUGUUCCCUAUCAACCAAUAUCUCAUCAUAAUGCACUUUGACAAAUCCAUAUCUACGAAGAUGCGUGCGUAGUGACCAAAUACUCUAUUUUGUGUUGAUGCGUCAAUAAUGAGAAGGGUACCCAUGGAACUUGAAAUUUCAAAAAGAGUAUGAUCUUCUCAAUACUUUUGAGGUAACUUCACGAGUUUAAUCCAAAUUUGAGCAUGUGCCUAAUGUUGAGUGUGUAGUUGAAAUUUGGUGGAACCUGAGAUAAAUCCGCCACGCAAGAGUCAAAUUGAAUCUUGAAAACAACAACUGAUGAAAUACAUGUAUACCUAAACGAGAGUCAAUUUAUGGAAGAAGAAUCAAUCGAUGAAAUACACCAAUUGAAUAAUUCACCAAAAGCCACUGAAUAAAAAAGUUCGUGUUUCGAUAUGGUUGUCUUAUGUGCAUGGAUAAGAAGCACAAUGCUUACACUUACCAAGAAUGGUAAAUGAUUAAUCGAAUUUUUGUAGCGACGACACUCAUGCUAGGGGAAACCCUAGCAUAGCAUUUUUUAUAUUCAUUUGAUGAAUAAACUCAUACUUUAGAAAUUAAAUAAUUAAAUAUAAAAUUCAAUUUUUUAUUACACUAUAAAAUUCAUUUUUUGUUAAAUGCGAAGUAGAAAUUAUUACUAAGAAUAGUGAUGCUGAUGAACAUUUUACGGUUGUAUCAUGAGGGUCCUUAAAAAAAUGUUGUAUCAUGUGGGAUUUGAAUUAUGUUGUUGAGCUUACAAAGUUAAGCUCAAUGAGUUGACACCUCUUGGAACAAUAUAUCAUUUAAAAUCUUGAGGGUUUCGACGAUCCUUGGAAGGACACCUUAGUCGUGAAAAUCUUGCUAAAAUCGUUAGGUUUUCACACAAUGAAGGAUCCGUUGCAACGAUUAUGGAAGCUUACAGAAGGGUUCGAUAUCAUGGAUAUUAACAAUGAUUUUUUCAUGGUUAAGUUCGACACUAAGGCUGAUCGCACCUAUGUUAUGGAAGGAGGUGAUGAUAUUUUAUUAUUACUUAAUAGUGCAAUGUUGGACACCGGAAUUCGCUUCUCCCACGACGAAUAUUGAUAAAACUAUGGUAUGGAUAUGCUUUCCUGGAUAAAAUGUUUUCUACUAUGAUGAGAGCAUUUUACUAGUCCUUACGAUUGUUGUAGGAAGAUUUGCAAAGUGUUUGUGUUCAAAUUGAUUUAAACAAUAUGUUGUAGGCAAGGUUUGGAUGAGAAAUUAUUGGCGUAAAGUAGAAUAUUUUCAUUAUUAAUUACGGUCAUCUCACAUGACAGUGUAAGCAUGAAAUUGCAAUUGAAGCUGUAAAAUCUCCGAUCACCUCGACAGAACUACACAAAAAGAGGUCGUGUCGUAAUAGCAAUUACACCACCAGUUCAGGACCUCAUCAUAGAUAUUGCAAAUAUUGAUAUAGUGGAUAAUAUUAAUGAUGAUAGCACUAAUCAUGGUGAUUGGCUGGUUAGGUUAUGAGGAGGAAAAAUAGGAAACAGAUUCAACCACAAUCAGUUACCAAACAUGAUAAUAGAGAUAAAGACCAAGAAGAAGAACAUCACGAGUGAUUCCGGAACAUACAAUGUUGAACCAAUGAAAACUAAUUUGGUGGGGCCGACAUUGUGAUAUGUAGUAAUACUAAACAUCGUGAUAUGGACCUCGUCAAGACACAUCAUCCUUUUUGGGACGCAGGUUCCUGUGGCAGUGUCUCAUCUGCAGUUUGCUGACGACACUUUAUUGGUAGGUGUUAAGUCCUGGGUUAAUGUUAGAGCCAUGAAGGCUGUUCUAUUAUUAUUUGAAGCUAUAUUAGGUCUGAAAGUUAAUUUCCACAAAAGCAUGUUGUUCGGAGUGAAUAUUACCGAGUCUUGGUUGCAUGAGGCAGCGAUGGUCAUGCAUUGUAGACAUGGACGGUUACCUUUCAUUUACUUAGGUUUGCCUAUUGGUGGAGAUCCUCGUAAACUUCUUUUUUGGUACCCUUUGGUUGAGAGAAUUCGUCGACGGUUAUCCGGAUGGAAGUCAAAAAAUUUAUCGUUGGGUGGUCGGUUGGUUUUGCUUAAGUCCGUUCUGUCGUCCAUUCCGGUUUAUUUCCUUUCUUUCUUAAAAGCUCCCUCAGGUAUCAUUUCUACCCUUAAUUCUAAUUUUAUUAAUUUUUUCUGGGGUGGUGGUGAGGAUUCUAGGAAAAUUUCUUGGAUUAAAUGGGAUAAUAUUUGUUUGAAUAAGGAGAAUGGGGGUUUGGGUGUGAAAAGAUUGCGGGAGUUCAAUAUGUCUCUAUUAGGCAAGUGGGUAUGGAGGGUUUUGGAGGAUAGGGAAAGCUUAUGGAAUGUGGUGUUGCGUGCGAAAUACGGAGAGUUUGGAGGGAGGGUGCGGUUUUGUGAGGGUGUUGGGUCGAUUUGGUGGUGUCAGUUAAACCAAAUUAGAGCUGGUGUGGGGUUGGCUGAGAAUACGUGGUUGGUUGAUAACAUAGGCAGGAAAGUAGGAGAUGGGAGUACCACUUUGUUUUGGGAGGAUCCUUGGUUGUUAAAUGUUCCGCUGGCAGUGGCUUUCUCUAGACUUUUUGAGUUGUCAGAAAAUAAAGGUGUGACGGUGAGGGAGAUGUUUUUGUUAGGUUGGGGGGUUGAUGGGGGGGCUUGGAGGUGGAGACGGAGAUUAUUUGCAUGGGAGGAAGAGCUGGUGGAGCGGUUGUCUAACGUUGUUUUGCAGGUAGAUAUGUCUGAUAGAUGGGUGUGGAGACUCCACUCGUCACAAGUUUACACGGUGCAUUCAGCUUAUUCUUUCUUAACAGCGGUGGACACUAACAUCACUGCAGAUUUUGAUCAAUUUUUAUGGCUUAAAGCGGUACCCUUAAAAGUUAAUAUUUUUGUUUGGCGGCUCUUUCUGAAUAGACUUGCUACAAAGGACAAUCUUCGCAAAAGGAAUGUUCUUGAGGCUACCAAUGUUUCUUGUGGUGCUUUAUGUGGUAAGGAGGAGGAAAGGGAUCAUUUGUUUUUCCAAUGCGAAUAUUAUGGUCGCUUAUGGCUUAUGUUAUCCGAUUGGUUAGGUUUUGUUACGGUUCUCAAUGGCAAUUUAUAUACUCAUGCUAAUCAGUUUUGCGCUCUAGGAGGGUUCUCAAAGAAUUCUAUGAAAGCUUUUUCUAUUAUUUGGAUCUCGGUCUUAUAUACUAUUUGGAAAGAUCGCAACAGGAGGAUUUUCCAUAACCAUAUUGUUCUUUUGGAUGUUCUUCUUGAAAGAGUCAAACUUCAAACGUUUUGGUGGUUGAAAGCUAACUACAUCUUGUUCGUUUUUGAUUACUCUUAUUGGAGAAAUAAUCCUUUAGCUUGCUUACAGACUGUGUUGUAAAGUCUGUUUUUGGUUUUUUUGGUUUUGUUUUAUGGCUAUCAUAGCCUCCUUGUAUUGUAAUUAACUUUCUCAGGUUUCUUUGGCACAUCUUGUGCUCGAGGGACUGAUUUUAUAAUAUAUUUCUAUUAGUUUCUUCAAAAAAAAAAAAAAUGAACGUGGUCAUGCAGAUGGCAUUUGGGUUCUUUCGUGUGUUGAUAACCUACUCUCAAGUUGUUACAACUUACUACAAUAGACUUGUAGUGGAGUUGAUAAAUCAUGAAAUCGGAAUUUCAGAAUCUUUUUUAUCACUUAGAGGGGUGCCACUGCUUAAGCAAAAAAUCUCAUCAUGUGUCUUGGUUUAAUUCUAAAUCAUUUUGUUCUUGGUUUUUUUUGAAAGAUGAUUGUUCUCUACCUACAUCAUCUACGGAGUUGAACAUACACAAGAGUGAAGAGGUGUCGGCGUGGGAAUUUAAGUAUUUGGAUCAACAAGUUAGGUUAUGAGACCUCAUGAACAUUGAAAAAGGAGAAAAACCGACCCCACCAAAAAAGGAGUCAAACCAAGCCAAUCCAAUUUUGUGUGACAAUCCUAAAAAAGAAAAUGAAGAAUUUCAAGUUAUAGCGGAAGAUGAAGAUGAUUCAAUUUCACUUGAUGCGAUAUGAUUGAUUCUUUGUUGGUGUUCAUCCUUUUUUUUGUCGAGAUUACAGCGACAUAUUUUUUAUUGUCGAUAUUGUAACGCCAAUUUUUUUUGGCGAAUAUAUAACUAACAUUAUAUAAAUAAAUAUAAAUAUAUGACUUCUAUGUAUUUAAUGUUUCUCAAUAUUCUAUUCUAUAAGGGAAUAUUUGUAAAUAAUAUAUUUAUAAAGUUACAAUAAAUAAUAAUUAUAUUAUUUGAUAUUUUUUGUUUUUCUUCUCAUAUUGAAGAUCGGAGAGUGGCUUAAAAAGUUCAUUUUCUAAAAUUUGUGAUAUGUCCAAAUGUGAUCCAAUAUUUAUGAUUACCUAUGACGUUUAGAUACUUCAAAAUGGAGACGUACCUGUAUCGGAUGCAUAUUAGAUACUGAUACUCCAGAGAUAUGUACCUACAAAGUAUUAAAAUUAAUUAUUUUAAUUAAAAAAAAAUAUUUGAUCGGAUAUUUGUAGGAUAUUACAUACAAGAAUAUUUAUAAAAUACUUCAAAGAUAUAUGUAUCUCAUAAAAGAUGAAGAGUACAAAAGUGAGACAAUAUUGUGAAAAUUCAGUGGAAAUGUAUAAAAUUCAAUUUUAUAAGAAAACUUUACAUUUUUUUAUUUUGGUCGAAUAUAUUAUUUUUUAAAAAUUGUGACUUUUAUAAUAAUAUAAUAAUGAAGAGUAAUCAAUUGUGAUUUUCUUCAAGUAUUUUACAUUCAUAUAAGUUUUAGUAUAAAAAUUUGUUAACAUGUUAGCCAUAUUGUAUCUAAAAUUUUGAAAUUUUUUCGUAUCAUAUCAUGCCCCUGCUUGUAUAUGUAUCCGGUCUUCAUAGAUGAUUACAAGACUUCCUCUUUUCAUUAAAAAAAAAUGUUAAACUAAUAACAAGCUAUAACGGUCACAUUUUAGUCAAAUCAUCACACCUAAUAAAUGUUUUAAAUUCUCUUCGUUCAUUGACUCUAAUAACUGGUUCGUAACACCUAACUUAAAAAUUUGUUAACCCUUGCUUCUCUCGUCGUCUUCAAAUUUCUCCACUCAGGUAUCGUUGUUUUCUGCUUUCUAGCUUUUUCAAUAUUUAAAUUGUUGUUAUGUAAUUAGUUUACUAUAGUUAUUUUUUUGUAAUAUUUUUUGAAAAAUUUGUAGGUUUUUUUUUUGAACAAGUUGAAAAAUCCAUGUUGCUAAUUUUAGGGUUAUUUUUCAAUAUUAUUGUUGCAGAUUUAUAAUGGCCUCAAAUAACAGUUUUGAUUCUGAUGAUGAUGAUUUUGGCACUCGACCCCCUUUUUUCGACGGUAAAAAAUAUUACAUUUGGAAACAUAGAAUGCAAAUAUUUGUUCAGGGUACUGAUUUUGAUGCUUGGAAGGCCAUAGAACAUGGUCCUUUUUUUCCCACUCAUAUUGUUAAUGGUUUCACCAAACCGAAAUCUAAAACCGAAUGGACGGAUGAUGAUAAGAAAAAGGUUCACCCUGAUUCGAGGGCAAAACACUUGAUAUCUUGUGCUUUAUGUAAUGAUGAGUUUUCUAAUGUCAUGUAUUGUGAGACUGCCCGAGAAAUGUGGAAUACUUUGCAAAAUAUUCAUGAGGGAACCGGUGAAGUUAAAAUGGCAAGGAUCGGAUAUCUAACCGGUGAAUAUGAACGGUUUUGUAUGAAACCUGGUGAGAACAUACAUGAUAUGCAAAUGCGGUUUUAUGAUGUUGUUAAUCAUCUUGCUUCGUUGGGUAAAAAGAUUCCUAAUGAAGAUUUGGUUAGCAAAGUUUUGAGAUGUUUGAGUAAGAAAUGGCGGCACAAGGUCAGAGCUAUAACGAAAUCAAUAGAUUUCCCAACUAUGCUCUUAGUUUCAUUGUUCAGAGAGCUUGAAGAGCAUGAGACUGAGUUAAAUAGGUUGGACAAGAAUGAUGAAAUGUAUAACAGUGACGACUCUGAAGAGGUGAACUUGGUUUUGAAAGACCUUUCCAAGCUUCUAAAGAAAAACAAGAAGUCCUUCAAGCAAGGAGAGAAAGAACACAGGGAGAAAGGAUCCUCUUCUACGCGUACAAUGUUCUGAUUCAAAAUGUACUAGCUUUUCCUACAUGUUCUACUGUUGAAACUUAAGUACAAGUUUCAAGAGGAAAUUAAAAUUAACCUUUCAUUGUAUUUGCUGUUUAGUCAGUACCUAUGUUUAACUAAGUUUAUCAAUUAAUCUCUUAAAUGCAUUGCCUUGCUGGAAUGAACAAAUAUAUGAUAUUUGACACAAUUGUGUUGGUCACAAACAUGUUAAAUCGUAUUACCGAUUAUCUCAUGAUUUGGGUAGCAAUGAUGCAUUUCUAGAUGUCACUCGUUGUUUAUGAAAUUCUAUUAUAUUUUAUUGGAAUAAAGUGUCUAAUAUAAGCAAUUAUCAACGUGAGUACCACCCCUUUGUCAUUGUUCUGUUUUUUGGAUCUUUAUAACCUCAGUGAUUGUAAUUGUAAAAUUUUGUAAAGAUUUUCCUACUCAAUUUGAAAAAUAUUUCUUCUAUGUUUUAUGUAAUAGAUGCUUUCUUUCGAGGGGUUUGGAAAAUAUAGCAAGAUAGUAGAAAUUCUUGGAAAUCUAUGGUUGUAUGUUUUUGAAGCUGUGCUGUAGGAAAUCAAAGCUAUGGCAGGGUCAGUUUUAAAGCCUUUGGUAAUUGGUUUUUCGUCUUUUAGAUUGGACAUGUUAAGGAAUCAAAUCCAUUGGAACAAAAAAUGCUUGUGAUCACUAAACUUGUUUUUAGAUUGAAUCUGUCAUACUAAUUUUCUGCACUAGUUCAAUGAUAUCACUUCAAGUCAUUGGUUUUGUUCUUCCUCAUGCAUUUAUCGUUGUUCUCAUUGCGGACAAGACAGGGAGGGCACAAGCUUUGCAUGCACAUUGGUUGGCUCUAGAUAGAAGAUAUUAAUAUAUAACUGUUAAGAAACAGCAAAGUAAGCUGCAAUUAAAAACCUGUGAAAGUAUUAAAAUGUGAUAAUUGGGAGCAUAAACUAUACAUUCAGUAGUUGUCCUGAGAAGAGGAUGCCUAAUCUUCAGUGUUUGUGACUUUUCCUUUUCUACUAGAAGUUAAUUUACUGCAACAUGGUUUAUCCAAUUGCAAGCUAACCUUUGUGAGCCUAAAUGAUUCUGAUUGGGCAAGUGGUUUGGAUGAUGAGCCGUACCUCAUAGGCUACAUUAUCACUUCGUUGUAGCAAACGGUUCUUUUUGCAUUUGUUAAUAUGAGUCGUACCUCAUAGGCUACAUUAUCUCUCCGUUGUAGCAAACGGAGUUUAAAAUUCUCAUUAAAACAUUAAAACAUGAUUUGAACUAAUUAGCCUUACUAAGCCCAAUUCAUACUGUCAAAGCUUUUAUAGCAUUGUUAUCAUAAAUAAAUCCAUUCAUCGUAUCAUAUGAAGCUUGCAAAAACUACUAAUUCUUACUUCCACAAUCUAGUAAAUGUCACGGACUUCAAAUUCUCGGUUUAUUUGUAUAAUACACAAUAGUACCUUUCCUUUAAUCAUUAUACUACUAUGGAAUUAAAAUAAUAAUUAAAAUUAGAAUUUACUUGCAUAUAGAAAUGCCAAUCAAGGCCUCCAUUUUUUUUUUCUCCAAAUAGAUACCGUUUAACAUUUAGAACAACUUAAUAGCUUUCAUUUGCCAUUCAAGUACACUAAUUCAAAUUCGUAUAUUAAAUUUGAAUGUAAGAAUUUUAAAUGGCUAAAAUAAAACCCAUAACCAGUAGCAAACUAAAUUACAUAGAACAAGCAAAUUCACCCAAAAUUAUCAACAUAAGCAGUCAAGAGAAUUAUACAAUUCAAACAUGCAAUAAUAUUAACUUUAUAGAAAUUUAUGCAUGCAACAUGAUUCACAUUGCUUAAAUUCAAAUCCCCAAAUCCCAAACCUAUAACCCUUAAUUUAAUGAAUAAGGAAUGAAGGAGGGUGUAUGAACUAAAAGUUAUUUCAGAAACUUGAAGAUAAUUUCAUUCUACAUCAAAAUAAAGUUUCUGAUACAAUAUAUAGAAAAAACAGAAAAAGUGAACAGCAAGACAGCAUAGUAGUCUGUCACCUAACCAAGAUUACAAAGUCUUAAACACUCUAACAAGUAUGGGUCACCAUACUUCUGCAGAGGUAACUUCAACUACUACAUUAAAAUAAAAGAAAACAUAAAAUAUCACAAAAUACUAUUGUGUACAUCUGAAAUCUCAAUGUCUCAACACUCUUCCUUGAGAUUUUGGAUGGACACUCCAAGCAAUUCUCGAAACUUUUCAAACUUAGCUCUUGGAAGAGAUUUAGUCAAUAUAUCAGAAACUUGAGAGUCGGAACAACGAUGAAUAAGCUUGAUCUCUUGAUUUUUAACAGCCUCACGUAUGGCAUGGUACUUCACUUGAAUAUGCUUGGUUUUUCCAUGUUGAACUGGAUUUUCAGCAAUAGCAAUUGCUGAUUUACUAUCACCAUAAAGCACAGUUGCUUCCAGCUAUUGUAUUCCCAAGUCAUAGAGUAUUUUCCUCAACCAAAUAGCUUGGUUUGCUGCUGCAGCUGCGGCUACAUACUCUACUUCAGCCGUGGAUUGAGCUACAAUUUCUUGUUUCCUCGAGUUCCAUGAGAACAUGCCAGAGCCUAAAGAAAAAGCAUAGCCUGUAGUACUCUUCAUGUCAUGUAUAUUUCCAGCCCAAUCACUAUCAACAUAGCCUAACAAACUUUCAUUUUCACUUGGCUUGUACCAUAUUCCGAAUUGAGUAGUACCCUUAACAUAUCUAAGUACCCUCUUUGCUGCAGCAAAAUGUGUCUUGGUAGGACUCUGCAUAAAUCUUGAGAGUAAGCUUGCUGCAUACAUAAGAUCAGGUCAAGAUGAAGUAAGAUAAAGUAGACUUACAAUCAAACUUCUAUAACGAGAAGCAUCAAUUGAUGAUACAUGUAAGAUGAUUGAUGUAGUAAUUUGGGGUUGCAUGUGAUAUUGGUCAUGGAAGAAAGAAAAUGUGCUUUUGUAUUUGUGGUUGCUGAAUCGUACCCCAGAAAGAAGAAAGUAUAAAAUUAAUCAUCUUUCUUACUAAAGCUUGUCUGGUCAAGCAAUAUCAUACCCUAAUUUUAACCUAAUAUUUUCCCUCCAUCAUCAAAGCAUUAAAUUCUUCUUAGUGCUUUUCCUAAUCAUCAUCACUCUAGGUUCAAAAUCCAAAUUUCCCUCUCACACCACUUUUAGUCUGCCGAUGCAUGUACCCAAGACAUAAGGAAAAUGGCAUUUAAUUAAUAGCUACUACACUCAUUUCUCUUCUUCCAAGCUGCAUAUUCGUGUUCUCUAUGCAGCUUUUAAUCCACUCUCAUUUCCAUGUGUUAUAUAUACGUGUUUUGUUAAAUUUACACUCCAACUUUAUUAAUCAAGGUCGAUGCAUGUACAUGUAUGGCAUUUACUAUCGUUCCCACUCCACUAUCUAUUCCCAACAUAUCUCUUAUAUCUUCCAUGUAAAUUAAUAUCCAUCCUAUUUCCCAUGAAUAUAUGCAUUACUCUUCACACUUCACAUCUGUCACAUAUCUAUUACAAUCAUGGCUAUUGUGGAGCUGACGCACUGCUCUCUUAUCAUUACCAAUUCACAUUCAAGUAUUGGACAUAUAUUGAGGAGCUGAAGCCGGUUCUUUGCAGAAUACUUCCAAAUCCAAUUACAAAUGAGAGCUUCCUAUAAAAGUAUUAACGCCUUGGGUUUAGUUUGUUUAUCAAUUUAGGGAUUUUCGUAUUGGGGUAAUUUUUUUUUUCCUAGUGAUAAUUCGGUAGCAAUCUUAGUUUUGCAAAUGAUAAUUAUGAUAAAAGGGGUUGCAGGCACACAUUGAAGCAGUGCUAAGUUCGACGCUAAUGGGAAAUAAAAUUUUGGGAUAUUACAUUAUGAUUCUAGAGAUGGUACUGUUAAGACUCUAGAAAUUCAAAAGAACUAUAGUUGCAAGGCUCCACAAGUCUACCAAGAGACUUUGAUAUCACCUGUUCUUAAUAGUAAUCCAGCCUAACUGUAGCUAUUUUGUUAUGUAUUUUUUGCUUACUAGUUACUUUAUGGAUUGUUGUUAAAUAUUGUUCAAGGAAAUUCACAGCAUGAGAAAGUGGUGUGUUAUUUUCAGUCCAUUUUCCGUCACUCAAGAUGUUGAAAAUCAACCCAGGCUUUGUGGAACUCCUCGACAUAGACAUUUUUCCGUCAGUUCAUCUGUAUCACAAUCUUUGAUACUGCGGAGAGUUGUGAUCAGUUGUAGCCUUAAUUGUAGUCACCUUGUGCUAUAAGGCACAAACCGGGCCUGUCAACAGUGGUUUUAAAUUGUCGUAUCCACUGUUGUUGCAUCACAGUCCUUUAAAUUGCGGUCAAAUACAGCCUCAGUUGUGGUCACAUUGUGAUCGUGGUGGAGACAUCUGAAACCUUGGUUGUGGCUUUACUUAAAACAUUGGUUUCAACAACCAAGUUAACUCAUCAUUUAUAUGUAACUAUAAUGUUUUCUUAGUAGGUUCUUCUUGUGUCUGAUAUUAAGAAGGAUCUUGGUUAUAUAUAAAGGGCGUCGAGACAAGUGUGUUUUCAAACUUUAAACUUCCCAAAACUGUAGUUAUAUAUAUUCUGUUAUAUGCAGCUAUUGUAAUUGCCAGGUUGAAAGCACAUAAUAUUGUGGAGCAGUUUGAUGCUAAGGUGAAUGGUAAGGUGAGUUAGUUAUUACUUUUUACCACUUUAUAAUAACCGUCUUCUCUCCAUUGCUUUUUUAUGGUUCAAAUUCUGUUUUUUGAAUGGUGGAUUUAUUUUCUGUUGAGUAGCAUUGUCUCAACUCAAAAUUAAUGAUUUUAUUCUUUUGAAGGUUAAUUUUUUUGCUUAAUUGCCAUGCAUUCAGGAUUAUACCAGUGCAUUUGUUUGUGAUUUAAAAAAAAAAAUACUUGAGUUUUUUAAAAUGAUAUAUAAAGCUUCAUUAUUUAAUAUAUCAUGAAAAAUGUUAUCGUAUUAUUACCAAUCUAACCAACCACAGUUCGACGAUUAAACCUUGAAUCAGCACUUUUUCUAGUACAAUGACUGGUUGUUUUUAAAAACAUUGGUUCAAUCAUAACCCGACCAUGAUUUAAAUGAACACCUGCACUUUCAUUUGGCACGAUCAAAAGUUUCACACGAACAUCAUUCUCACGAAUUGAAAAUUCUGCUCUCUAACUUGUGAAAUAAUUAAAAAGCCAAAUUGCAAAACAAAAUAUACCAAUCAUGUUAUUGCCGCUUCCCCCUCUAAAAAUAUACAACACCAAUUGGUGGCUUGGAUCAGUUCUAUUAGUUUCUGGCAGAUAAGGUAUGAGCAGCAGCAGCAGGAGAACAACUCCAAAAGAAAUAAUCAUGUUUUGAAGUAUGGCUCUUUAUUUCUAAAUGUCAUUCUUUCCACAUGAAUAGAUUGAACUAGUUUUAAAUGACAAAAUAAUUAAAUGUCAAUCUAUUGUCCAUAGAUUGAACUACUUUUAAAUGUCAAUAGAUUAAACUAGUUUUGAAGUUUUUUUUUUAUCCAUAGAUACUAAAGAGUUCCUUUCUCAUUUCUAGUAUGGCUCUCUAUCUUGCUUGUAAUUCAGUUUGUUAGGAUUAUGCAGCACGUCAUACAUUUUUUGAAGGAAACAUAACAAAUAUUUGUCUCUUUUCUGUUAAAAAAUUAAAUUAAAUUUUAUUCACAUUAGUGUCUAAUGUUAAGUUGGAAUGGUGGAGCCAGGAAAUUUAUAAAGCUUGGACAAAAUAAAAUAAUGAUAAGUUUUAUCUAAAGAGAGUAACUUAAAGGUGUAGUCAUAUGAUCUCGUAAGUGUAUCUCAUACGUACUUUUUUUUCAACAUAUAAUCAUAAUACUUUUUUUAAGGGGAAACAUGUAAUCAUAAUUUUAUUUUUCGGACAGUUCUUCAUUUUUAUUAUUACAAAUAGUUACCAUUUUCAUCGUAAGAAUAAUAAAAAAAAAAAAAAAUAACAUCUCCUUUAUUCAACAUAUGAUCUUUGUCUCUUUCGUUCCAUAAUUGAAUCCUAUUGUCAUUAGAGGUAAAUUAUCUUCAAAUUAUCACGGGAUGAUUUAGGCCUCAUCCAUGAGAUAAUACAAAUGCAAUACAUAUUUGAGUGUUACUUUUUCCACCCUAUGGCUUUCCUCGCACGCCUUUUUUUCUUCCAAAAAUACCAAUAUUCUGGAAUAUAUAAUCCGAACACCUUCCGGAAUACAUAAUCUGGAUAAAUCCGUGGAAUUUUGGCACUUAAACCACCCUGAUGCAAAUGUUGAAUGAAUGGAUUCGGAGUACAUAAUCUAGAAAGUUUUUACACGUUCCAGAUUAUGUAUUUCAAAUUGUGUUAAUAACCCCGUUGAAAGUCAACAAAUGGGGUGGCAAAUGAAAGUCAACAAAUGUUGAAUGAAUGGAUUCGGAGACAUAAUCUAGAAGCCAUCUGUUUUGGCUCAGCCUCUGGUUUAGAGCAUUUAGUCAACCGUUUUGACCUUUGACCAUUUGUUCAAACAAAAAAAUUCAAUUUAUAACAUUCAAUUAACAACACAGUAUAAUUUUCAAACAUUCAAACAUUAAUAAAACAUAAAAAAUAAAAAACUAAUCCAAGUGUUACAUAAUUAAAAAAUCAUUCAAAAUGUUCAAACAUAAACAUAAAAAUACAAUACAAUUAGUGCAGAAGAAAAAAAAACGGUACAAAUUUCUUGCAUGAAUAGAGAAAUCGAACUAAGCUUUCAUGUGAUCUUCACCAACGAUUGAAAUGCAGUCUGUUUGAGCAAGAUUUCGCCAAUUUUGGUUGGAUUUUGAUGUAGUUUGGAUUUUGGGAUUAGAGGGAGAGAGAGUAAGUAAAAAGUGAAACUGUAAAAAUGGGAGCUGAACUUCCUUUUAUACUUCGAAUCUGUCCGAAAUAUGUAACCCGGACCCAUCUUUAAAUUUCCAGAUUUUUAUUUUUCGGAGGGCAAUUUAGUAAUUUUUGCGGGGCGCGUGAGAAGGGCAUAGGGUGGGAAAAGUAAUACUCUACUUAUUUUUAAGAUUUUGAAUGGUCAAAAGCAGAUAAUAAUGUAGUAAAAAAGACUAACACAAACUACAAACACUGCAUUUUACAUAUGGUGGAAUUUACUUUUACUUUAUUCUUUAGUGAUCACCAAAGCAAUGACGGACUCUUGAGGAAGAAGGAAAUAGAUAUGCAAAUCUUAAAAAACAUAAACAUGGUAACUUUUUUUGAAAAAAUAAUUUGGCAGAAAACAAAAAACUAAAAUAUAACUAAAAACACGCGCGUCAUUUUUUUAUAAAGGAGUGAAGAAAAUUGAAACCAGAUCAAUCAACAAUUAUAUUUAGUGAACACAUUACUGUAAUAUUAGAGCUUCAAACAUGAACACCACAAAUAAUGGUGACCGAUUGAAAGCUGCAGCUCAAACAGGUGAUAUAGAUCUCCUCUACUCAGUAAUUCAAGAUGAUCCAUCCAUUUUGGAGAAUAUAGAUGUAAUAUCAUUUGUUGAAACUCCUUUACAUAUUGCUGCAUCUUUGGGUCAUAUGCCGUUUGCCAAUGAAAUUAUGAAUUUAAAACCUUCAUUUGCAUGGAAGCUAAACCCGCAAGGAUUCAGUCCCAUCCAUCUCGCUAUGCAAAACGGCCAAAAGAGUAUGGUGUUUCAUUUUCUGCACAACAAUAAAGACCUUGUUAGAAUUAAAGGAAGAGAAGGUAUAACUCCUCUUCAUUUUGCAAGUCAAAUUGGUGAGGUUAAUCAUUUAGAAUACUUUCUCUUCUUGUGUCCGGAAUCUAUUGAAUACUUAACUGUGAGGCACGAGACUGCACUGCAUAUUGCUGUUAAGAAUGGACAGUUUGAGGCUCUUCAAGUACUUGUUAUCUGGCUCAGAACAAACACAAAGAGAAGGGCUCAAAUGCUGGAAAAUAGAAUAUUAAACCAGUGGGAUGAGGCACGCAACACGAUUUUGCAUAUUUCAGCACUACGUAGUGACCCGCAGGUAAUGGUGUUCUACUUACAAAGUCAUCUACUUCUAAAUGAUAAUCAUAUUUCCUAUUACUUUUUGGUGUUCUACUUCUAAGUCAUCUUUUUUGUUAGAAAUAAGAUAGGUUUGCAUGAAUGAUCUCUAAUAAUUGUAUUGUUCUUCAAUUUCUUCGUAGCACAGGCACUUCUAUUAUUGUUACGUACUGGUCGUAUAGAUUUAUGUUCAAAGAAUCUGGAGAACAAAACCGCAUUAGACAUAGCAAGCACUCCAGAUGUGAAGAGUAUAUUAUUAAGUUUUGGAGCAAAACCUAGCAUAGAAAUCACUGAUGCUCCCACAAUUUCACAUAUAAGAUAUAAUCCAUUAAUUUCUAUAAUUCGCAUUAGAAGAAAUAUAACCGAGGAGCAACGUAACAGUUGGUUGAUAGUUGCGACUCUUGUUGCAACUGCGAUUUAUCAAUCAGGAUUGAGUCCCCCUAGUGGAAUUUAUCAGGUUAGUGCUAGUGAUGGCAAUGGUGUGAACAUCACUUCCUCCAAUUCUACUAUUUCUACUCCAGGAAAUGCUGGGAAAUCUGUUUUGUCAGGAUAUGAAUUCUUUUUGUUUUUAUUUAUAAACAUGUAUUCCUUUUCUGUAUCAAUUUUAGCGAUAUUUUUUAUGAUACCAUAUGGAAAAAUAGGGUUUCUAGUAGCCUCUCCAAUGAGAUGGCUUACCGUUAGCUAUUUAUUUUCUAUGUGGAGGAUAUCCCCUACACAUGUCAAUUCCAUUAUUUUAUUCAUCCUUUUUAGUUCAUUUAUGUUAGCCAUGGUGAUUGACGUCAUUGUUGGAGUGUACAUAAGGCUUAAACACAGAAUUGCUAAGAUAUUUAAUAUGAUAGUUAAGCUUUGUUGAAAUAGGAGAAACAUCAAUAAAGCUUGUGGUCAUAUAGAUGAUGGUACGAUGACUACGGAGACUGCAACUGAAACAACUGCUGGCCGAAUUCACAACCAAUAAUAUCGACCUUAACGUUGAUUUGUAAUUUUCAUUGUCAUUGUUAUCUUUGUUUCCGUAAAUCUUAGCAAAUUGUGAUUCAAUGUAUUAAAUAUUUAAAUUAUAUCUUGUAUUUUAUUGAAUGCUUGUGUAUUAUAAUAAUUAUAUUAAAUGUUGUUUGAAAGAAAAUUGAUUACUCAAGUCCUUAAUUUGUGUGAUGGUCUUUAGGAAGGAAAUUGAUUAUUCGAUGUUUGGAGGAAAAUUGAUUACCCAAAAUAAAAUAACAAGAAAACUGGAAAAACCAAUAACUCGCUUGUGCAGUAAGUCAACUUAAAUGCACUCUGUAGCAAAAAUGCAGUUACAAUCCAGAAACAAAUUCUAUGUUGUAGCAGAUUUUGGCUAUGCAGCAUGGAAGAAACAAAAAAAUACAAUUUGGAUCAACUCAAGAUUUGGUUAAUAGUCGCGUCUCUUAUUGCAUCUACCAUGUAUGAGCUUUGACUCCCCAUGGUGGAGUUUAUCAGAUUAGGGUUGGUGACAAUAAUUGGAACAUCACUUCCUUCAAUUCUACUAUAGCUCCCCUCGAAAGUGGUAAAGGGGAGUUCGACGUGCAGCUCCCGAAACAGAAUAUCAUACAUAGGAAGGCAACACCCUUCGUAAGAUCUGCAUAUUCUCUUAAUGACCCCAGGGCACUCAACUUGCCACUUGUCCUCCAAGGCAAUUACAACAAAACCAGUGGUACCUGAGAUCUUCCGAAUUCCUGUAAGAAGAACGUGAGUCUAGAACGUCUGGACAUACCCAAUUAUAGUCCACACCAUCUGGUGAGACUUCCGGAGUCACUAGCAUUGUUUUUCCCAUAUCCUCGCCUCUAUCCACAGAAAUGAAGGGUGAUCCAUCAGGGGCAUUUACAGAAUCUAUUGUCUAACCUCGUCAAAAUGGUGGUGAGCAUCUAUGCGACAUGUAUCAUAAAGAGCAUGGAGAGGGGAGAGAUUCCCCAAUUGCAGGAAAGGACUCGCGUCAGGGUAAAUAAAACUGAAGCCUCUCCUCUCUUCUGACCCAACAUUCCUCGCCAUUUCACUUCCAAUCUCAAGCAAAGAGAUGGAACCAACAAGAACAACAAGCACAUAAAGUAAGGGAGAAGGAAGAAAUUACCUUUUAUGAAGUCGUUCCUUGAGAAUAUGGAAGCGUAAGAAUUGUUGCUUUAGGAGAAAACGAAAAACAGGGAAACCUGGAGUAAACCUCUGGAGACUUGAUCUGAUAAUCCGGAAAAAGAUACUAGGAAAUUUGAAGAAAACAUCAAAGGAAGAAAGGAUUUUUUUUGCAGAAUGGUAACUGCAAUGAUACAGGAUUUGAAAAGAGUAAAUAGGAGGGAUGUUCCCCCUUUUAUAGACUACGAAAAAGUACAAUCGAAAACCAAAAUUGAUGGGAAUAUGAAAAGCACUCAAGUACUGGGGCGCGUGAUUCUCAGCAUCGAGGUGCGUCCAGAACACACGUGGGGAACAAAACUGAAGAGACAUCUCAUAGAAACCCUUCAGGCCACUUCACAAUAAAUGCCAACUACUCCCACUCACACCAAAGGUGUCUCCCUAGAACGCGGCAAACCCAGUGUGCGCAACAUUAAAUGCCAAAAAGAUCACGAGAGCGCGAACAAUCGUGCACAACAUCAAUUCACAGCGUCUUCAAAGCGUUGACGAUUCACAAGAGGAGCCGUCAUCGGGAACGAACUCUAAAACAAGUCCAUUAUGUCUUAAAGACAGUAAUGACUAGGGGACAAUUAAUUAUUUUUGACCGACAUAAAGCCUAUGGCGAAAAAUCCCAACAAACGGUCCAAUAGAGCCAAACCCAGCAUCUCAGGGAGAAACACCGCAAAGACGCAUGAUAAGCAGUGUCCACGUCUUCGCAUAGAAGCUUACUCUUUCUCUCACUAUAAUACCAUAAGCCACCGCGACAGCAACCACAGAUCCUAAAGCUUCACCAUAAAAACUACAUGAUCUCACCGGACAGAUCAAAGAGUAAGUCACCAAAAUAAGAAACAUGACAAAAUACAUGUUUUCGAUUAUGUUUGGUGUAUUUUAAAAAUAAAAGUGAAACAAAACAAAAGCAUGAUAUUGUUCUGAAUUAAGUCAAGCACAACCAACAUCGGAAUUGGACACUCCAAUAUCACUAGAACGAAACGGAUUCCAACAAUCCAAAACGGUAUGCAGCAACCAGGUUAGCAAUUUAAAAAAGGGAAAUGCUAACAAUUCAAUAGAUUUCUAUUUGUUACGUCCUAAUGGUGUAUAGAUCUUUACUUAUGUGAUGACCAUUAAAUGAAUAACAAAAGCAAAUAAAAAUCAUUAAAUUUAGCAACAUACACAUGUUAUUUUGGGUAGAAUACAUAGCUACGUACCCACCAAAUAUUUGUCCCAAAACUAGUUAAAAGUAAGCUUAAUUGCAAUUUAUGUCCCCUAUUUAAUCAAUUUCUGGAUUUUGGUCCCCCAAUUUCUAAAUCCAUAAUUUCGGUCAUUGAUUUUUUCAAUUUUUAAAAUUGAAUUCAACAUUUCAAUUGACUGCAUAUUCUCCCGUCACCAAAUAUGUUUAUGAAUACAGUGUCGAUAUUCACUUCUAACUGAAAAAGCAAUUCCUUUUAUUUUUUAUUUUUUCGAAUGGAGAUGCAAGUUGUUGGUUUGUUAUUUCUGGUGGUAUCAUAGUGAAAUAUUCAUAGAAUCCAAUUCAAGUAUAUCAUAUAGCAGCAAAUUAUAAUAUUGUCUAUACUCAAUAAUUUAGUAAUAAUAUACACAAACUACACACAUUAAUUACAAUAUCAAAUUUUUUUUGGCAUGUACGAAAAAUGCUGAUGAGACAUGUGAAUUAGAAUGGAAUGAGUACCAAUUUAUAGGUGCUAAUAAGUGACCAACGCCUCAUAACUCGGUUGAUAAAACUUCAAAACAAAAGAAAAACAAUUGAUAAAUAAAUGCUUCAUAAAUAAGAAUACAGUUAAUGAAAUCGUUAGCCACUCUAUCCUACCUUAAGAACUUAGCACGUUACCAAACGAAUUAGAACUGAACAUAGUGGAAAAUCAACGACAAAAUAAGCGCCAGUUCAACCUAAGGGCAAUUGAUUCACAAAUUUAAAAACGAUUUUCUUUCUUAAAUAUCAAUUUACCAUCCCUACUCAACCAACCAUCUACCAUGAUUUAAAUGAACACCUGCACUUCCAUUUGGCACCAUCAAAAGUUUCAAAUGAACAUCAUUGUCGCGAAACAAAAAAAUUCUGCUCUCUAACUUGUGAAAUAAGUUAAAAAAAAAAAAAACAAAUUGCAAAACAAAAUAUACCAAUCAUGUUAUUGCCGCUUCCCCCUCUAAAAUAUACAACACCAAUUGGUGGCUUGGAUCAGUUCAAUUAGUUUCUGGCAGAUAAGGUAUGAGCAGCGGCAAGAGAACUCCAAAAGAAAGAAUCAUGUUUUGAUGACCAGUCUUCAAUUAAACGGUGAAAUUCCUCUUUCCUUAAAAACACAUCUACGGUAAUUGUAGAAAGCAGUAACUACAAAUGGGAAGAUAUAUGAAGUUAUUAUAAAAAAUAAUCUGGAGUCUUGCGUGUAGUGUCGGGCUCAAUUUGCCUGGGGGCUGGAUCAAAUUGAAGAAAAUUCUGAUCCAUAUUUUCUCCAAUUUCCAGUAUGGCAGCCAUAUUCCCACAUCGGUAACAGUAAUUUGGAGCACUAAAUACAGUGACCACGUUCUUCUCCUAAAAUAGUUAUCAACGUAAAGUCAUAUUAGAUAACAACAGAAGGUAAUAGUCAAGAGGGUAAAUAUAAUUAACCGAUUUAAAAUAUUUGUCAGUCACCUGAGCCCAAUUGUAUCCUUCCAUAACAAGCUGGUGAGCUCUAGAUAUGAGAGAGAGGCCAUUGGUAUGAUUGAACUGAGAAGCUAUAUCCUGCCCAAAUGUGUAUCCAGCACCACGUGGGGAUAUUCCCCACCCACAGCGAUCAUCAGGAUCCGACCACAAGAGAUCACACAUUGGUCCUUCGUGUGGAACCUAUAAUGUACAAUUACAGUUGUUAGCAUACCUGGGUGCCGCGAUCACCAAGCAAUUCAAUUAACAUCGUCAAUACAUGUCAAGACAAUAUCAGUAUUAACAAACAGCAUUCCACCAAGGACCAAAAGAUGAGCCAUCUUAAAAGCCUAAGAAAAUUGCAGCAAGGCUGAUAGCAUACAAGAUAUUUGAUUAAAAGAAAAUUGUAAGAGAAACGUGUUCCUACUGAAGGUCCUCAAUUAAAACAACAAAAAUUGCAACAUCAAAUCAAGUAUUUCACAACUUAAACAUAAGACGGAUGUUUAGCUCAAGACGUCAUUCUUCAGAUAAAAAACUGCUCUUAUUAUCAAAUGAAUCAUAAGACAAUGCAUAGCACUAAGCUACACACAAACCUCUUGAAUACGAUCCAAUGCUCUGAUGUUAUCCAGUGUAUCCAAUGAAGGUGAGAGACCUCCAUGCAAGCAGAAAACCUGAAAUAUAUCAUGAAGUUAGAGGCUGGCAUACAAUUAGUCAAAAGAAUGUUCUGCAACAUAUAUAACUCGAACCUGACUCUCAAUGAGGGCAGUAAGAGGUAAAUAAUCAAACAAGUCGGUAAAGAAUUUCCAGACAUUGGCAUUUCCGUAUUUUCUCAAGCAUUCAUCGUAGAAGCCGUACCUGAAAGCAGAAGAUGGAGCAGGCUUUCGAUGAAAUGGCAAAGCAACAGAUUUAAACAUUUUUUUAUUUUCAUAUUAAAAGAAACAUUUUGUUUCUAGUGGUUUAUAGAGAUUUUUUUGUUUUUCUGUUUCAAAUCUUUGAUUAAUUGGUGUAAACAUUAACAAGUGUCACACAGAUGCACGUUACCGAUAGAAACUGCAUCAGAAUAAAGAAAAAGAAUGAAAAUCAGAGACCACUGUUAUUGACAGAGGAAUUAACUCCCCCAUACCAAGAAUGAUACAAUUGCAAAGAUACUUUCUGAUAUGCUCUCACUCUCCUUAUAACCACCUCAAAGUCUUCUAACUAACCAACAGCUGUUAGGUAUCGGUCAUUAUCACUCGGAAGGUUAUGAACCUCUGUGACACUUAUUUUUCCUAACACAGGCUCGGCUAAUAGGGGGCUGUUGCCUAUCAGUUACAUGCCUCCUAUAUAUUGUUUAACAGGUUAGUGUGUCCUUUUAAUAAAUAUUGUUCAACAGUUUAGUGUGUCCUUCUAAACAUGCACUCCAAGUGAUCCAUGUUGCAUGUUAAUAUCAACAAAGGAAUUUUAUUACUCAUUCCCCACACCCUACAAUAUUUCUAUCUGCAUCCUCAGGAUCUCGUAGACAGCUCAAAACAACAACGAACAUAUAUCAUAUUAGUUGAAUUUAUUCACUAAAACUAAAUAUCACAUCCACAAAAUCAUGAGAAUGAAAAAAUGAUGGAAGAAUUCCAGUCCCACAAAACCGAAUUGUUUCACCUAAACCCUUCAUUACUAACCUAUGGAUAGACAGUUCACUGAAAAUUGAACUCAAUCGGGUAAGGAACAGACAAUGAUGAUUAGAGGCAUUAGGGUAAGCAUUGGGGGUUUAACAAACAAAAAAUGCCAGCACAUUGUGUUGGUGAGAAACAUAUAAUGAGAAGUAGUGCAUACACUUGAGUAAUUUGACGGCUUUCAUGGUUUCCUCUGAGAAUUGUAAUUCUAUCUCUGUAACGAACUUUCAAGGCCACCAGAAGUGAAACAGUCUCCACAGAAUAGUAUCCACGAUCUGCGUGAAUUAAUGAAGCAUUAUCAUGAGAAAAUGGCAGCAGGUAUCAGCAGAAUUGUAUAUUAUAAUUUGAAAACAAUUAAAGGCAGUAAGAUGAUAGAAGAACUGAAAUUGAGUGAAGGCAAUAUGAUGCACAAAUAUGACACUGGUAUCAUACUCUUAAAAAAUAUGGGCCAGUAUAUAGAUAUGCAUCAAAGAAAUCAUAAAACAAAGUAAAUAUAUGUUGCAAUUAAUAAAUAUAUGUUUGCGGUGCUAUAAGUUCAAACUAAUAACAUAUUAAUUUUUUAGUAUCUAAAAUAACAUACUAAUAAAACAUUACUAAAUAGAGCGUAAAAAACAGAUAUUAUAUAUCACUUCCAUAAAAGAAUCGUUGCCUAUUUCGUACAAAUAGAAAUAGCAUCAAAUAUCAAUGUCACUCUCCUCUUUGAGCAUCUUCUGUAAAGAUGAGACCAAAUAUGAGAUUUGCGGAACAUAGAAAUGAUUGACAGAGAACAUAAGAUAAAAUUUCAUACCAGUGACAGUUAAAUAUUCAAACCAUAGCGGAAAAGACAACUACAAAAAUCUAGAAUACCCAACAUAUAUGUAUUGAUUAGGUAACCAAACACAUUGGUAUUAGAUACGUCCCCAAUACUAAUAUCCCAAAAAAAUUCAAGUUUUCCACUUUUGGUGCUUCAGAGGAUAACAACACUUACUAAAACUGAACUUUUAACUUCUUCACAACAUACAGUUAAGCGCGUCCUUCCCUCAAAUUUUAAAGAAAAACACAAUAAAGCUUAAAUAAAGAAAAAAAAAAAAUACUUAACAAAAAAAAUAAAGAAAUUGAAAGCUGAAGAAUGAUACUACCUUUUAUAAGCACUAUUGAAUUUGGAUACCAACUUUGAUAUACCUUGGUUCAAACUUCAAACAGAAUCAUAUGUUCCUUGACAAAUUUGGAAAAAAAUUAAUCAAAGUACUGAUCCGUGACAUCACAGAGCUUCACUCCUAAAGUCCUAUUGAUAUAUACUACAUUCUAUAAAAAUCCCAUCAUAACUAUCCAAUUUCAUGCGCUCAUCAACACUUGGAAAAAUAAAGCUUUGCUUGUUCUAACAUACAUAAAAAUCACAACCAUAAGUAUCUCUAUAGUUUACUCCAUAUUAUUAAAUAUCAACAUUUAUGUCUCAACAUUUCUUCAUUUCUUCGUGUCAAUCUAUGACCUAUAGAGUAAACACUUCUACUCAAAGGCGUGUCCGGUGUCAGACAUAUGUUAGUAUCCCACACAACACACAUGAUUACAUUCAAUUUUCUCAUUUUCUUAAAUUAUCACAGGUGUCGAUUUGUCAGUGUCGUGUCAAGUGCACUUCCACACAACAAGAUCUAAUAACCAAAACUCCAAAUUCAACUUCAAUACCAAAUGUUCCAAAGUAUCAAAUUCAAAUUGGAAAUCUGAGUCAUAACCACAGCAAAUUCAUACAAAAAAAAAAUCACAAAAAAACUCAAAAAAAAACGCACCUACAUAAUCACCCAUAAAGAGGUAAUUAGUAUGAGGAGCAUUUCCACCAAUACGAAACAAUUCAAUAAGAUCAUAAAACUGGCCGUGAAUAUCGCCGCAAACGGUGACAGGACACUUCACAGGCUGCACGUUCCACUCUUCAACCAGAAUCGCCCUUGCUUGAUCGCAAAGCGCCUUCACCUCCGCUUCCGUCAGAGGCUUGCACUCCAUCAGGUGCUCGAUUUGCCGGUCUAGAUCCGCUUGAGACGGCAUCGAUACAAUAAAAAAAAUUCAAAAAGGAGUGGAACCAAUGAAUCUAUGGAUACGAUUGGUUUCACCGGAUAAAGGUUAGGGUUAGGGUUAGGGUUGGGUUGUGAAUCGGAAUGAGGAGAUGAAACGCAGCGUUUUGGGAAGGUGUUUCUGUUGGAUUCAGUCUCUCUCAAUCAGAGAGACAUAAAAUAAAAAUUUGAGUGAAACCCAACUGUCCAAAUUUGUCCUAAAAUGUCUGCAGUAAUUUGGGAUUAUUUUAUUGUCCAAAACUAAAUUGGAGAAAACUACAAUCUUAUAAAACAAUUCAUAACAUCUUAUUUUCAUACAAAAUUAAUUAUAUUUUUUAAUAGAUAUCAAAUGUACAAAACGUCUUGUAAUUUUAAGACGGAUGGAAUAUUGAUGAUAUUAAAUAUUGAAGUCUACUUCUUUCAAAAAAAACAAGAAAAAAGAUUAAUUAAGUUUUUAGUUCCUAUAAAUAUCUGCAGUUUUGUUUUUAGUCCUUAUAAAAAUAAAUCACACUUUUUAGUCCAUACAAAAUUUUUCGUUAGUGUUUUUAGUCCUUGUUAAAUUAAAUGUUGUUUAAUUAUGCUUAAAAUUUUAAAUUUUUUAAUAAUUUUUUACAUACUUGUUUACUCGUUAAAAUGGAUCUCACUAAUAUUUCAUUUAUUUAUUUUGUCAAACAACCUAUUGAAUAAAAAAAUCACCCCUUAUGAUUAAUAAAAGGGAAAACUCAAAAUUUGAACUUUGAAUCACCGUUUAAAUUAUGUUCACAGAUCUCAUAAAAUAAAAUCGAACUCACUCAAUCAUAUUAAAAUAAAGUAAUGAGGAAUGCUAUCAACACACAUUACCAUUUUCAACACGUUGUCUUUGAUUGGUUAAAAUUUAAAUGGAUCCUACAAAAUUAUGUGUGUCCCAUAUAAAAUUUGAUGGAUUCCAUAAAAAAUUUAAUUAAUAAAAAAAUAUGUUGAAAAAAAAUAUGUUAAAAUGUGUGUUGCUAUUAUUUGUCUAAGGUAAUCACCAUUUUAGCAACACUAUAUUUAGAGCUGUCAAAACGGGCCGGCCCGUUUAGCCCGAAUAAAUAUAGGGCUUGGGCCUAAAAUAUUGAGCCCGAAUUUUAAUAGGGCUUUUUAGCCCGGCCCUUAAAAGCCCGGUACCCGUUAGGGCUAGCCCGAAUGGGCCGCGGGUAGCCCAUUAGCCCGCAUAACAAAAAAAAUUCUAUAAAUUAUAUAUAUUUUUCAAAUAAUUAUUUACUUAGUUGAUUAUCAAAGUAAAAAACAAAAGUGAAAAUUCAAUGAAUUAACACAAAUAUAAAUGUAAUAUAAAAUUAUAUUUAUUCAUUUCGUUAUUUAUAGUUUUAAAGAUCGAAUAUAUAAAUAUCUAUAACCAUAACAUAUCUAAUUUAUUUAAAAUCAUUUUCCUCGUCGUUUUAGUUUACAACUUUUGUACGAAAAUAUUUACAAUUUACUUUUGUGCUAGACAUUAUUUAAACAUAUUAAAAAUAUUAUUUAUAAAAAAAUUAUAGCAGUGUUUUAUAGUAUUUUUUAAAAUAAAAAAUAUAUAAUUUUUAAUACGGGCCGGCCCGUGUAGGGCCGGGCUCGGGUAGUAUAUUUCAAGCCCGUUUUAUCAACCGGGCUUUUUGGCCCGGCCCGCUAAAGCCCGAAGCCCGCUAGGGCCGGCCCGUUUAGGGCCGGGCCGCCCGUUUUGACAGCUCUAACUAUAUUGGUAGUUUUGUUAGUCAAACUAGAGAGGUAAAAAACAAUUUAACAAACAAAAACUACAUGCACUAUGCAGCAAUAUUUUUGUCAAAAAAAAAAGUAAAACUAUAUGCCGCAAUAUUAAUUAAAAAUUAUUAAUGAGUGUCUCAUAACACUCUUUAAUACCUUUAAAUGAUAAUAUUUUUAUGUCUUCGUGAACUUAACCAGCUGAUGGAAACAAUAUAUAAUAAAUACAAGUUGCGGGAUUCAAAUUCUAGAUAAAAAAAAAUGAUAAUAUUUUUAAAAUUUAUAUAAUCAAUCUAUUAAAAAUUAAAAUAUUUAACUUAUUAUAGAAUUAGGGUGGACAUUGGUUCAGUUUAGAAUGAAAACUAAAUUGAAUUGGAUCAAACUGAACUAUUUGCAUUUCAAAUUGAAUUGAACUGUUUCAAAUCGAACUGAACUGUUACAAACUGAACUGAACUGUUAUUAUUGAUACAUUUGAAAAAAUAAUAAAAGGAAAAAAAAACAAAACAAAAUUGAAUUUUAGUUACCGUAUUGAACUGAAUUGUUCGAAUUGAACUGCACUGUAACUGAAACCGUUUCAGUUCAGUUCAAUUUUUUCUGGUUCAGUUCACUUCAAUUCAGCGAUUCAGUUUGGUUUUUUGGUUUUUUGUCCAUCCCUAUAGAACUAUUUUUUAUUUUGAAAUAGUUAGAGUGUCCGGGUAGCGUAACAAGACCAUAUUCAUUUAUUCUUAAGAAAGAAACAAAAAAUACCAUAUUCAUUUAGUUGAAUCUGAACAACACGACAUAUGGACAAUCCAAUUUAACCACCUGUUUUAUUAUUCAAUAAUCUGAAAUUGCUGACUCAACACAUACAUUUCUUUCUUAAUUACUGGAUGAAUAACAAACAUUAACACUCACUCAUAAGAUAACUCAUUGUUUGGUUUUCUUCUUCUUGUUCUGCGAUACUUGGAUUAAAGUCUCAGAUACACAGUCUUCCUCAACCACACCUAAGGUAAACCAACUUGUCAUUAUGAUACAACAGUAUUGCUUUUGAAUACUUGUUUUGUUUUAUAUGAAAAAGCAUUGAUGAAUAUCCAUAUACUACUCAUUUUAAUACUCUUUCCAUCAGUAACUUAGUCUAUGUUUGGUUCCACGGUGACAUGAAUUGAUUAUGUAAAAUUGAUUCUGACUAAAAACGAGUUGAAGGUAAAGCUAUUUGUGUUUGGAUGCAUUUAUGUAAAAGUGAGUUGAACCAUAAAUUUGUGUGUAAAAAUCAAUUAUAGAAUCAAAAGCUACAAAUCCUAGCUUCAAAUAGAACCAAUUCUAGAGACCAAAGUCAAUUCUACUUGGAAGCAACCAAACAUGUUAGAAUCGAUUAUGACCUCUCUAGAAGUGGAACCAAACAUAUUGGAUGAAAUUUAUGUCGGACUAAUAUGAUUUUCCCAAUAAAAGAGUAGGCGUUGAAAAUAGAGUGUUAAAGUGGGUGCUCCUAGCACUAAACAUGUGAAAAAUAAAAAGUAUUGGUGAAGCCAAGCAAAUUAACAAAGUAUAUAACAAAACUAAAUUAUUGAUACACAAAUGUGCCUAAUUGCAACAAAUGUCCUGGGAAAUAGGUUACAAGAAUAAACAUUAUUUCAUUUCUUUUAGUACUAACAUUAAGACAAUAAUAAUAGUUAAAUCACCUACUUCAUCACUGCCAUAUUAUUUACUAUAAAGUAUGAGUAUUAAUUUCUAAGUAUAAGAGUUAAGGGAAGUAAACAUUUUUGAAGGAAAAGAAGGAAAAGCCUGAUGAGUGGGGAAGGAAAGGUGGUGUGUGUGACAGGUGCUUCUGGUUUUAUAGCUUCAUGGAUUGUCAAGUUCCUACUCCAACGUGGUUACACUGUCCGAGCCACUGUCCGUGACCCAAGUAUGUGCAUGUUUUUCCUUCAACUUCUUUCUCCUUAUAUAAAUUCAUCAACACUCUUAUCCUUUAUGUUUCAGCUAUUUUGGUUUCCCUUAUGAAUGAUUGAUUGGUGUGCAAGCAAGCAGGUAAUCCUAAAAAGGUUGACCACUUGCUUAAACUUGAUGGUGCAAAGGAGAGGUUGCAACUCUUUAAGGCAGAUCUCUUGGAAGAAGGUUCCUUUGACUCUGUUGUUGAGGGUUGUGAUGGUGUCUUUCAUACUGCUUCACCUGUUCGUUUUGUCGUAAAUGACCCACAGGUUCGUAUUCUAUUGUUUAUAAGCUCAGUUUCAUAUUAGAUUUUAUAUUAGGCCUAAUUCAUCCUACAAAACUGGUAUGUAAAGUGAGAGAUGCUAUUCAUUAUAAAAUCUUUACAGGUAUUAUAUAUCUUUUUAAUGUGUGUUUUAAGUUUUUUCCUCAGUCAAAAGGAUUCUAUUUUUCAUUGCUAUAUCCCCUGACUCUUAUAAUAUAAAGGACUUCACCCAAUGACCUAUUUAGAACCUAUCAAUCAUACCUACUUAUUAUUUCUUUAUGAUUAAAGAAGAAUGGUUUUUGUCUAUUGAAAUGUAAAAAUGGAAUUUUUGAUUAAGCGACUUUCAUAGGUUACCAGUUUAGCGAAGAUCACAAGAGAUCCUUUGAAAUUAAUAAAAAAGGACAUUGGUGAUGUAAGGAUUUCCGAUUCCUCUGUGUCUGCAUAAUGUGACAAGAUGAAUAUAUUGUUAAAGUUGCAAUUUAGCUAUUUCAUUAAGAGAAUUCGUCAUUUUCUGUUAAGAUAAUUUGGGGACCUAAAUGACAACUACACUUUCAAACUGAAGUUCCAUGUCUUGGGUGCCUUUUAUUGAUGAUAUAUUUAGUUGAGAAAUCAUGUGAUUAAGGAUAAGCAUAACUUCACUUUUUUUUUUUAGAUGGUUUGACCUUUUUUUUUGAAAAAUUUACAAGUCUAAAAUAAAUAUUACGUUUUUGUUGUGGUAGAGAAACAAAUCAGUUGAUAGCGUAUGCACUGUUAAUAUUUGAUAUCUGUGUUUUCAGGUGGAGUUGAUUGAUCCGGCACUUAAGGGAACUCUUAAUGUUCUUAAAUCAUGUGCAAAGUCAACAUCUGUGAAACGAGUUGUCUUAACUUCUUCUAAUGCUGCAGUUUCAUUUAAUACAAGGCCGAAAAAUCCUGAAGUUGUAGUUGAUGAGACAUGGUUUUCAAAUCCAGAUUUCUGUAGGGAAUCAAAGGUUAGUACCAUUUUUCCUAGAAAUAUUUCAGAAUAAAAUCUUAAAGCUUGUGAAGCUGGGACAUGUGAUUUUGAUGUGGUUUAUCUAAAGUUCGGAAUUGAAUGAUGUGUUUUUCGUUGAUAUGAGAUAAAGCCUUGGAUGAUAUUACAAAAGAUAAAAUACCAAUCAUUACUUAUGCUAAUACUAGACUCUUCAUCCUAAUUAAAUAAGGAAGCAAAUCAUAAGUUAACCCUAACUUUCGUGCCAACUUCUAUUUGUGUUUUCAGCUAUGGUAUGUACUUUCAAAGACUUUGGCCGAGGCUGCUGCCUGGAAAUUUGUUAAUGAAAACAACAUUGACAUGGUUUCUCUUAACCCAACAAUGGUGGCAGGACCUCUCUUGCAACCAGAGGUUAAUGAAAGUGUUGAACCAAUUUUAAACCUUAUAAAUGGUAAUUUUUCUUUUGGGAGGCAUUUUGAAGAGUUUAUCUAGAGUUAUUUCAUGACAUAAAAAGUGUAAGUUAGUUUGAAUACAAUACACCAAAUGGUGGGACCCCUUCCCGGACCCUGCUUAUGCGGGAGCUCUAGUGCACCGGGUUGCCCUUUUUUUAGAUAAAAUUAAGAUGGUUAAUGUCUAAUGAAUCUUUUGAUGCAUUGUUACUGCUAUUGAAGGUAAUAGCAUUCCUGGUGUUUGUUGGAAUUUUUUUUUUUUCCUCAUCCUAUCGGUCUCAAUCUGUCAUUAUUUGUCUUUCAUAUACCAUCAAAUGGUUACUCACUGAUCAAUGUAUUUCUUGCUUUGAUAACUUAAUAGUCGUGGAUCUGCAAUGUGUGACAUAUAAGUAAUGAAAUAUUUGUUCCAGAAAAGUAUUGUCCUGUUGCAUCAUAGAAGAACUCUGAAUUUUUGAAUGCAGGUAUACCUUUUCCAAAUAAAGCAAUUGGAUGGGUCAAUGUGAAAGAUGUUGCUAACGCCCACAUUCACGCAUAUGAGAUUGCUUCAGCUAGUGGAAGGUGUUUGUUGGCGGAGAGAGUGGUACACUAUUCAGAACUUGCUAUGAUUUUACGUGAUUUGUACCCAACGUUACCAAUUUCAGACAAGUAAGUUCAUUUCUAUACCUCCUCAAAGGCAUAUUAAAUAUGAAUUGUUGAAUGUAUGCUAGAACUGAAACUAGGAAGAUACUCAGGACAUGAGAUCUCAAUGCAUGGAAGCAAAAACAGUCUUUUGUUUAUUUAAAUCAUCUAAACAAAAAAUAUUACUUAAUGUAAGCUUUAUUGAUUACUUUUAAUGCUAAUAGUUUCCAUUGAUACCAUAUGUUCCUAAAACAACAAAAUUUGGUAUUGAAUUUUCAUUGAAAUUUUCCAUUUCUCAAAUAUGGCUAUUGAUAAAAAUUCAACUCCUAUAUUGACUAGAUGUAUAUAUGAGAUAAAUAGAGAUUAUAAAGUCUAAACAAUUUUUUUCCUUUGAAGCUGAUUUUCUGUAUCACUUUAUCAGGCAAUCUACCUCUUCAUCUAAGUUUGUGAUUCUACUUGCAUAUACCACUUUGUUUCAUCAAAUAGGGGCGGAGCCAACUUGUAUCCAGGGGAUGCAGCUGAACCCCCUCAACCCUUUAAUUUACUCCUAUUAUUUUGGGUUUCUUCCAUGUUGAACCCCCUUAAAUAUAAGGCUUGCACCAACUCUCUCUUUGUAACGGUAAAGUUGCACACGUUGGAGCAUGCUGUCCAAUAACAUGGUGUAGUGUACAUAUCUAUUGACUCUUUCAAUUUAUUUAAGGCUGACAUUAAACAUUUUCUAUUGAGUUCAAAGCUUUUUCCUGCACCUACCUAGCUUUUUGCUUGCUUAACUAACGUGAGUUGUUAGUACUACUUUUGCACCUAAAAUUUAACCCUCCAUCCAUCAUAAAUUACAUAAAUCAUAUUGACAAUUAUACAUAAAUUUAAAAGAUAAUUAAUUUUAUAUAUGUUAAUAGGAAAAGUAAAAUUUUAUAUUUCAUUAGUAUUAUAAAACAAUUUCUAUUCAUAGUCAAAUUGGGGAUGAAUAGAUAAAGAUUGUCUCAUUACUUAUAUUGAUAGAGACGUGUUUGAUAAAUUUGAUAAAAAAAAAUUGAUUAUUCCACACAUUCAUAACAUAAAAUUGCUUAGAUGACAAUUGUAGAGUAUCUUUGCAAAUUUUUUAGUACAACUUAAAUAUAGUACAAUGUAAUUUUUCGAAUAUAUUAUUUUUGAAUAUAUUAUUAUAAUUAUUAAUUAUAUUACAAAGGUUUGAACUCCCUAACCCAGGGUCCUGGCAACGCCACUGAAUCAACCACCGCAUAAUACUUCCUUCGAGUCUUGAGUUGUUCAUGGUCCCCUUUACUUUGACCAUACAACAAACACAAGUUAGAUUUUUUGGGUUACUCAACCUCUCACAAGGGUUAUAAUUGCCGAUGUCCAUACGGAAAACUUUUCAUCUCUAAGAAUUGUCCUAUUCAACAAAACUCACUUCCCAACCAAAGAAGUGUUUCUAAGUGCUUCACCACCUACUGUUUCCCAUCUAGUGUUCAUGCCUCUAUACCUCUUUCCUAUGCAUUCUCAUAAAUUCCACCUACCUCCACAAAAUAUCAUAUUGUUUUGAAAUCAGUUCAGUUAAUCAGCUACUUAUGUUAGUUUCAUCAUCUAGAAUCGUUUAUGCUUAGUUAUAGUCAGUUAUGGUUAGCUGGCAGCUGCACUUGGUUACUCUACUAUAUAGUAUAUAUACUCUCACAUCCUUUUGUAAUUGAGCUCUGUAUAAGCUUUCUUGUACUUUUUUUAUAGUUAUAGAAAUCAUUUCUUUCCAAUUCUUUCAAUUCUAAUAUUGUAUUAGAGACUUGUUAUGGUAUCAGCAACAGUGAUACCUCUAGACUCUAGUAUACCUCAUUUGAUUCUACGUUUUACUUCAAUCAUUUUAUGAACAAUCUUGUUUCAUUUUCAUGUGCUCCGGAUUUAAAUGUUAAUUUUUUUUAUUAACAUUGUACUCUACAAUUUUAUAAGGUGUGAGGAUGAUGGACCGUAUAUGCCAACAUAUCAGAUUUCCAAGGAAAAGGCCAAGAGCUUUGGAAUCGAGUUUACUCCUUUGGAAAUCAGCCUCAAGGAGACCGUGGAAAGCUUUAGAGAGAAAAAGUUUAUCGACUUUUAAUCCGCCCCGAUAUCCCACUUAAUCAAUAUAUUCAUGACAAGAUGUUAGUGUCAUUUGACUCAUGAAGUGGAAGUGAAACCCAUUUUAGAUUGUUGUUUUUGUUGAAUAAAAAUGUUGACAACUUCGAUCAUUUUCACUUUUUGAUUAUUAUAAACUUCCUUGUUGAGAAGAAAUUAUUAUUAUUAUUGUAAAAUAAGGUGUAUAAACUUUGUAUUUAAUCAAAACGGGCUAAUAUUGCUUGACAAUGGAACAUGUUACUUCGGUUUUAAAUUGAGUUUAAAGAGCACGCAUGGCAUGUAAGCAAGUUUUGUCGUGUAAGAUACUAAGAGUAUAUAAUAGAUGCUAAAAAGAUCAAAAUACCUUCUCUUUAUGUAAAAAAGUCAGGGAGAUGGAAAUAAUUCUCAGUCCAAGACGUGUCUUUUUCCAUCAUAAAAAAAGUUGGUCUUCCUUAAAUUUGAGUGAAUAACCGAAAAAAAGCAAAAUUAUACCUUAACCAUGUAGGAGAAAAAUAGACACAUAUUUUUCUGUCCUUUUUUUUUUUGUACACAUAAGAUUAGGUUAGCAAAUGACUACUGAAUCAUCUAGUCCUUUUUUUCCAUCAUAUUUUUCUGUCCUUUUUUUUUUACACAUAUUUUUACAUGGACACAAAUAUAAAUGCAUAAUAUUUGGUCACACACAUAUCAAAAACCUUUUUUUAUCAAAAGACUAAAUCAUUUUAUUAUCAAUUUUCUUUUUUUGACCGGUCAAUUAACCCAAAAAUGGGCCGGGUUGAUAGGCCGGUCAAUUAACCCAUAUUUUGACCGGGUCUAAAAAAAUUAGCCCAAAAAUACAAUUGGGCUUUUUUUGGCCCAUACAAAAGUGGGACCGGACCGGGCUGCCCAUCGGGCUUUUGACCGGCCCAUAUUUCAUUUGAUUUUUGUUAAAAAAAAUAGUAUAUUUUUUUUUAAAAAAUUAUCAACUAAUUUAAAAUUUAUUAAUAAAAAAAUAUUUAAAUAAAUAAACUCAAUAAAUAUGAAUGAAUUUAGCUUAAAAGUUUUUAAAAAUUUUUAAAAGUUUAUAAAUUAUUAAUUUGAUUUAAUUGAAGGAAUAAUCUAGAGUUUAAUUAUUAUUCAAUGCUAAUGUAAAAAUUAUUUACAUUUUUAUGUCCAUCCAAUCAUAUUUUAGCAAAAAAAAUAGUGGUAAGUAGGGUUGGGAAUAGGCCAGGCCAGGCCAGGCUUUGAAAGGCCUGAGCUUGGCCUACGAAAAUUAUACAAGCCUAAGCCUGGCCUAUGGCCUAUCAUAGGCCGUUUUUCUUGGUCUGGCCUGGCCUAUUAAAAAGUCUGGCCUAGCCUGAAAGCCUAAUUUGAAGCCUAUUUAAUAUUAUGGUCAUCAAAUAGUUCAUUUUACAUACUAAAUAGGCUAAAUAGGCCUUAAAGCCUAUUUUACUAAAAACAAAUUUUAACAACAUAACAAGCUGUUUAAAAGCCUAUAACAACAAAACAACAAAUCACAAUGAAUUUAGAGCUAAUAAUAAUAAUCUUUCGUUAGUACUCAUCAAUGUUUAUCAACCAUUUGAUUACAAUUCACGAAAAAAUAGAAAAUAAUAUCAUUUCAUAAAAUGCUUGAUAUGAGAAAACAAAAAAAGAAAUGAGUGAUAGAGUGACAUUCAUUAGUCAUAGACUCAUAGUCACAUGGUCUUAGUCAAAACUCAAGUGUAGCAAAAGUCAGCAUGCCAACAUAUGAGUCAUAGUCAGCUCCAUGUACAUAGACCACCCAAAAAACCAAAAUGAUAUCAAAUCUUCAAGGUGUAGCAAAAGUCAGCAUAAUUCAACAUAUCACACAAGUCAACAAAUCACUCAUCAGCUUCAUGUACACAAACCAGCCCAAAAAACCAAAAUGAUAUCAAAUCUUCAAGUUGAUUUGUAUCUCAUCUUUAUCAACCUUGGGAACCAAAAGAAAAAAAUACUUUAGUUAUUUGACUAAACAAUACCAUAUGAAUAUAUGAAUAAAUAUUAGUAAAAUAUCAUGACAACGAAUAACCUUUGAUUUGUUCCUCACACCAUACUUAUGACGGAACCAAUCACCACCACAAAUGAGAGCUUCAACAGAUUCUUCAUUUAAUCUAGAGCGAAAUUCAUCGAUAACUCUACCUCCAGCACUGAAUGUGGACUCGGAUGCAACAGUUGAGAUUGGAAUAGCUACUAUAUCAGCAGCCAUCUUAGACAAGAUUGUAUACUUCAUGCUGUUGUUCCUCCACCAGUCCAAAGCACUAAAGGAUUCAGAGUUAGGAACAACAUGAACACCUUGAUCAAGAUAAUCUUGCAAUUCUGACUUCGUGGGAGAAAUGGCUUCUUGCUCCCGAAUGGUUUGUAACAAGUCAUCAAUUCCAGUGGCAUUUUUAACAUUUGUUUGAGAGGAAGAUGGAUUAUCACAAUCCAAAUUAACAGCAGGCAUCAAAUAAGACUCUUCCAAAGAUAAGGCCACAUACUCAUCAUAUAAUAAUUCCAAGGAACGCCUAACCUUCUCUAUAUUCUCAUCAGAAACUUCCUUGGAUUAUAUAUCUUGGGAAAACAUAUACAAACACUGUGAAAUUUGCACCUAGGAUCCAAAACACUAGCUAUAGCCAUCAACAAAUUACACUCCCCCCAGUAUUUGUCAAACUUCUUUUUCAUUGGUUUUGCCAUUUCUCUCAUAAAGAGAUCUUCGUCUUCAUCCGCCAUAUCAAGUACCUGCUUCACCCUCCAGACCUCUGGCAAAUACAAAUUUGAAGUUGGAUACUCACUACCUACAUUCAAAAUAGUUAUAUUAAACACUAGUUAUAUUAAACAUUUCUAAGAGUAAUAAAGUACAACCAUUAAAUAGUUGAGAAACUACCUGAGAUCACAUGAGUAGCAGAAUUGAACACUUCUAGCAGUUUACACACUUUCUCAACUUUGUCCCAUUCUUCAAAUGAAAGGGCAUGAUUAUAGUGAGGCUCUCUUUCUUUGUAGGCUGAAAAUACAAUUUUAAAUUUCAAAGCGGUUGACGCCAUAUUGAAGGUUGAAUUCCAUCUUGUAGGACAAUCGAUGACGAGUUUCCUUUCUUUCAAACCUUUUUGCUCAACCACAUCACAGAAGUUCUUUAGACUUGCAUCAUUGUGGUUAACAUAUUUGACACUCUCACGAAUAUUAAAAAUGAUAUCCUUAAUUUUACUAAGGCCGUCCUGCACUAACAAAUUCAAAAUAUGCGCACAGCACCUAACAUGAAACAAAUCACCAUUAAGGAUUAACUUUCUACUCAGCGAUAUAUUAUCCCUAAGAUAUUUCAAGCACAAAUCAUUGUAAGCAGCAUUAUCAACAGAUACUGUAAAUAUUUUACUUUCAAUCCCCCAAGUUUUCAAACAUUUAUGACUAGCAUCAGCCACGUCAAUACCACGUCUUGGUGCAGGCACUUUCACAAAACUCAAAACUCUUUUCUGAAGAUUCCAUCCCGCAUCAAUGAAAUGUCCUGUGAUAACCAUAUAUUCAACCACUUGAUGGCUAGAUUUUCACAUAUCUGUUGUUAAACUAAUCUUGCUCACACUUUCCAACUGUUUCUUUAAGAUUUUUUUCUCAUUCUCGUAUAGUUUCAAACAAUCACUUCUUGUUGUUUUAUGAGUAACCUUGCGAAACUUAGGAUUUGCAUAUUCAAAUGCCCACAUCCAAACAUCAUCCUCAACAACAUUAAAAGGAUAUUCAUGAACCAUUACAGCAGUUGCAAUUAUUUCCCUCAUCCUUUCAUUAGAGUAUCCAACACCAGAAGUAAGAAAGGGGUUACCUGAACUCACACGCUUAAAUGGAAUAGCAGCUUGUCUCUUUUCAGUAGCAUCUUGCAAUUUCUUGGCUGUGCAACUUACAAGAUGUCGUUUCAUUUGACUCGUGCUAGAUCCUACCGUCCCAGUAGUAUAUUGUGCUUUGCAGUGUUUACAAACAGCUCUAAACACACCUUUAGUAAUUUCCUUUUCAUCGAAAUCUUUCCAAAUUACACUUGUUUUUUUCCUCUUUCUCCCAACAAUUGGUUCAGCUUGAGUUUCUUCUUCUUGGGUUGCAUUUGAUUCUGCUUGAGUUGUGCUUGCUCUUGUUUGAGUUGGUUCUUCAUUUGCUUGAGAAGACAUUUACUGUACAUGGUAAAAACAUUAAUGAAAAUGUGUUAUAUUAAGUAGAAAACUAUUAAUCAAUUUUAUUAGUUUCUGCUUACUGCCUUGUAUAUCAAAAAGAAUAUGAUCAAAAAUUUGAUUACCCAUCUAUUUUCCUAAUAUUAGAAGCUCUACUAUGACAAAAAAAAAUUAAGUAUGACAUAAUUACAUGAUUCUAUUUCUAUUUCUAUGCAAGCAUGGAAAUCACUAGAACAAACACUAUAAAAAGAAAAGGUACGUAGCAGCGAUAAGAAGAAAUUCCAAUCCAAAUAAUGAAGCCAUAAAAAGGGGAAAAAAAGGUAGCAGCCAUAAGAAGAAAAGGUAGCAGUAGCAGCCAUAAAAAGGGGAAAAAAUGUAGCAGCGAUAAGAAGAAAAGGUAGCAGCCAUUAAAAGGGGAAAAAAAAUCCAAUAAUGAAAUUCCAAUCCAAAUAACACUAUGAAGAGAUAUAAAAAAAAAAGAAAGAAGAAAAGGUAGCAGCGAUUCAAAAGGAGGCAGCAGCGGUAGCAGUGAUUCAAACCUGUUACGACGGCGGCGGCGAUAAGGUAGCAACGAUUCAAAAAGGCAGCAGAAGCGAUUCAAGUGAAGCCAAAGGGAUGGGAAUUGGGAAUGAUUUUAAAUGGGAAUUGGGAAAUAGAGUUUGUGAUUGUGAGAUUGUCGUUUCGUUUUUAAGCGGACAAUGGGAAUUGGGUUUGUUGAUAUAUAUUAAUAUAAUAAUAAUAAUUAGGCCUAUUAGGCUUAACUUAUGGGUAUAAAUAGGCCGGCCUAUCAGGCUUAACAGGCUUUUUUAAAAGCCUAAGCCUGGCCUAUUUUAUCAAAUAGGCUUUUUAAAAAGCCUUAACCUGGCCUUUUUAAUAAAUAGGCUAGGCCAGGCCAGGCUUAAAUAGGCCAGGUCGUAGGCCGGCCUAGCCUAUUCCCAACCCUAGUGGUAAGUAACUAAUACAUAUAAAAGAGUGAAUAAAUUUUAAAAAUAAAACAUAAACGGGUUGGACCGACCCAUGACCCACACGAGCUAGAUCGGGCUCUAGAAUUCGCGGCCCAAUUAGAAAUGGGUCAGCCCGACCCAACCCAUUUGACACCUCUACUUUCUAUUACCCUCCCAAUGUAUGUUUUUGUUUUCAUUUGGAAACUCCCUGUUUUUCAAUUGGUAUCCGUGGAGAUGAUUGUGGAAUUGGUUGGAUAUGGAAGAGAUACAAAAAUCUUAUGAAAUUGAGGCUUAUAAGAAGCUAAUGAAUCAGUGGUUGGACAGGCCCAUGGCCCACACGGGCUAGGCCGGACUCUAGAAUUUGCAGCUCAAUUAGAAAUGGGUGAGCCCAAUGAAGGUGAAAAACACAAGAAGGGGGGGGGGGGGGUUGAAUUGUGUUUUCUUUUUCUCUUAAAAAAUACUUCUUCUGAUAAAACUUCAGAAGCAGUUUGAUUGCUUCUGAUGAACUGAUCAGAGUCAGAUUGCAGCGGAAAAGAACAGAGCAGAGAAAAGAAAGACAAAGACACAAGCAGUUAUCCUGGUUCCUUCCACAACACGGAAGUAGUCCAGUCCCCCUUGCACUUCCAAGGAGAUUUCACUAUAAUCACAAAGAUUACAACUGCUCAAUACUUUCUAAGUAUGAGACUUCACAAAAAUGCUCAAGCACACACGCAAGAGUCUUCCAAUGCUCAAGCACUAAGCAAGAGACUUCUAAUGCUCAAGCACGCAGGCAAGAGACUUCUAAUCAAACAAAAAUACAGAGAAUUGAGUUUGACUUGAACACUUGAUAUACAAUCAGUGGUGUUCACAAUACAAUACAGUAAAGACUCUAGACUUUGAAUUUCUAAGAUGUAUCAAAUCAGUGCAGAAACUCAGUGUGCUUUGUAGAAUCAAAUUGACAGAGUUUUGGCGCUUUUGAACUUAUGUAUCUCUAUCUACAAUCUUCAAGUCUUCACUCCUUUAUAUAGAGGCGUGAAAGAGACGUUGAGAUAAUUAGCACGUCUUAAAGAGUCGUUUGAAAUCCUUUGAUUAUCCACCAGUGAUCCUUUGCCUGAUUUGGGUGUAGUCCUUUGAAGAAUAAGCUUCAAAUUCAUUCCCAUCUUGAACGUACAAAUUCUGCAGGCAUGACUGUUGUUUUGUCUUGUAGCGUAGACAGAAAACAGAGUAGUGGAGGUUGUGGUUGUACACUUGUACUUUGUCAACUCUAUUAACGAGAGACAAGUGCUCAGUGCUAUCCAUAUAUCCGUUGAUACCUCUCUUUCAAUUCUUCGUUCUUCUUGGAUAAGACUGAAUUGAGAAUCAGCUACUUUGAAUCUUCAGUUUGAUUAAAGGAUCAAAUGUAGCUUCUGGUGAAGAUAUUGCUUCUGAUGAAAACUUUUGCUUCUGAUGACCUUCUGCUUCUGAUGACGUCAUCACUUCAGAAGCACUUCAGCUUCAGGAGCAGUUUUCUUCAGAUGCUUAUAAUUUCUUUUUCUUUCUAUUGUUCUUCCAAGACCUAUUGAAAUAACUUGAGUAGCCUUUUGGUCCUGUACACUUGAACAAUUAUUAGUAAUAACCAAUUGACAAUUUUUAAUACCUUGUUAUCAUCAAAACUUAAUAAGGUUCAUUGUGAAACACAUUUUGUUCCAACAAUCUCCCCCUUUUUGAUGAUGACAAACAAUAGUAUUUAAAACGUUCAAUUGUUGUUGAUCUAAUUAAUAAGUUGACCACUGAGAUAGAGGAUUGUAAUCUCCCCCUGAGUAUAAUACAUCUUUAAGGUGAGGUUUGUAAGCUCCCCCUGAGUUUUAUUCUUAUUAAUUAAAUUUCAAUAAAAUACUCAUAAAAAAUAAUAUCAGAAGUAUUUAAACAAAGUUUAGAAGUGGUUAUAGUGGGGCUCAGUGCCUUAAAAUACUAUACAUUUACUCCCCCUUUUGUCAUCAACAAAAAGAAUAAAAACAAAAGAAAGAGUAUCACAGCAAAUAAAACAAAAGAAUAUACAUAUAACCUUUUAAAAAUAGUAUAUCAGAGCAAGCAGCAUUAAAAACAGUAAAUAUUAUCAAAGUUAAAGCUUGUAAUAAAAAUAUUGAAGGUGAAAAAGCACAAGAUCCAGAAACAAUGAUAAUAUAUAUAUAGAAAAGUUAAGAUACAGAUGCAGUGCAACUAAAGUACUUAGAACAAAGAUUAAAACAAGCAAAAAAAAUGGGUGUGCAACUAAGGUUGGGCUUGCUUGUACAUCUGUUCCAAAAGAUACUUAAUUUGUUCAUCCUUCUGCUUAAGUAGCUCAUCCUUUUCUCUCAUUCUUCUUUUAUACCCAGCAUGAAUUCUUGCAGCCCUUGUGAUGUACUCUUCUUCUGGAUAGAAAGGAGUGAUGUCCAGCAGAGGCACGUAAUUCAGCUCUUUCACUCUAGCUGCUUCAUCCAUAUCAUCCAACAUCUUUUGCAGCUUGGCAGAGUGAGAUGAGAUACACUUAGAGCUUAGCUGAUCCAGCAGGUCAUCAAAACUCUUUUUCAGAUCCAUCCAUUGAUCAAGAUAGUGAAUGGGAGGUACAGGAACUGUUCUGCGAAGAAUCAGUGUCUGAAUCUCAUCACUAAGCCUGAUUAGCUGUUCAUCUAUAUACUCAGAUUCAAGGAUAGAGUCAGGGAUGGUUGAAGGUUCAGAUUGAGUUGUAUGAGAUGUGGAGGGUUGAUCAGAGGCUGUUUGUUGGUUAGAAGAGGUUAGGUCAAUUAUUGGUGGUUCUGAUUGUUGUUGUUCUGUUGUUUGAUGGUCAGGAGCAACUUGUUCAGAAGCAACUUGUUCAGAAGCAGCUUGUUCAGGAACAGUUUGCUCAGGAACAGUUUGCUCAGGGAUGGUUUCUGUUGGUUGGUUUUCUAACACAGUCUUUUCAGGGACUGUCUUAGAGGCCUUUGUAGGUGUAGGUUGCAUUUCACCACCUAAAUGUUUUUCUAAAUUGUGAAGGGUUGAGGAUUCUUGUUGUUGGGGGAUUUCUGAAGUAGUUGCUUCUGAAACUACUUCAGAGGCUCUUUGUGGAGUUUGGUCAUUUUGUGGGUUUGUUUGGUUAGGUUCUUGGUUGGGUUGAGGUUGUUGUACACUAACAAGUUCUGGAAUUUCUGGAUAGAGUGGAUGAGUAGUAGGAAAAUUGAAUUUCUCACAAAGUUUAAUCCUAUUCUUAGAAAAUUCUAUUUGAGUUUGCUCAUAGUCAAGUGUUCCAAAUUCUGUUAGUUUGGUGGGUUUGGUUCUAAGAAGUUUGUCUAUGUGUUGGCUAAGGGGUUGGUCAUCUGAUUCAGUUGAUGAUGAUGAGGGUGAAGAGGGUAGAGAUGGAAUCUGAGUAUAGAUGUCAGGUUUGGAUGAAUUACCUGAAGAUUGAGCUUCUGAAUGAACUGCUUCUGGAGCUUUUGAAACUGGUUCUGAUGAAGUAGCUCCUGAAGCUUGCUUAUUCUUCAAGGCUUGUGAAAGCAGAGUUGCUCCAUACUUAACUGUUUCUUGCUCUAACUCAGAUGCUAAAGCAGCAAUGACAGGAGUAGGCACAUACCCUGCAGCCUUGAGACGCUCAUCCCUUUGCUUCUCAUACAAUUCCUUCAUCCUUUUCCUUUCUGCUAUCUUGGAUGCAGAAUAUUCCCUAGCAUAUUGCUUUAAUUCCUCAGAAGCUUCAAAACUAGGCAUGACUAUUGUCUCAGAAGUUAUAGUCAUUUUUGCCUUCUUGGGACUUGAGUCUUCAUCCCAGUUUUCUUGAAGCUCUUCCAACAUUUCCUCCCUUCGUCCUUCAGCUGUCUUCAAAUUUCUUGAAGAUCUCUUCCUUUUGAUGGUUUGAAGAGCAGCUUCUCUUUUCUUCUUAGGACUCUGAGGCUCUUCAGAUGCAGCUUGUUCAGAAGCAGGCUGUUCUGCUGUUUCUUGAGCAUUCCUUGUCCUUUUUCUGAUGAUAGGAACUUCAUCUAAGUUCUCCACUUCCUCUAGAAUAGUGGACAAAGUAGAUUUUUCCUUCUUAACUUUCUGAUGCUUCUGAGCACCCUUCUCAGUAGCAUCUUCAGCAAGAUAUUCUUCCUUAGUGAUCUGCUUCUUCUUUGAUUUUCUGCCUUUGGCCACAGGCAGAUCACCACCAUACAUCUCUUCAGGGACAUCUUUCAAGCUGAUCUUCUUCUUGUAAGUUUUGUAGAAGUCCAAGAUGUAGGCCCUUUGCACAUCCAGAGGAUCCUUCUUGCAGAUAGGGAUGUGAUGAGUGACUAGAUCAGAUAUUGCAUCAGAUUCAUGCAUAUCAGAAUCUAGUUUCUUGUGAGCAUUUGCUGGAAUCAAUUUCAUCUUCACAAGUGUUGAUGCAUUGAUUAUCUUCCCAGUUACUGCUCCCAGCUUCUGGUUAUCAUAGAUGCCAACAUCCUUCAAGGCACUUAGCAGUCCUCCUUGAAAGAUUACAGAGAGUAGCCUUCCAUAAGGAACAAACUUUCUGUUUUCCAUCUGACUCUUCUUUAGUUCCUUGAUCAUGUACUUGAACAUGUACUUAGGAACAUUCAUUGUGGUCUCUUGAGUGAUGGUGUGAUGCAGAAAAACCUUGUGACCAAGUGACGGUUGAUCAUUUCCUCCACCUUUGGGAAAGAUGUUUUCAUUCUGAAUCUUCAGCAGCAACUUCUUCUCAAUGCUCAAAGUGCUGUAAGGUUGAGCAACCUUAGACCCAUAAAUGGUCUCAUUGACAAUUUCCUUCCAAGAGCUGGUUCUUGGAUUAGGAAUCUCUUCUCCAAAGUAUUUGCCAGAGGUAUCCCUUCCCAUGGCUUGAGCAAUAACCUGUUCAUUUAUGGUUACAGGAAUACCCAUGACAUUUGAUCUAAUCUCUGUGCCGGUGAAGGAGAGUAGACCCAUUUCUUCUCUGGUUUUUCCCUUUAGAGUAGGAUCAACCAGAAUCAGUUGAGCUUCUUCCUGCCUAGCAGCUUCAAUGUCAAAGACUGAAGCCCUUACCCAGAAUUGUCUGACCAGAACUUCAUAAGUUGGACCAUUGAGAAGACUGAAGUAAUUCAUCAGCUUUUGCUUCUUGUAGAAUCUUACUAGGUCGCAUCCAUGGUGAGUUAAGGAGGUGAAAUCCACUGGAUUUUCUGCUUGAAUGAUUAACUCCCAUUCUUCAAUAGACAUGGUUCUUCCUUUAAUCUCAUAGGCCGGAAUAUCUAUUUCCAUAUUUGAUGAAGAACCACCAGUAGAACUUGAGCUUUCCAUUAAUUUGAAUGAGUUUUAGGGUUCUACGGUGUUUUGAGAGGAAGAGUGAAUGCGCUUACUUUCGCAGAGGGUUGAGAAGAAAAUAGAAAGUGUUUGUUGUGAAGUGAGUAGUGUGUGAAUUGACUUAGUGUUUUUAAGUAAAACGUUUGUAAUUCAGAAGAGACAAACAAACAUAGCAUUAAUGACAAAUUGGGGCGCGUGUUAGUAUGUUAAAAAGCAAAUAAAACAUCAUUGCCCUUUUUGUUAUACUCCAAUACAAAUAGACCACGUCAGAGACUCUUCAGAAAACUACCUUUUGGGUAAUGGGACAGCUGUUACAAAAAGUAACUGCCAACGUUCCCACUAACCUUGCUAUUCAGAAGCAAAGAAUAUCGCUUCUGAAGUCUUAGCGCUGACGUCAUCUUCAGAAGCACAUUUUCCUCAGAACCUCAUUUAAGAGCUUCUGAUGGACCAGAUGCUUCUGAAUAGACUUCAGAACCAAACUUCUUAUUCAGAGGCAAGCAAUUUUUCAAUCAGACACAAAAUGCAUGUUCAAAUUUUUCUUAAUAAAAUCAAAUCUUUCAACAGAUAAAGGUUUUGUAAAUAUAUCAGCUCAUUGAUGUUCAGUAUCAAUGAAUUGUAUAUCUAAAAUCCCUUUUUGAACAUAGUCUCUGAUAAAAUGGUGUUUGAUUUCAAUAUGCUUGGCUCUUGAAUGUAGAAUUGGAUUCUUUGACAAACAAAUAGCAGCAGUAUUAUCACAAUAGAUGGGAAUACUGUUAGCAUUAAUCUGAUAGUCUUCCAACUGAUGUUUCAUCCAAAGUAGUUGUGUGCAGCAACUUGCAGCUGAAAUGUAUUCUGCUUCUGCUGUAGACAUAGCAAUAGUUGCUUGUCUUUUGCUUGCCCAAGAUAUCAGAUUCUCUCCCAAGAAUUGACAAUUUCCACUGGUUGAAAUUUUCUUUCAAUCCUGUCACCAGCAUAAUCAGCAUCACAGAAUCCAAUCAACUUAUAAUCAUUCCUUUGGAAUUGAUUUAGCUCUUCUUGCAUAGCUAAUAUCCAUCCAUCAUCUGAGAGAGCUUCUUCAACAGUUUUAGGCUCAAUUAUUGAAAGCAAUCCUAUUAAUGACUCUUCUUGUCUGAAGUGUGAUCUUGUUCUUCUAGGACUAUCUUUGCUUCCAAUGAUUAGCUCCUCAGGAUGUGAAGAUUUGUGCUUGAAUUUAGGUUGAAUAACCUGCUGAGUGUUACCUUGAAAAUCCUCAGAAGCACUUUCAUUCUGUACUAUUGGACUAGGUUCUGCUUCUGAAUUAGACUCAGCUUCUGGAGUGAUUUCAGCUUCUGGACUAGAUUCAACUUUUGUAUACUUUUCAGAAUCAGAAGGUUGAUCAGAUUCUGAUGCAUCUUCAGAAUCAGUUGAACCUGCAUUACUUUCACUUUGCUCUGGAGUUUUACUUCCAGGCUCUCUAUCAUCAAAUUUUACGUGCAUAGAUUCUUCAACACAAUGUGUUUCUGAAUUAUACACUCUGUACGCCUUUGACCUUUCAGAGUAACCUAAAAAGAUUCCUCUUUGAGCCUUGACAUCAAAUUUCUUCAGAUAGUCUUUAGUGUUUAAGAUGUAACAAGUACAUCCAAACUGAUGAAAGUAAGAGAUAUUGGGUCUUCUUCCUUUAAAGAGUUCAUAUGUUGUUUUCUCCAACAUAGGUCUGAUAUAGAUCCUAUUUUGAAUAUAACAUGAAGUAUUAACUGCUUCUGCCCGAGAAAUGUUUAGCUAAGUUGUUUUCAUGGAUCAUGGUUCUGGCCAUUUCUUGUAAGGUUCUGUUCUUUCUCUCUACAACCCCAUUUUGUUGUGGAGUUCUAGGAGAAGAAAACUCAUGGGAGAAUCCCAUGUUUUUCACAAAAAAGUUCAAAUGGCUCAUUUUCAAAUUCUCCACCAUGAUCACUUCUGACUUUCAAAAUUUUCAAUUCUUUUUCAGAUUGUAUUUGAGUGCAGAAGCUGCUAAACACUUCACAUGCAUAGUCUUUACUUUUAAUGAAUUUUACCCAAGUCCAUCUGCUGUAAUCAUCAACAAUGACUAAUCCGUAUUUACUUCCAUAUAAAGAUGCAGUGUUAACUGGACCAAAAAGAUCAAUAUGGAGUAAUUCUAAGGGUCUGGAGGUUGAUACAAUGUCUUUAGAUUUGAAAGAACUUUUCACAAUUUUCCCUUUCUGACAUGCACCACAAAGUGCAUCUGAAUGAUAAUCAAUGUUAGGCAAUCCUUUGACCAGUUGUAACUUGCUAAUUUUAGAAAUUAAUCUCCAAUUAGUAUGUCCCAACCUUUUAUGCCAUACCCAUUUUUUAUCAUUCAUUGACAGAAGGCAAACUACCUUCUGAUCAGCCAGAUCAGAGAAAUUUAUUUUAUAGACAUUCUCAACUCUCUUUCCCUUGAAUGUAAUGGAUUUGUCAUCCUUGUUGACUAGUGUGCAGUUGGUCUUACUGAACGUUACAUCAUACCCAUUGUCACAAAAUUGACUAAUGCUCAAUAGGUUAUGCUUCAGACCAUCUACUAGCCACACAUUAUUAAUUGAGAUGGAGGAAUUACCAAUAGUACCUGUACCAAUGAUCUUUCCAGUUUGGUUGCCACCAAACUUCACUUCUCCUCCAUCUUUCAUUGUAAGGGUAAGGAACAAAGCUUUCUCUCCAGUCAUGUGCCUUGAACAUCCGCUGUCUAGGUACCAUGACCUUUGUUUCUCUCUUGCCCUUAGGCACACCUGCAUUUUUAGCCAAUUCAGAUUUAGGUACCCAUAUCUUCAUGGGUCCUUUUGGGUUAGUUUUGGAGGUUUUACUUUUCCUCCCUUGUACCUUAGGGUGAAUGCUGAGUGGCUUAUGAUCAUUUAAUACUUUAGGUUUGACACCUUUGGGUAUUGUUUUCUCAGAAGCAGUAGCUGCUUUGUUCUUCUGAUCCUUUUGUUUUGGGAUUUUAGAUUCUGGUUUAAUCAGAUUCUGAUGAACAGGUUCUGAUCUUUUCAGAAUUUUAAUCUUUUGACUCUUAGGAUCAAAUUUUGUCAUAACCUUGAACUUAAGGUUUUCUGGCUUUGAUGUGAUCUUAGCCUGUGAACCAGAAGCUUCAGGUUUUGACUGAACAGCAGUUACAGCAUUUGUACCUUCAGGCACAAAGGUGGAUUUCAAUCCAUCCUUGAUAAAAUCAUAGUAGCUCUUGAGACUGUAUUCUUUGGAUUUCUCCUCAGAAUAUCCAAUCCCUUUGUCUUUGUUCUUGUAUGUGCUGUAGAUCAUAGAAGCAACUUUGCUUCUGUCUAUUCCAGCCAUAAUAAAAUCAUCCAAGGCAAUCUCAUGUUUAUUGCAUGAACCUUUAUCACAUUUUUCUUGUAGCUUCUGACAAAGACUCUUGAGUCUAUCUUCAUAUGUUGUUGAUAUGAGGUUAAACCCUUUGAGUUCUUCUUCAGAAGCUUUCAGUUCCAAUAGAGUUGUCUUUUGUUGUUUCAUCAAAUCAACAUAUUUUUCUUUUAAAUCUGUCAACUCAUUGGUUCUGUGUUCAAACAGUGAUAAAAGUUCUUUUAGAGAAUCAACAAGUUCUUGUCUAGGGAUUUUGGAAUAUACCUCAUUUUCAUCUUCUGAAUCUGAUUCAGCUUCUGAUACUGCUUCUGAUGAUACUGUUGCCACUAACCCCAUGGCUGCCUUAGCAUCAUCAUCAGCUUCUUCUUUAUCAGAACCAGAUUCACUAUCCAAAUCUUCCCAGGUUGCCAUCAAGCUCUUUUUGAUUUGCUUUCUGAAUUUACUGAAGUUGAAGCUUGAUUUCUUGGAUUUGCCUUUAAACUUCUCCUUCUGAAGAUCAGGGCAAUCAGCAAUGAAAUGACCAGGCUUCUUACAAUUGAAGCAUCCCCUUCUGAUCUUCUUUCUUGGAGUUCUUGUAGCUACCUCUCUUGCUCAAAAAUUUCUUCUGCUUCCUUGCCAGAUACUCAAGCUUGUUGGAUAGCAUAGCCAUCUUUACAGAUUGAUCUUCAUCAGAAUCUCCAUCAGGUGAUUCUUCUUCAGAUUCACUGGCUUUGUAGGCUUUGGAAGAUUUUGAGGUCUUUCCUUUAGAUGGUAAAGCAAUGGAUUUACUCUUCUUAGAGGUUUCAUGCUCAUUUAAACUCAUUUCAUGCACUUUGAGUGAGCUAACAAGAUCUUCAACACUUAAAGUAUUUAGAUCCUUAGCUUCCUCAAUAGCAGUUACUUUGGGUCUCCAUCUUGAAGGUAAGCUUCUCAAAAUCUUACUAACAUGAUCAGAAGCAACAUAGCUUUUCUUCAGUAUUUGCAAUCCAGAAACUAAAGUUUGAAAUCUUGAGUACAUUUCUUCUAUACUCUCAUCAUCCUUCAUUCUGAAAAUUUCAUACUGAUGAACUAGCAUCAAAGCUUUAGCCUCUUUCACCUUCUUGCUGCCUUCAAAGUUUGCACAUAGAGAAGCAAACAUAGCCUUCGCAGUAGAUUUGUCACUCAUCUUCAUGUAUUCGGUGCGAGGUAUAGAAGCCACAAUGAUUCCUCUUAUCUUGUGGUGUUUCUUAUAAAGCUUCUUCUGAGCAGGAGUAUGUAUUCUUCUGUCUAUAGCAGCUCCUUCUUCAUCCAAAUCCAGAUCAUCAACUCCAUCUUCCAGUAUGUCCCAUAACUCUUCAUCCAAUCCCAUGAUAAAGCUGUACAUAUUAGUUUUCCACCAUGAAAACUCUUCUGGAUCUCCAUUAAACCUUGGAGCUUUUCCAGAGUCUGUUUUCUUGUCAACAGUAUCAUAGUCAUGCUUGACACUUGUGUAUUUUGUAGUAACUGAUUCCUCAUCUUCAGACAUGUUUUUCUAAUAGAUCUUGAGCUGUAACACGGUUAAGUGCUAUGAUAACAGAGCAAGCUCUGAUACCAAUUGAAGGUGAAAAACACAAGAAGGGGGGUGGGGGGUUGAAUUGUGUUUUCUUUUUCUCUUAAAAAAAUACUUCUUCUGAUAAAACUUCAGAAGCAGUUUGAUUGCUUCUGAUGAAAUGAUCAGAGUCAGAUUGCAGCGGAAAAGAACAAAGCAGAGAAAAGAAAGACAAAGACACAAGCAGUUAUCCUGGUUCCUUCCACAACACGGAAGUAGUCCAGUCCCCCUUGCACUUCCAAGGAGAUUUCACUAUAAUCACAAAGAUUACAACUGCUCAAUACUUUCUAAGUAUGAGACUUCACAAAAAAAUUGCUCAAGCACACACGCAAGAGUCUUCCAAUGCUCAAGCACUAAGCAAGAGACUUCUAAUGCUCAAGCACGCAGGCAAGAGACUUCUAAUCAAACAAAAAUACAGAGAAUUGAGUUUGAAUUGAACACUUGAUAUACAAUCAGUGGUGUUCACAAUACAAUACAGAAAAGACUCUAGACUUUGAAUUUCUAAGAUGUAUCAAAUCAGUGCAGAAAUUCAGUGUGCUUUGUAGAAUCAAAUUGACAGAGUUUUGGCGCUUUUGAACUUAUGUAUCUCUAUCUACAAUCUUCAAGUCUUCACUCCUUUAUAUAGAGGCGUGAAAGAGACGUUGAGAUAAUUAGCACGUCUUAAAGAGUCGUUUGAAAUCCUUUGAUUAUCCACCAGUGAUCCUUUGCCUGAUUUGGGUGUAGUCCUUUGAAGAAUAAGCUUCAAAUUUAUUCCCAUCUUGAACGUACAAAUUCUGCAGGCAUGGCUGUUGUUUUGUCUUGUAGCGUAGACAGAAAACAGAGUAGUGGAGGUAGUGGUUGUACACUUGUACUUUGUCAACUCUAUUAACGAGAGACAAGUGCUCAGUGCUAUCCAUAUAUCCGUUGAUACCUCCCUUUCAAUUCUUCGUUCUUCUUGGAUAAGACUGAAUUGAGAAUCAACUACUUUGAAUCUUCAGUUUGAUUAAAGGAUCAAACGUAGCUUCUGGUGAAGAUAUUGCUUCUGAUGAAAACUUUUGCUUCUGAUGACCUUCUGCUUCUGAUGACGUCAUCACUUCAGAAGCACUUCAGCUUCAGGAGCAGUUUUCUUCAGAUGCUCAGAAUUUCUUUUUCUUUCUAUUGUUCUUCCAAGACCUAUUGAAAUAACUUGAGUAGCCUUUUGGUCCUGUACACUUGAACAAUUAUUAGUAAUAACCAAUUGACAAUUUUUAAUACCUUGUUAUCAUCAAAACUUAAUAAGGUUCAUUGUGAAACACAUUUUGUUCCAACACCCAACCCAUUUAACACCUCUACUUUUUAUUAUCCUCCCAGUGUAUGUUUUUGUUUUCAUUUGGAAACUCACUGUUUUUCAAUUGGUAUCCAUGGAGAUGAUUGUGGAAUUGGUUGGAUAUGGAUAUGGAAGAGAUACAAAAAUCUUAUGAAAUUGAGGCUUAUAAGAAGCCAAGGAAUCAGUGGUUGGGCCGGCCCAUGGCCCACACGGGCUAGGCCGGACUUUAGAAUUUUCGGCUCAAUUAGAAAUGGGCCAGCCUAACCCAACCCAUUUGACACCUCUACUUUCUAUUAUCCUUAUGUUUUUUUAAGUAGUUUUUCUAUUUACACCUCAUGUUUUUCUGGUUACAUCCAAAUUUUCUUAAAACCCUAAUUUUAUUCAUUGUCAGUGAGUUUCACCCUCUUUCACCCCACAAAGCGAUCGAUCAAACAAUUUGAUGUUCAAUAUCAAUCUCCAUGAAAAUUAAAAAGUGAAUCAAAAUAUUUUUCAUUCAUACUCAAUUGGAUAUAAGUAAGUGAAUUUCUUCUUCUAUUUGCUAGUUUCAAUUUUUUUUCCUUCAACUGCACUGAUGCACUGUACGAUUACGGUUUUAAUUUACAUUGGCAUGGUUAACUCAAAUGAGUUUACAUGAACCUACUUAAACUGAGUUUACAUGAACCUACUUAAACUGAGUUUACAAAAUCGCAGAACUAUGAAUCGCAGAACAAGGAAAACACAAAAUCAGAACUGAGAACCCAUAACAAGAAAAACACAAUCGAUUGAAGAACAACACUUGCUAACCUGAUUUGCUUCGAAUUUUCUUUGAAAUCAUGAAUGGACGUGAGAAAUUAUGGUUUUGAAAAUCUUCGCAGAACACAAUCGAUCGAUUGGAGAAUUAUGGUUUUGGAAGAAGGGUUUUGGGGUGUAACCAAAAAAGAAGGAAUAUGCUUUUUGAAAAUCAAAUUUUAUGAAAGGGUAAUCUUAUCAUUUUGGGGUGCAACCAUGAUUAACUAGGGUGCAAGUAGAAAAACUCUUUUUUCAAUUGGUAUCCGUGAAGAUGAUUGUGGAAUUGGGUAUGUUUUUUUUCAAUUGGUAUCCGUGAAGAUGAUUAUUGUGGAAUUGGUUGGAUAUGGAUAUGGAAGAGAUACAAAAAUCUUAUGAAAUUGAGGCUUCUAACUCAUCCUUAUAAAACCAACUUGUAAUGUGAGGAUUGCAUCCUCUUUAUAAACUCUCAUCAAGAGUCUCAUCUAUCCGAUGUGGGACUUAAGUUGAAUAAGCGUGUGGUGUUCAUUGUUCAAAUUUCGGUCCUGCAUAUUAAUGCAAUGUCCCUAUGAGCUAAGCUCACGGGAACUAAUUUUUAUUGUUAUUAUAUAAGAUUUAAGGUGGUUAACGACUAAUGAAUCUUUUGAUUGUUGGAUGCAGGUCUACCUUUUCCAAAUAAAAUUUGUGGAUGGGUGCAAUGUGAAAGAUGUUGCUGAAGCUCAUAUAAAUGCAUAUGAGAUUGCUUCAGCCAAUGGAAGAUAUUUGUUGGCGGAGAGAGUGACACACUAUUCACAACUCGCUAGUAUUUUGCGUGAUAUGUACCCAACUUUACUAUAUCUCCAUGAAUGCAAUUUAACACAACUCUCAAAGCCUUUGAAACAAACUAGGUAGCAGAUUUUUAAAAAUAAGUUUUAUUUUGAUAAAGUGUAAACAAAUUACAACCACGUUUGUGACUUUAAAAGUAGUUAAUUCAUCUUUUAAAUCACAACCAAUUAUCUUGAGGAGGACCUAAACUAUUAAAGAUUAAUUCAUCUUUUAUUCGCUGCCUUGCCCUUAAAGUUCUUGGGAUUAUGCAUUUUUUUAUUUUGUUUUUUUGGUCAAGUACCUCAAUAGGUAGAAAUUCACCUCUUAAGAUGAAUAAAUGUGGUGUCUAAUGUUCGAACUCUCUCCCUACAUAUACUAUACACAAUGCUCCUAAUAACUUAUCUAUGUUCACAAAACAACUUGUUUAUCUCCCAGAGAAGUGGCGCUACAUUAUCCUCUAAGUUACUAGUUUUACUUUUAUAUAUACCUCGUUGUUUCAUGAACCACCAGAUUACAACUUACUUAUAGUUUUGGUUGAUAAUGCAUACCAUUUAGUUAGACCAUACAACAAAAACAAAUUAAAUUUAUGCUCUAAGUGAUGCUUCUCUUAGAGUUACUUUACCCCUCACAAGCACGGGCGGACCCAAACUUUUGAUCAUUCAAAACAACUAUAUAUCAACCAAGUAAAAUUUAGACACAUUAAGCACUAUAGCGAAAUGGAUUCGGUUUGUCUGUUUUACUCUUGUGUUACUGGUUCAAUUCCCUAUAACACACUUAUAUUAACAAUUUAAAAAUUAAAAAAAUAUUAAGAACUAUUGCAGUGAGUUGAAGGUGUAUAAGUCAAGUAUAUGAAGGAAAAAAAUUGGGUAAUAAUCUAGUGUGACACUCGGUUUAUGAGCAGGGUUGUGGUCUCGAUUUAAAUGGUUAGUUUUUUCUUCUUUAUCUUUCACUAACAUAGUAGGCCUCAAGGAGAAAAAGAUUGUCAACUUUUAAUCUGUCGUUAUACAUUCUCAAGUAAUUCAGAUGAUAGAAAUAAUAAUAAGUAAUUUUUAGAGAAAAUAAUAAUAGAAGAAAUUUUGAUCCGAUAAUUAUUUAUUAGACCUAAGGAUCAUAAGGAGAUAUUGUCCUCAAUGAACUAUAGCAAUGAGUAGUUUUGGGGUUUUUCCUAGUAGUGACUAUUCUUAGAUUGAUAGUAGAUAAAUUUAAUUACUAUGCAUUGUGUCACACAAAAUUAGUUGAAACACAACUCAUUAAUUUCAAAAUUCAACCUUGCCACCAUUGUUACAUCUGAUUAAGAUACUAAAUCAUGUAGCUUAAUCUUUUCAAUAUGAUCAAAUAAUAACGUUUGAUAUAAAUAGUACAAAACAUCGUGUCCUUUUACCUAAUAGUAAUAGUUAGAUUUCUGUUCUGAUAAAUACCAAAUGUCUGUGUCGACUAAUUAUGAAGUAGUAGUUGCCACUUCCAGAAAUUUGUGAACUUAGUCAAUUGAAAAAUCAAUAUUUGUAUGUCACAACAUCACUUUUCUAGUGAAGUCGGAAAGCGUACUCCAAGCAUAAAGUGAAAAAAGAUUUUCAAAUGUUUGGUUGACCGUUUGGAGAGGUUUGUGCUCUCCAAUCGUGGGUUUAUGCUCUCAAAUGUGGGUUGGUUUUUUUCAGUAGUGUUUAGAUAAAAUUAAAAGCAAUUUUAAAAAAGUAAUUUUACAUUCAAAACGUGGGUUAACUGGAAGCCAUAAAUUAUAGCUUUGUAGCAACUAAAAGCAAUUCUAGAGUUUGCUUUUUGUUAAGAAAUAUAUUUUCCAUAAAUACCCAUGAUUCAAUACAAUCUCCCUCUUUUUUUUUUUUUUUUUUUUUUUUUUCUUUUUCUCAAACUCCAAUGUUUAUUCUAUGCAACACUUUCUUAUUUUAUCAGAUCUAGUGAAAAAUCUCCUUAUUUUUUUAGAUUUGGUGAAAAACAAAAGUGGGGAGGAAGAAUGAGGAAAUACUCAAUCUCCAUUGAAGCUUCAACAAAGAAUAUGAAUGAAAAAAUUACGAAAAUUUGGGAAAUUAAAAUCAGAAUAAGGGAAGAAAGGAUGAUGUCAUCCAUGAAACUAAACAUCUUUAGAGAGCAACAUAAAAUGGGUAAAAUAUUACAGAGAGAGAGUCUGGAGUCUUCUUCAUAAAUGACUUCAAUUACCCAUCAUUAUAUUUGUUAUUUAUUAAUUAAAGGAGAAGUUCUAGAGAAUUCUUACUUUGUUUUUUUGAAGAUGUAUUUUUUUGAAAAUGAUUUUUAAUUAAUUAAUUAAUAAGAAAUAAUAAUAAGAUGAUAUUAAUAAUGAUUAAUGAAUCCAAAUGAUAACUUGAAUAAUUAUAUAAAAUGAGAUAUUUUAAUUUUAAAUACAAUUAAAAAGAUAUUUUCGUCAUUACACAUUCAAAAUCAAUUUUGAUUUAAACCGUCCAAACAUUAUCAACUCAUAAGAAUCAUUUUUACAUUAGUGUAUCCAAACAUAAAUCAAUGAAAAAUGUUACAUAAACACCCUUUAUUCAUACAUUCCAUUGUACACCCUAUGUAUUAGGGAUAUUUUGGUAAGUUCAUCUCACAACCACACUUUAUCUUCUAUUUAUGUGGGUCCAGAUUGCCACGUGUCAGAAUUUUAUGCGGGUGUAAAGGGUGUAUUGCCACAUGGGGUGGUACAUAUAUCACCACUUCAAACUCAAUUCUAUCAAAAUCAAUUCUCUUAAACUCAAUUCUAUCAAAAUUAAUUCUCACCACCGCUGUACCAAAGACACACUGCAUCAAAUUUAUUCUUUACAAUGAAAACUAAAAAAUAAACUAACCAGAAUUUGCAAAUCCAUGUCCCAAAUGUCGCAACUAGAUUCACAGAGAAUGAGUAUGAAAUUCAUGAUAACUAGUAAACUUUUGACUGUUUGGCCAUGUCUUCAUGGUCGGUAAGCUUGUAGUAUCCGUGGUAGAAGUCUAAGACUUGGAGAAGCUCCUAAAGGUGAUGCCACCGGUGAGAGACAUAGCUCAUCGUAGCCUACACAUGUUUUGAUCAGUAGUAAAGAUAGAAUGUCGUAAGGCACAAAGUCCGAUAGAGUGUUUUGUAGCAUCCUAUCUUUCCUCCCGACCAAAACACGUGAACUAUUUCUUACGCCUUCGUCUUUUGAACUACAUCAUUUAUGUGAUUCCAACAAUAUAUUUCCUACUCCAAAUCUUUCUUCUAACCUAAAAAUAUAAAAUCUUUUUACUGGGAUGACUGGAUGAGGGAACUUAGCGGCACCCCGUGGAAAACUGGCAAUAAAUAAGGUGGAGGAAGGGGCUCCCUUGCAUAUGCAUCAAACCUAGUUACCCCCACUGAUUGGUAACAAAAAAAAUGGCAACAAAAAAGAGCCAACACUGAACAAGUUUUGGAUAUUUGUUAAAUUUUUCCCACUUCUAGAUAUCUCACAUCGAUUUUGAGUUUUGGAUAGUUGUGUAACGGCAGCAAGGAUUUUAACUGAGGGAGAAGAUGCAUCCGGAAGGUGACGAGACGAGUAAUUUGAAGACAAUGAUUAAUGAGUAAUGAAUUUGGAAUAUACUUAUGUUUCAGUUUUGAGAGGAAACGCCAAAAGGUUACAAACCUUUCUGUACUAAUGCUAAAAGAUCUCUUGAAUCUUUAGGAGUAAAUUAGGCAAUGUGGAUAGAACACUGCUGUGAGUGACAUUGCUCAAUUAUUGAAGUUGAUAUUGCUGUGACAUUGCUCAAUUAUUUCAACAUGUUUAUUUAGAAUGGUCCAAACAAAUGUCCCACAUUUGUGUGGAAAAAACUAUAUCAGUACCUUAGUGACGCAAAAUCUCAGACACAAAAGGAAAUGAAAACAGUCCUUGCUUUUUAUUCAGGAAGACUUGUGUAUUUUUUAUCUUUCGGCCAACUGAUAUGGAUAUAUGGUGGAAUCAGGUCUAAAUCUUAUAGCUCAUAGGUAUUUGAUUAACUAACAUUGUCAUCAUUUCGAACUUAUGUAUUUUACGUUACUACAUCAUCAUGCAUUGAACAACGGAGUUUCUUGAAGCCAUUAUUAUAGCUUGUUCCCAGCUGGAUAUGUAUAACCAUUGAUUUCUUUCUCACUUGUGGUCUUUACUAUUAAGUGUUAAAGCAAUAACUUGCCUCCUAUUUUGUUUAUGUACUUGCAUUUCUUUUUACUCUGUUAAGGUAGAUUCUUUACAAGUAUCUCACCUAUAUGGCAGAAGCUUCUGUUUGAAGGAAGCAAUAUCGGAGACAACAAAGUACAAUACACCCCUGAUGGCGACGACAAAGGUAACAACCUCAACUGCAUCGACGUACCUUAAUUGUUCAUCCUGGUAAACCUCAAUUACUAUCAAACCUAGUGAACAUUUUCUAUUUUUUUUUCUACGUGGUCCCUGAUUAAAAGCAAAUCUGCCCUUGGUCCAGCAAGAGAGUAAUAAGCAACAAGAGCAGAUUUUGCUUAAACUUAAAGAGAUAAAUGGUUAUACAUAUCCUGCUGGGAACAAGUUAUUAAUGACUUCAAGCAACUUCCUUGUUCAAUGCAUGAUGAUGUAGUAACGUUAAAUACAGAACAUGGAAAUAAUGUCAAUGGUAGUUAAUCAAAUACAUAUGAGCUGUAAGAUGUAAACCUGGUUCCACCAUAUCCAUAUCAGUUGGCCAAAAAGGAAAAAAAACACUAAAGUUUUCCACAAAUCAUCUCCUCCUUCCUGUUUGAAUUACCUUUCCUACAAUCAAAUUUAGGCCAUUAAGAAUCAGAAAAAAAUUCUCAAAUUUUCAAUGACAAUUACAUCAUUAGGUAUUUCCUUAAACUUAAAGAUUCUGACCUUUAUUAAGAAACAAAUGAACCUGACUUAAUACAACGAAAUCCAAGUUAACGUAUUGCCUCCAUAAAUUGUAAAUUCAUUUUCUAUGGCAAAAUUAAAUUCUAAACAAAGGUGCAAGAGUCACAACAACAUUACAAUCUUUUUAUCAUAUAAGUGACGUGUAUUCCUAAAAUCCUCAAAUUUUAUUACUUACUUGCAAUUCUGACAAAUAUAGCGAAGUUCGUCAAUGAAAAAGCCAGAACACCCGUGAAGAUAAAUAUUCAGUUCGAAAAGUUUCAAAAGAUCAUUAUCAAACAAUGCCUUCAAACAAUGAAAAUUAUGAAGCUCGUUAACCCAUGGAGUAACAGACCCUCCCUAAAUAUGUCCACUCUAGGUUUUCUUUUGAGCUUCAAUGAUUCCAAAUUAAGGAACCGUACUCUUUGUGGCGUCGUGGAGUAGCACAUACCUACCACACCACAAAGAUUCAAGACACGGUUUCCUAAUUUGAAAUCUUUGCAACUCAAAUGAAAAUCUAAGGUGGAGAUAUUUGAGUUGAUACCCGCAAAUUGGGGAGGGUCUGUUACUCCAUGGAUUGAUUAGCUUCAUCAUUUUCAUUGUUACCUCUUUGAAGCUGGUUGGUUCUAGAAAUUUCUCAAUGGGUCAUCCAGGAAUAAAGUCUCUUUCAGAAUACUUUAGAGACUUAACAGAUGUAGACCUAGAUUACAUUGGACCAAGAAGUAACCAUCUCAAGUUUGGACUGUUUUGUCCAAUGUAAUCUAGGCCUACAUCGGUUAAGCCGCCGUCUACUUCGAGAUACAGAGAAAAAUAAUGUUUGAUUAACUUGAAGAAGUGAGUGAUAUUGGUUAAUUGAGAAGAAUUGGGAAGUGAGAAGAGAUUAGGAUAAGGAUGAAGGAAGAGGUGAAUGAGUGAGAGAGAAUUGUGAAUUAUGGUAUGGCUUUAUAUAGGAAAAUAAUCUGUUGGCCAGUACUGAGCACAUUUAAAACAGCACGCUCAUCCAUCACUUAUAGAAUCUCUACUUUUAUUUUUGUUUUUAAGACUCUUUUACUUUUUUCUUUUCUACCAGAACAAACAUUUCACACUUCAGUUAUGCUCAAUUCUUUUUUUCACAACAUCAAGUCCCGAUUCUUAUCAUAAAAGAAAAUACCUUAACCUUUGUUUUUUUUUUUAAUUAUUUUUUUGUAAGAACUUUUAAAUUUUCAGUCUUUGGCUAAUAAUUUAGGUAUGAGGACAACCAAAAGCUGGUCUCUCAUUGGAUUCCAACAAGUAAAUGACUAGAUUUUGUACAUAAUUACUCAUUGAUUGAUCUUUAUUUUUAUCUUUUAAAAGCCAAUGAAUGAUUGAACUAGAAGAACGUUAUAUACGAACAAUAACUUAAUUAGAAUCCAACGCAGAAGAAGCUAGUAAUAAUUACCACAAAAUGAAUUUCAAAAAUGUAAAAAAUCCAUGACUACAUAUGAGCCAUGCUGACCACAACCAUAAAAAUCUUCAAAAUGCUAAAAACAAAUGAGUCAUGUUAACGUUCAAAAAGUGUUGGUCCGAUUAUGUAUUGAUCACUCCCUUAGUGAUGGUAAUUAUCAAUUUAUUGAAUUAUUAUAAUAUAAAUAAGUCAUGAUUAAUUGGUGGAAGAAGGUUUUUAUAAGUAGUGAAAUUUUUUUUGAGUAGUGAGUUACAAAGAAUAAAGAAAAGAAAAGAAAAAAAAGACAAAAGAGUAAUUCCACUUUAUUCAACGGCAUGGGGGAGCAUAAAUUCAACACAACAGAGGGAGCAUAACUUCUCAUAGUUGUCUGCUGCUUUUGCUUUUCCUUUUUUUUUUUUUUUUGUUUCUGUUCUGUUUUCUUUUUUCGUUUUUUUUUGUUUUUGUUUUCAGGAAGAUGAAGUUGUGGAGUCUUGAUCCGGAUCUUGAUUUGCUGUUAAUCUUAAAUCUGGAUUUUCUAGAUUUAAGAUAUGGUUUCAAAAAGUUCUGUUUCACCUGUGGUGGAUUUGAUUCGUCAGAUGUUGCUCGAGAGAGUUUGGUGCGUAGUCGCUCCGUGUUGGCGGUGGUAGACAUUAACGUACCUUCAUAACUGGUUAAUCCGUCGCGGUUGUAUGCCGUAGAUGGACUGAGUUCCGUCGCUUGUUCAUUGAUAUGGAUUCCGAUAGGAUUGAUUUGGCCCGAAAGGGCGCUUUGGCUUGCUGAUGUUUUUUAGGGAGCUGUUGGAUCUUGAAUCGUUUCUGUUUUGGCAGACGAUUCAUACGCCUACCUAGAUACUCUAAACACCCACUCAGUGUUUUUUUGCAGUUUGGUUUCGUAUCCACACGUGGGUUCGCUGGGCUGUCUGCAGUAGUACUGUUGUUUAGAGUUGUUUUCAUUUACCACUUUUGUACUGAAUUGUCGUACCACCCGUUUGGGUUUGAGUCUAUGGUUAUCUGGGUCAGAUUCAUGUCCCCCAGUCUUGUACUUCCUUUUUAUUUUAAUUUAAUUUCUCCUUUGCUUAAAAAAAAAACAAUGAUCCACCGAUUUUAUAGAUGUUACGAAGUAUAACUUUUGAAAAAUCACGAUGGAUCACCGUGAUUAUGAAGUACCAGCUAUGACAUAAAAAAAUUUAUUGUGCAGUUAAAGUAGCAGUAGUCGCUGAAGUUAUUUUCCAAUUUAGUGACAUUCUUAUUUUACAAUAUAGUUUACACCUCAUAUCUAAUCUAUUUAAAUUUAAGAAAAUGUUAACUAGUGCCUGAUGAAACAAUUAUAGUUAGAAUUUCUUAAAAUUUAUAUAAUCAUAUAUUAAAAAAAAAAAUAUUGUUUUUUCAUGUAAAACUUACAUAUUUUGUUUCCUUAACUAAUGACCUUUAAAUUUAAAGGGCUAAGUUCAAAAUUAAAAUUCGUGACUUUUUGUGCUGAUUAAUAUUUACAAUUUAUUUGUCACCAUUUAUUAUAGAUUGUAAUCUAGAAAGCUGAGAAAAUGGUUUAUAUUCCGUCAAGAGUGCUUAUAGAUUGUGUGUGGAAGAAUUGAUAGAUGUUUCUCACCUUCGAAGGCCAGGAUUUUGAUCUGUUAUUUGGAGAUUGAAAGUUCCGCAAAAAGUAAAGAAUUUGAUUUGGCGAAUGUGUCGUGGGUGUUUGCCUACCUGAGUUCGGCUUCAAGAUAAAGGAGUGCAAUGUCCCACAAGUUGUGUGAGUUGUGGUGGCCUGCAUGAGGACCUUGUACAUAUUUGUUUUGAGUGUCCUUUUAAUUUGCAGGUUUGGCAUAUGAUUGGCCUUUGGAAUGCGGUUCAUGAGGUGUUUCUUAAAAAAGAAUUCAAAUUGAUGCCAUUUUCGAAUUGUUACAUCAGCUCUCGCAAGAACUUGGUCAACGAUUUGCAGCUGUCCUUUGGAGCCUUUGGAAGCAUAGAAAUCUCAAACUUUGGCAAGAGGCCACAGAAACAUGUGCUCAUGUAGUAGAUCGAGCUUGUCACCUUAUGGAGGAUUGGCAUGCAGCUAAUCCUACUCUUCCGGUAGCUAGUCGAAACAACAUUUCAAUAAAUUCAGUUCAUAAUGAUCAGACAACAACAAUAACAUCGAUAAGACAAGGCAAUUCAGUUACAACUCGCAUUUCCUCUUCUUCUACAACAACGAGGCCGUCUGAAAUGUAAUGUUGAUGCUUCAUUUUCGAAUCAGUUGAAUAGAACAGGUAUUGGAAUAUGUAUCCGAGAUGAUGAAGGUACUUUUGUGUUGGCUUAAACUAUCCCGCUCUCUCGUGUGCAUUCAGUUGCCACGGGAGAAGCCUUGGGUUUAUUCCACGCCUUACGAUGGCUAAGUGACAUGCAAUUUGAUGACGUCGAUGUCGUCUUGGAUUCAAAGAUUACAAUAGACGCCUUCCACCAUCGUCAGGUUGAUGUUACGGAAUUUGGACAGGUAAUUUCAGCAUGCCAGAGUCUUUUCAACACAUACUUCUCAAACUCUAAGGUCGAGUUCAACAGGCGACAAGGAAAUGAGGUAGCUCACACCCUUGCUGGGGUUGCCGCAUUAACCGCUAGUCCCACUAUUUAUUAUCGUGUACCUCGUUGUAUUAACUCACUUAUUAUUAAUGAAAUGCUAUAAGCAUACUCAUUUUCUUUAUAAAAAAAAAUUAUAGAUAACUCUUCGUUUCAAUUCAACCAUCUAUUUUAAUUGUAUAUGUUCUCACUUUUAAUUUCAAUAAAUCUUAACCAUCUAUUUUAUCUAACGGUGUUUUUCUCGUGGUCCACCAGUGAGGGACCUAAUUGGACCCUCACCUUAAAAUCCACCCUAUUUUACUAUCUUUUUGUACAAAAUCAACUCCUAAACAAUUUAAUUGGAAUAAUAUCUUUUUGGUUUAUUGAUAUCCUAAAUUUGUCCUUCAAAUAAUGUUUUUGUUAAACAAGGAAAAUAAAGUAAAUAUAAUAUUCUAAAUGUUCAAAUAAUCUACCAACUGUUUUGUACAUGUACACAUGCAUUUAUUGUUUUUUAAAGUAACAUUUUGACUAAAUUAAAUGUAGUCAAAGAAACUUUUCUAACAAAUCAAAUAUUUAAAAGGUUCCUAUAGAAUACCAAAUUGAAAAAGUGUAUAAACUUUGAGACUCAAAAUCUAUAGUUUGAAUGUGAUAUCAUGGAAUCUGAAUAUCAGUGGUUGUCUUCAGAGAAUAUGAUGAAAAAGCUAUGGUGGACAAUUUUGUUGAUUGUUAUAAGCAGUGUUAUAACAUUGUUAGAGAAAGUGUUGUUAACACCGCGAAGGAUUCGAUUGAUGCUGGAAAAACAAGGUAUCAAUGGACCAAAACCUUCUUUUCUCUUUGGUAACAUUUCAGAGUUGCGACAAAUUCAUCUUCAAUCUCCUGCAUCUGCCGAUUCGUUUAAUGAAGAAUGGAUUGGUUCUUUGUUCCCACAUUUUCACACCUGGAAGCAACACUAUGGUAUGUCAAAUCUUCAUUUUAUUUUUGUUGUACUGUUUUUUAGGAAUUUGAGGAAUAUACACACAACAUAUUAGUUUAACCAAUCACUCUCGAUAUCAAUGUAUGAUAACUUUAGUGUAUAUGAAUGAGAAAUGAUAAUUAAGAUGAGAAAGAGUAAAAUAAGAGGGAUAGAGAGAAAAUCAUAAUCACUUUCCCACCCAAUCUCAACCUGUGAUUUACUCUAUUUUUUUGUUCUUUUCCUGAAACUCUUUUUCUUCCUCUUAGUAAGACUUGUUGUUUUGGUACUGAUCAUUAGGUGAAAUGUAUCUAUACUCUACUGGACUCAAGCAACAUUUAUAUGUGGAGAAACCAGAAUUAAUAAAAGAUAUAAGUCUGCAUAGGUCCCUAGAUCUUGGUAGGCCUACAUAUAUAAAGAAGCAAUUACUGCCCAUGUUUGGAGAUGGUGUCUUCAUAACCAAUGGACAACUAUGGAAUUUCCAAAGGAAUCUUGUUGUUCCUGAGUUCUUCAUUACAAAAAUUAAGGUUAGUAUAGACUCCAUGGUUCCUUUAUAAUUGUCGUAUUUGUAGGGAAAUUUUGUUCGUUGUUUUUAAAGUUUAAUACAACAUUAACGAUUGGUUUAUCAAUGAUAUCAUAUAAUGUAUGUUUUUGUUUAUUUUAUGUAGAACAUGAUAGAUAUUAUGGAAGGAUCUACCCUGGAAAUUAUCAAACAAUGGGAUAAUUGCAUAGCAAAAAAUAAAGGGAUUGCAGAGAUAGUGAUUGAAACAGAUCUAAAGAUUCUUUUUGAGGAUAUCAUUUCGAGAGCUUGUUUUGGCAGCGAUUAUGCACAAGGAAGGCAAAUUUUUGCAAAAUUGGCUGCUAUGCAAGCUGCUUUUGCAAAACCUAGUCUUAUGUUUGGAUUUAUAAACCUAAGGUUAUAUACAUUUGUCACAAACUUAUUCUAGAAGUCUAUCGUAAAUUUUAUAUUAUAUAAUAUUAUACCAUGUUCCUGGUUCAUAAAUGUUUUAAAUGAUGUUCUUGUAGCUUUCUUCCCACAAAGGAAAACAAAGAGAUAAGGAGGUUGAAGAAAGAGGUGGACAUGUUGAUAAUGAAUAUCAUCCAUGAUCGUAAAAUGCAAAACCAGAAGAACGAUACAAAUGAGAAACAAAGUGAUCUAUUACAAAAAAUACUAGAAGGUGUUGCAAGUGACACGACUUUAAAGGCUAGUGAAAAUGGUAUUUUCAAGUUUGAGAAUAAAAUAAAGUCGAACCAAUUGAUAAUAGACCUCUGCAAAAAUAUAUACUUUGCUGGCUCUGAGUCAACCGCUUUUGCCGUUACUUGGGCAUUGCUGCUUCUUGCAAUACAUCCCGAAUGGCAGCAACGUGUCCGGGCUGAGAUUUUUGAUACUUUUGAUAACAAUUCACCUCAUUUGUUUCAUGACACGAACAAACUUCAAAAAUUGAAAGUGGUUAGUACAUCCCUUCAUCAUCAAAACCAACAUAUUUACAAUAAUUGUACAUUGAUUAUUACUACUAAGCAGUUAUUGCAUUGUGUUGACAUUUCUUAAUGUUAUUUUUUGAUUGGUUGUGCCAUAUUUAUUCUCUUAUUGUUAAGUUUCUCCCAUUGGAUAUUGUAAGAUGUUCUUGCUAGAACUAUAAGUGAUCUAGCCCGAUGGUGUACCAUGACUAAGGUUUCGAGGUGUUUAUUUGUGGAACAGUGACCUCCUUUUAAUCUUCGAGUAGUUGAUCUAUUUGUAGAGGUUUUCUGAAUAGGCUACUCGAUACUGGGGGAGUUAAGAAAAUCAUGGGAUCAUGGAAGUUGAUGUUGCUAAGAUUAUUGGCCAUCAUGCCCGAUUAUUGGGUCUAGAGGUCUUAAUCUAUAUGACAGUCCGUAUAUGAUAUGACUUGAAUAAUUAUACGUGGGGUGCAUGCCAUUACCUUACAAACUGAUUUUGUGUUCGUCAACUUUGAUAUAUUAUUAGAGCAUAUCUCAAAUAUGUUCUCAUUGGUUAGAUGCACCCUUCGACAAUUAAGUUGAUUUUUUGUGAAAAAUGAGUUUGACCUUCUGCAAAUUAUAAUGCUCGUGAAGAACAUGUCUAAGUCACCAUUAUAGGACUCCAUUUCCUUUUAUUACAUGUAUAAUUAACUCUUUUCAAUAGUCUUUAUUAUUUAUUAUUCACUAGUUUCAUCAUAAGACAAAAGUUAUUUGUGGCCAUGUUCAAUGGUAUGUCACAAAAGCAUUGUACUACUUUGAUAUCCUAAAAAUCUCAAAAAUUGAAUUUAGGAUUUCCUUUUGCAGCUAACAAUGGUGAUUCAAGAGAGUCUACGUCUUUAUGGGCCUGCAAUCGUGGUCUCCAGGGAAGUUUUAGCUGAGAUGAAGUUGGGAGAAUUUAUGCUACCUAAAGGCAUCUACAUGUGGUUAUUCUUGCCAUCAUUGCAUCGAGACGCUGAUAAUUGGGGACCAGAUGCUACAAAGUUCAAUCCAGAGAGAUUUGCUAACGGUGUUUCUGCAUCAUGUAAGUAUCCUCAGGCAUAUAUACCAUUUGGACUUGGGAGUCGACAUUGUCUAGGUCAAAACUUUUCCAUUACAGAAAUGAAGGUAGUACUCAGUCUUCUUCUUUAUAAUUUCUCCUUUGAUGUUUCACCAAACUAUCGCCAUUGUCCUGUGUAUAAAAUGGUGUUAAUGCCAAAAUAUGGUGUUAGACUUCUUGUAAGCAAGGUUCAGAACACAGAAAAAUGAUUAUGGUUCUGUUAUGCUUUUUCUAUUGUCACAAAGUACAAUCACAUAGCAAUAGCUAGUAUGACUUUGUUGGUUUUAACACCUAUUAAUAAUACAUCAUGUUGUAUCAAUAAUGCAUCUUAUUGUCUAUAUUCUCUGGUGCUUUCUAUCUUGUGCAUAUGUUGAAAUAUAUAGGAAUUUUUAAGAAACAAAAACUUUUUGAUCCUCGUUGAAUUUUAUGUAUCUCGGUUUCUAAGAAUUUCAUUACAUUGUUGAUGAUGAUACCAUUUAAUUGGAAGAUAAUGAGGAUUAGGAUCUCGGUUGCGGAAGUAUGUGUAUGAUGCGUCUCACGUGAUUCAAGUGGAUGAUUUUGAAGUAAGGGAUAAUUUGACCGUUGAAACUUGGCCAGUUAGGAUUGAGGAUCGGGAGGUGAAGCAUUUGAGAGGCAAAAAGAUAGUUUUGGUAAAGGUGAUUUGGGUUGGACCAACCGGUGAGAGUGCUACCUGGGAAUCGAAGAAUAGGAUGAGGGUUUCGUAUCCGGAGUUGUUUCCUUGAAAUUUUCGUGGGUGAAAACUCUUUUCAGUGGGGGAGAGUUGUAACAACCUGUUUUUUGAUCAAAGUAUAAAUAAUAGUUUUCCAUAGGAAAACGGAUCGCCUUUAUUUUUAAAAAGAAUAAAAAAGAAUGUAUGUAAAGGAUUUGUCGGACCACCUUUAUUUUUAAUGCACUUGCAUUUGCACUUUUUCUUUUUCUUUAAGUUUAUGCAAUUUAAAUUUAAUGUCUUCGAAAGACGCCACACGGUCUCGUCUCAUUCGUUAAGCAACCUACGAACUCGAUGAACGAACACCAACAAAAUGCACAACAUGUCCUAGGAUCUCUGGUUUGGUCCUGCUUGUUAUAAUCAAAAUCAGUCGGUAUUUGUUUACCAAAAACACCGAUAUACAGCAACAGAACGUGAAAGUGACAUGAUCGUGACCCAACACAAUAAAAUAACGUGAAAGUGGCUGAAAAUUCUUUUUUAAAAUAGAUUUUGAAAAUUUAAAAUCAACUUACCCACUUAAUUAUCUGAUAGUUUGGAGAUUACCUUACAUAAACUUCUUUUGAAGUUAUGCUUCAGUUUUGUGCUAAAGAGAAUCUGCCAAUUAUUGUAGAGAGCAAUAUUUUUUUAAGGGUGAAUACCUCUUUUCGUUCCUGUAAUAUUAGCGAAUUCCAGUUUUAGUCCCUGUAAAAAAAAAAAUUUAGAUUUUGUCCUUGUAAUUUCAGAUUCUUCCAAUUUUGAUUCCUCCUUUCAUCAAGUCAGCAUAAUCUGCAUAAAUUACGUCCCUGUAAUUUCAGAUUUCUCCCACUUUUGGUCCUUGUACUUUCAGAUUCCUCCAUUUUUGGUCCCUCAUUUUACGUGCCAUGUAUGCAGAUUCUGCUUACGUGGUGGAAUGAGGGACCAAAAGUGGAAGAAUCUGAAAUUACAGGGACAAAAUCUAAUUUUUUUUUUACUAGGGACUAAAACUGAAAUUCACUAAUAUUACAGGGACGAAAAGUGGUAUUUACCCUUUUUUUAAAGAUUAUAGAGAGCAAAUACAGCAAAAAAUAAUAAAUGUUAUAGGAGUUGAGUGUAUGGAAAUGCAUAAGGACAUAAUUGGCCAAGAUUGAAUGAUACAAUUUAUAAGAUGUCAAUAACUUUUCUUCUUCGUUCUAGCAUAAGGUCAAAGAGAAAUGAAAUCCUAAAAUUCUUUUUAUUCAUUAUGCUUUAAUACAAUCAAAUAUGGAACAAAAGAAUAGUCCCAAUGAUGAACAGUAAGGAAGGAAUGGGGAAUAAUUCUAUUGAAAGUGAAUUUGAAUGUAUUGAAAAACCCACUUGGUUUGGUUUGGUAGGCUUUGGACUUAGGAGUGUGCUCUUCCUCAAAGUCUUGGGUUCGAUUCUCUACCGCCAAUUUAGGUGGGUUAGUUUAGCUUCUUCAAAAAAAAUAAAAAAUAUUAAAAGAUUCCAUUGUGGUUGACAAGUUUUUAAGAGGGUGAAAUUUUUUGGAUACUUUGUUUCAUCCUCUUUUAGUAUUUUAGUUAUUUCUAAUUUUGGUUGAAACAAUUUUUUUUUCCACUUAAUUUGAUAAUCUCAUUUUUUUUAGGGACUGAUAAUCUCAUUUGUUAGUUGGUGGUGUGAAACAUUGAUUGACAUAGAGUUCAUGGUUUUCAUGUCUUACACCAAUGUUCAACAUUUUUUCAGUUAAAACUUUGUUUGCAUUGAUUCUAUGUGUUCCAUUUCUAUUUAUUAAUUUAUUUUAUUUUCUCAUCGGACCGUGGUCCAUUUGGUCAUAUUAGGUUACCACGAUGAUGGCUGAUUCAUAUAGACAAUCUUAUAACCACCAGGUGGAAACAAUUCAAGAUGAUGCUAUGAAAAAGAAAUAAAAUUGGUUUGCAGAUUUCCGGACUCCUUACAGUAAGUUCUUUAUUUGAUUGUCGCCUACUCGCCCAUAUUUUCAUAUUUGUCACUUAAUUGCAUCUUUUAUUAUUGGUUGAGAACAGUCCUUUUGUCCCAUAAAAUCUUUCCUCAUGUGGGUGUUGUGUCUUUUUAUGUGUCUUUUUAUGUUCCCUCUUAGUUUGUGAUCUGGUUCUGGUUUUGGAUUCCUUGUUAUCUUGGACCUAAGGUGUAUGCUUAGUCAAUCAUAUUAUGCAUAUAAGCUCAAGUUUGCAUGUUGUAUUGAAUUGUAUUUUAUUAAACGAUUCUCUUGAUACAAUAUAACUCAAGUGCUGCAUUUUACAGUUUUUGCAAUAUAACUCAUCUGUUUUGAUUAAUUGAUAAUUGGCAAUGUUUUCUUCAUGGGAGUGGCUAUUAGCAAACUUUGGUUUUCGUGCAUGAACAUAGAUUAAUUUCUAAUGCUCAUUUGUGUUAAUGUUGAUUGAUGGGUUAAUCAUUUAACAAAAAAAUAAUUGAAAUUGACUACUCUGGUGUUUUUUCGAAGUUAAUGGAGGAUGUUUGAUUUUAUGCAAUAUUUUUAUGCAUAAUUUCUUGCUUGUUUGCUGCAGCCAAAUCUUGAGGUACUGACUACUGAUCAAACCCAAGAACAACUGAAGAAGUAUUGUAGGUUCUAGCUAUGUUAUUCUAGGUGUUUUAUCUAUUUGCAUUUUAUAGUAAAACUCUUACCCUUAUAGUGCAGUGACUACUGACUAUGUUUUACUUUGCUCUAACAUUAUAGUUCAGUAUAUGAUUUUGUUUUGAUUAGUUAAUGUAUUUUGGUACUACUUUUCAUUAGUACGUGUUAUUUUUUAUUACUAGGUUAUAGCUUUAAGUCAGACAACUAGGUGCUUGUUUCUCUAAUUACUAACCAGUUAAUUCCUAGCUUUGGUAAUGUACCACACGACCCAAAGGGUUCUAGCCACUGGGUACCUACGUCUAGGGUCAACAAUUCCUAGGGUAUCUUUGGCUAGUUAAUAAUCACUUACUUCCUAGACAAAUAGUUAUCAGUAAAGGAAUAUAAAUAUCAAGAUAUACGCAUCCAGUUAGUGAUAACAAUGUUAGGUUCUGUCACAACCUAAGUACCUAAUCUACAGUUGCACCUCUCAUAGAAAUAAAGACUAUAAUCUAAUAAAACUCUAUAGUGGACAAAAACUUAAUUAAAAUAAAUAAAUGACAAAUUAAAUUAAAUAAAUAUGCAACAAAAAUAUACAGAGGUUCAUCUUAGAACUCUAACCUAAAAAUAUUUAGUUACAAAUGGUAACUAAAAACAAAUUACUAAAGAUAAAAACAAUACCCCAUAAAAAUCAAGGAGAAGAUAGAAACUCUCCUGAAGCUCCAAAGUUGUCUUCCUCUUGAACUGCUCCAGUUCUGAACGAGAAAUUCUGAAUGAGGAAGGCUGGUAUUCAUAGUGAGAGUUUCUACCUGGGUUUGGGCUAAAAGUGCGGGCUUUACCCAAAACAGAAGCAGGAAAAGACAGUUGCGCUCCAACUUUUUGCAUGCACGGGGUGCAUAAGAAAUGCCCUAGGCGCAUUCUGCCUUCCUUCCGAGCCCAAUAUCCAAUUUUCUAUCGUUUUUAGGUCUUCGUCUUCAAAUAACUUACUUCGUUACUUUGGGAAAAAAAUUCCUCCCACUUGUAAGUCUUCUAAGGUCUCUUGAAUCUUUAUUCUUGUUUCUUGAAUCUUCACAAUUCUUCGGUUGUUCUUGAUUUGCCGAUUUGCAUGAUUUCUUCGUGAAUUACUUCAAAAACCCCCUUAAAUUGCUAUGUUUUGGGAAAACUUGAAUUACAAACUCAAAUAUAGAAAACAUUACAAAAGUUCCGAAAUCAUAGGCAAUCGUUCUAAUACUCCUCCUUUUUGAUGCUAUUUCCUACUAAAAUAAAUUGAAAAACAUGCUAAGAAUAACGUAAGAUGACCUUUCAUCAAUUGUUUAAUUUUUUAUUAUGUAGAUUUGAAACAAUGGCCAAUUUGUCCAGCACUCAAGUACGCUUCAUGGAAAUCCUCAGUUGCUCAAGUUUCGGUACAUUAUUGUCAUGUUAAAAGGUCUGAAGGAUCAUUUGAAACAAUGGCCAAUUUGUCCGGCACUCAAGUACGCUUCAUGGAAAUCCUCAGUUGCUCAAGUUUCGGUACAUUAUUGUCAUGUUAAAAGGUCUGACGGAUCAUUUGAAUGAAAUCAACCAAGGACACACCCACGAAGACACAAGAAGGAUGAAAUAUGUUUGUUAUGAACGUUCAACGUUUGACGAGGGGAAAAUAUUGUUCACGACGACAACGUGAGAAGCAUGUUCUCGAUUUUUUUGGCUGCACAACAUGUUCCCAUGGAUCGAUAUGUAUGUUACGUUGUUGAGAUCGCCUGAAGAUAUUCUUAAGAGUUUGAUUCUUUCAAAAAAUUAUGUUUAGGUAGCAUCAUUAUUAUGUAUUGUAUUUAUUUUGUUGGAAUUUAUGUUUAAUUCUUGUUAGUUUACUGAAUAUGUUGGCAUUGAAAUGUCUUAUACUUAGUGUAGAGUUUUGUAAGAUUCUUUGAAAAGUCAAUGAAUGAAGAGAACACAACAUGUAUUUUACCGAAUUAGCUAUAUUUGUUUUCACAUCGAAUUCCUUUGUAUAAGAUGAGUGUGACGUAAGGGAAUACACCUCUAAGAUGUUGUUUUGUGCUUGAUAAUGCUCCUCUAUUAAUUGAAACAUGUCAGUUUGCAGUGCAAUAUGAUUAAGUUCAAAAGAAUGUAUUGUAAUGCAUUCCUUUACUUUGCUACUCAUCUUGUAUAGGAAAUUCGAUGAUAACCUAUAUUCUUGAUUUGGUAGAAUACAUGUGUUGUGUUCUCUUCAUUCUUUUGAAUUUUCAAAGGAAGCUGCUAAUCUCUAUCCAAAGUAUAAGACACUUCAAUGCCUAUAUUUUCGGCAAACUUUCAAGAAUAUAAUUUAAACCCAACAUCAUGAUGAUACCACAUAUUUAGGGAGAAUGUAAUGUAACUUAGAUGAAAUUAAAACUAAAUAAAAUUGUGUAUUUUUUGAAUUGAUUUCGUGUACUUGUACAAUUUUAUUCGAAUUUAUUCAAUACGCAACUUUAUUCAAAUUUAUUCAAUAUCAAAAUGAGACAUUUCACACCAUUACAUUUAAUCAUCUCCCCCGUCACCUGCUUUUGGCUGGGGGACCAAAAUAACACGUCAUUCCGCUCCUUCUCAUCUUGUUGAAAUUGUACACGCGCACUUCACUUUUUUUUUUUGUCCGGAACCUUCGCAUUCGAUACGUGACAUGUCACAGUGGUUUUUGCUUUUUUCUUCUCACCCUCCUUUUUCAAUUGAGCAUCACCCUAUUCCUGAGACAUCUCUGCACAAUGUAAAAAUCAAUGUUCAAAACCUUCUCUAAUCCUAAAACUUCUACCACAAAUACCUAACAAUUUCAAACAAUUUCUAUCGAUUACUAAAAAUUUCUACCACAAUUUAAUCAAUUAUACUUUAAUCAACAUCUAACAAUUCAAUCAAAUCAUAAACAUCUAACAUCAUAAAAUCUUAAAUCAACGUGAGUUAACUCACGUUGACUUAAGUCAAAUAACGAACGAGACUUAAGUCACGCUGAAUAUCUGCAUGGAUUAACUCACGCGAGGUAUUGGAUAGUUCCAUUGAGAAUAAGCGAAAUUUGAUGGAAGAAAAGCAAUUUUCUUGAUAUUAUCCCAUCCCAUUACAAAACUCCCAUAAACCAAAGUCAACCCACGUAAUCAAUUCCAACCGUAAAAAUCCUAAAAUUUCGUUUCCGCUUUCCCUCAUUAUCUCAGAAUUUAAGCACCUUUUCCUUAUAUACCUUUCCCACUUGGUCCAUAUAUCCCCAAAUCUCUCACCUCGUUUCAAUCUAGGUCACCAACCACGGCCUCUGGUGUUUUGUUACGGCUGAUUCAGCUUCUCAUGACGCCCUUACCGUCAGUGUUGAUACAGCUUUCGACAAUACCAGAACUAGAUAUAGUAAGAGAACUAAGUAGUCUUCAUCCACCUCCUCUGGUCGUGCCGUAGCUGUUUCCAGUGAUUCAAAUUCCGAUGAAUGUUGACGGUAACAGCGGUGAUGAUGAAGUUUCAAACUCUAAAUUUCUUGGAGUUCCGGUUCCUGAUGAGUAAGCUAAACAGCGCUGGCCAAAGCGGUAUCAAGAGCAGGUAAGGUAUAACUUUCUUUAUUGCAUAUGCAUUUCAAAGAAUAUUAUGCGAUUCCACCUGAAUAUAAGAUUACACAUUUGAAUGAUUACAUAUAGGUGUUGACCCAUACUUUGCCAAUAUGGCUAUAGGCGUUGUUUAUUGUAGGAUUCAAAGUAAUGAAGUAUUAAAUUAAUCUAUACUUAAGUUAGUUCACAUAGUAAUAAUAUGGGUUGGCACACAUGGUUGCAAGCCAAUCAUCGUUUGAUGAUGCUGAUGGUACAUUAUCAAGCUGGUUUUUUUCUGUGUUUGUUUUAGUUUCCCUAUCAUGGUCUGCUGAAAAGUUAUUUUAUUAGAUAUUAUUCUUUUUUUACUACUUUUUUGGUUGAUUCUAAUUUUUUUUAUUUUUUUUUAUAUUCAGGGUGAGAAAGGCGGAGGGAAUUAUAUUUGUAAAAUUAGAGAUGUUCGAGUCAGUUGAUGGAGAAUUAUUCUUUAGGGCGCAAUGGUAUUACCGAGCGAAGGACACUGUAAGUUAACGCUAAUGACCUAUUAUAUAUACGAGGUUGAACUCAUUAUGUUUGAACUGAAAAAUUGAUUUAGUUUGAAUACCUUCUAAUUAAAUUGCAGGUCAUAAAGACCAUGGGCAGCUUAUUGAUCCCAAACGUGUGUUCUAUUCAGAAGUCCAGGAUGACAAUCCAUUGGAUUGUCUUGUUGGAAAGUUAAACAUUGCUAGAUUAGAGCUGAAUGUACGUUAACAAAUUACCUUUAUUCAUUGCUUACUUCAAUUUUUCUAUUGUAAUUUUUGUCGUUUAAGUUUAAUUGUUCUAAAAGUGUCUCUAUUAUUUGAGUAAUUUUAAAUGUAUAAAAACUAAAGAAGAUGGAAAUUGAAACUUUUGAGCUUGUCUAUAAUUUGUCUUUAAAUUAAAAAACUGUAAUUUGCAAUUAAAUUCUUUUAAGCUAUUAAGUCUCUUUUAUAAAUUUUAAACUUCAAAGAUGCAAUUAAAUUUUUAGUGGCAAGAAUUCAAUUACAAUUAUUAACUUGGCUUGGGAGUUAGGACCUUGGAGUGUGCUCUUCCACAUGGUCUCAAGUUCGAUGCUCCCCGAUGCCAAUUUAGGUGGACUACUUAAGCUUCUUCAAUUAGGUUUAUAAACGACUACAUUUAAUUUCAGGUGGAUUUUGAUGCUAAGAAAGAAUCAAUUCCACCAUGUGACUAUUAUUGUGACACUCUCUAUCUUUUGCUGUACUCUACAUUUGCUAAAUUUUGACCAGGUUUAAUUUCAUCUUCAGACACAUUUUAUUAACCAUACUUAUUUUUCAAUUUUACAUUUAUUUUUCAAAUUUUCAUCCCUUCUCAUUUCAUUACAAAUUUGCAAUUCAGAAAACAAGGACAUUCCUAGUGAGACUUCCUCAAUAGUCUCUUCAGAUAUUGAGGUAAAUGGAAUAUCAGAGCUGAACACAAAUAUUGCUAACACUAAACCAGAGCUGAAGUUGCUAGACUUGUAUUCUGGCUGCGGUGCGAUGUCAACUGGUUUAUGUCAAGGUGGUAUUCUAUCCGGUUCGAAGAUGGUUACAAUGAGUUUUAUUUACCUGCUUGCAUUUGAAAACAAUCACUUGAAUACUAUAUGUUUUCGUCCUUGUUUUGAUAUGAUAUUAUUCGUUGUUAUUUUAACAUAGAUGGGCAGUGGAUAUGAAUGAACAUGCAUAUCCUAAGACUGAGAUAAUUGUGUGUUAUUCUGUUUUGUAUUCGUGCAUGUUAAUUACUGUCUUUAGUCGGCUCCUUAUGUUGCACUUUAAAAAUAAAGAGUUGUUAAAAUUUUAGAGAAAGCAUGCAUUUGUUUUAACACUACUUUUUUAUUCAUCGUAUCAAAAUACCAUAGAACUCCAUUUUAGAUGCUCUAAAAUAACACACUUGCAAUACUAAUUUGCAUGCGUAAUUGAAAUGGUUGUGAUAUGUAUGCCAUUCUUUUAUUGGUAAAUUCAGGUUAGAAAUGAAAAGGCAUAGAAUUUCCUUUUAUUACUGAAGUAAUAGGAGAAGCUGUGUUGCUAUUUCUCUUUAACCCAAAACAUGGUUCCACAUGAGUAUUAUGUGGAACUUUUUCGUGAGGAAGAGGAAGAAGAGGAUGAUAAUACCGGGCCUGAAGAGAACAACGGUGAAGAAAUAUUUGAAGUUCCAAAAGUCAUUGAUAUGCGUUACAAUGAUCCAAAAAAGGAAGACAAACAUGGGUUAUACUUUAAGGUGAGCUACGUUCGUACUUUUUUUAUUCUUUUUUUUUUUUGUGUGCCCUACUACAGUGACUUAUUCAUUUUUUACAUUGCAUGUUAGGUUUUUUGGAAGGGUUAUGACUCUGGUUAGGAUUCUUGGGAGCCUAUCGAUGGUUUAAGGUGAGAGCAACAAAUUGAAAAAAAAAAAUAUGUUAUACUGCCUAGUGUAUGUUUCUGCUUAAUUUCAAAUAGAAAUGUGUGUUCUUGAAUAUAAUUGCUUUUGCCCCAAAUGAAUUGUAGUUUUGAUGUAAAUGAUACUGAUAAUUCUUGGUUGGUUUUGCAAUGUUUAAUCAUUGAAAUGGUUUGCAAUCUUCAUUUAAGUUAAUUGGAGAGUUUAAUGCCAUUUUAUUCUCUUCUGUAUCUUAUUUUAUUAGUUGUAUCUUUAAAUUCUCAUCUGUGGUGCACAUUAUUGACAUUUUGUUCUUUUAAACUUGUGUGAUUUAAAUAAUUUCUAUGAAACAGUAAUUACAAGGAGAGGAUAAAGGAUUUUGGUUAAGGCAUCGAGUUGAACAUCUUACCAUUGCCGGUAAUAUGCUAUAUCAGAAGAUUUCAAAGUUAUUAUUUAUCUUCAUAAAUUCUUCACUUGAUUUAGAAAUGUAAAAAUUUCAAUCUAUUAUGAUAAAUGCAUAAUUUAGAUAAGCAUGUUUUUUUUUUCUUCUUUCAAAUUUGUUAACUAUUCUUGUCAAUUGACAUAUAAGGAGUUGAGGAUGUAGUAUGCGGUGGACCUCCUUGUCAAGGAAUUAGUGACUUCAACCAUUUAGGAACGUCCUUUACAAGAUGAAAAAGAAAAACAAACAACUAGCUUGUUUUUUAUUCAUAUUGUUCAUUACCUUCGACCCAAAUUCACAUUGAUGGAAAACGUGGUUGAUCUUCUAAAGUUUUCAUAUGGCUUUCUUGUAAGAUAUGCAUUGGGUCGUUUGGUUCAAAUGAGCUAUCGAAGUCAUCUGAUAGUUUACCCAAUGCAUAUCUUACAAGAAAGUCAUCUGAAAACUUUAGAAGAUCAACCACAUUUUCCAUUAAUGUGAAUUUGGGUCGUAGGUAAUGAACAAUAUGCAUAAAAAACAGCUAGUUGUUUGUUUUUUUUUUUAAUUAUUGUAAAGAAUCCUUUUUGUUCCUAAAACGGUUGAAGCCACUAAUUUCUUGACAAGGAGGUCCACGGCAUACUACAUCCGCAACUCACUACAUGACAAUUGACAAGAAUAGUCAACAAAUUUGAAAGAAAGAAAAAAAAAGCAUGCUUAUUUAAAUUUUGCAGUUAUGAUAAUAUAUUGAAAUCUUCACAUGUCUAAAUCAAGUGACGAGUUUAUAAAGUUAAACAAUAACUUUGAAAUUUUCUGAUAUAGCAUAUUACCGAUAAUGGUAAGAUUUUCAACUUGAAACCUUUAACCACAAAAUCCUUUAUCCUUUCCUUGCAAUUACUGUUUCAUAGAAAUUAUUUAAAUCAAACAAGUCUAAAUGAACAAAAUGUCAAUAAUGUGCACCACAAAUGAGAAUUUAAAGAUACAACUAAUAAAAUUAGAUACAAUAGAGAAAAAAAUGCAUUAAACCACCCAGGUUAACUUAAUGAUCGGUAUCAUUUACAUCAAAAAUAUAAUUCAUUUGGGGCAAAAGCAAUUAUAUGCAAGAACACACAUUUCUAUUUGAAAAGAGGAAACAUACACUAGGCAGUAUCACGUAUUUUAUGAAAAUUUGUUGUUCUCCUUAAACUAUCGAUAGGCUCCCAAGAAUCCUCUUCAGAGCCAUAACCCUUACAAAAUCCCUAACAUGCAGUGUAAAAAUCUGAGCCACUCACACGCAUAUUGAUGAACAAUUCCUCACAUCCAAUCAAAAUAUGGAAUCUAAGCUGCAGAUGCGGCUGGACAAUCAGGACCAACUACAGGCAAACAGGCUCGAAUCCCUAAAAUACUACUUGGCCGAUCUCAGCAAACAGACCCACAUAUCCAACACGCAAGCCCAAGCGUCCUCAUCCUUAAAUGCAUCUUCUCAAAAUCACUGACUAAUACCGCUGUAAGUUCUACACAGUUCAGUCCACCAUCACCCUUUCUCAAAUUUUCCACCCCCACACUGUCUCUAUACUGUUAUCAUCACCUUUUACUUCCACACAACUGCCUAUUUUCACCUAGCUACAAUACUUACUACACAACAACCGCCGCCACUGGUGCCUUAUUUCCUCACUGCAGAUCCAACAAAUAACUCCCAAACCUCAUUUUACAACCUCAACAACCAAGCCCAGACCUUUCCUUCAUUUCCCACACAGUUUCCACCCCAUUUUGGACCCCAAAACUUGAGCUAGAACCAUUCGACGGUACAUACCCUUUUGAAUGGCUCUUUUAAGCCGAACAAUUUUUUACCUUCUACCAAAUACCACCUGAAAGUCGCUUAUCCACGUCCUCCUUUUAUAUGAAAGGGCAUGCUUUAAUUUGGUUUAAGUGGAUGCAUCAAAACCACCAACUGUUUGAUUGGAAUUCCUUCUUCACUAAGGCCUUGGAACUUCGAUUUGGACCCUCUACCUACGCCAAUCACCAAGCUGAGCUGUUUAAACUUCAACAAACAGGUUUGGUGUCGGAGUAUCAAGCUCAAUUUGAGAACUUGGGCAAUCGUGUCCCACCGAAAUGGAAAUAAAACUUCCAAUCACCCAAGCUAUAGGCCUUGCUAAACUUAUUGAAGCAAAAUUCAAUGUUUAGAUGACAUCCUUAUUUGUUUAACCAGGAAAUUAUGCAUGUGUUAUCAAUUCGAGAAAAUGCUAGACUUCAAGGUUUUCCAGACUUUUAUAAGCUAUGUGGACCUAUAAAACAAAGGUAAUUGACCAUCUUAUUUCUGUUUGUAGUCAUAUGGUUUAUAUUCACACAAGGAAGCUUAAUCCAAACCAGAUUUGGACUGUCUGUGUUUGCACGGUAUACAGUUGAUGGAUUUGAACUCUUGAAUUCAUCCACUGCUUCACAUUCUUGAUAAGUUCUCAAACUGACAAAUCCUAUAGUUCAAAUUAUUGGCUACAUGAUUGUUAUAUAGAUUCUUGACUGGAAUCAAUCCAAUUCUCAAACCACUAUGGUCGUUAUUAUAAUAAACGAUGAACAUGUUGUAUUGUAAAAAUGUUAUUAUGAAGGAAUUCAUAUAUUAUUGAAGGUUUUCUAUAUUGAUAUAGGUACAUGCAAGUUGGGAAUGCAGUUGCAGUUCCAGUGUCUCGAGUUUUAGGAUACAGUCUUGGCCUUGCAUAUCAAGUUGUUGCUGCUGAUGGACCAUUAUAUACGCUACCUGAAAAAUUUCUUGUGAUUAGAAAACCAGCUUCUGCUACAUCAUCUGAAGAAGUUGUUGUAUCAUCUGAAGAAGCUGCAUAAAGUAACUUGAGUUUGUGUUUCUACGAUUAUAAUUUAUCACAUUCAGUUGACAUAUUUGUGUUAUCAUUGUUCUGUAACACUAUUUAUUUACAUUGAUUUCUUUUUCUGCACUGUUGAAGAUGGCACGAUCUUGCCAUUGAAUUGUUAUCAAAUUUAUGCAACUGCCCACAUUGCUAAGAUCAAUCCUUUCAGAACUUUGAAAAUUAUUAUCUAGUGUUGAUAUUUGUUAUCUCAUUUGUCUUCAUAGCUACCGUUCCUUGCAGCUUCUUUUAUUCCACUACGUAUUAGAAGUUAAGUUGUAAUAAGUUUGCAUUGAAGUUAUUUUUGCAGGUAUUAGUAUCUAAAUUAAUUUAUCUUUGAGUAUAAGAUUUAAAUAUGGCCUUGGUUUAAAAUUAUAUAAGAAAUAAAUAUUGAGAACUAGUAGUAAUUUUUAAUGUAUUCCUUGAGGUCUGUCAUCUGUGUAUUCUUUUAUGAUUGAAGAACAAGGAUGUCCCUUUGGUUUAUAUCAAUUAAGGCAGUUGCUUGGGAUAUGCUAAAAUCAUCAAUUAUGAUCCAAUGAGCAAGGAUAUAUUAGUGUUAGGGAAUACAUUUUUUAAGAAAGUGUUUAGAUAACAUUGUUGGUUGCCAGAAAUUUUGAGAAAAUGUUUGGAUAGCAGUGUUUGAGAAAGUGUUUGGCCUGCAUUGGAUAUAUUUCAUUUUCAAGAUGCAUUACAAAAAAUAGAUAUUACACUGUACCUGAGACUAACUAGUUAGAAGAUUGCUUUUUUGACAUUGAAAAGUCACAAUGACACAUGUAAAUGACCUAAAAGUCUCCAGCUGCAGUUAACUACCGUUUGCCAAACCGGCGGUAGUUAACUACCGCUGGAAAUUGAUUUUUUGCACAUGCCCACUUGUUCUGCCACCAACUUCCUAUUUUUUUAAUUGCUUUUUUUGUAUUUUUUUUAAUUUUGCUGGUACUCCGGAUGGAUCAUGGCCGGCAAAGCCAGGAUGGUGCGUCACUUGCCGGAGCGGGUUUUGAGGCAGUACGACUAUGUUCAGACCAAUCACAGACCUCCUACGAUAAUUGGGCCUCUUGAACCAGCGGAGGUGGUUACAUGCUUCUUUGAGUUUGAUGUCCAUGUCCUUACCCAGCAGGAGAGGUGUAAGCUAGUCUCAGAGGACGAGGAGCAUAAGAAUUCAAAGGGGUACAUGAAAUGGUUCUACCGUGUAUCUCAUCCUUUAUGAUCGCCCCUGCUGCCGUUCCUGAGUACACAGUUCCUAGACCUGUCUACGAAGAUGUUAUUGUUGAGCAGUAGUGGGUCAAACAUCCUCCCAACUCAUUCUAGGUCAUCCAAAAUAUCAGAGUCGUAGUUGACAACGCUAUGGAUGGGACUCCUAAUGUGUAUUCAAAUCAUGUUGUUGACCGCGUUAUGGAGACCAUCCGACAAUAGUAUCGUGUGUUGGAGGAGGUGCCGGCUCCGCGGAGGAAGAGUAGGAUUCCACGCAGUGGUGGAGCCGGAAAAAAAAGCUCGAGUGGGCCACUAAAUUAUAAGUUUCUUUUUACAGUACAAAUGUUAAUUGAAACAAGUUUUAGUUGAGAGACAAUGCAAGGGAGGUUUGAAACCCCCCACAAAUUAGAAGGUGUGUAAACCUUUGCUAACCACCCAAGCAUAGACACGACAAAAAUCAUGUAUACUACUUGCGGAAUCGCCGAAAUCUAAAACCGUUGAAAAUUGUUUAAAGUCUCACAAAAUUGAUCUAUGAUUUUUUUUUUUAUGGGUGGGCCACUACACUGCUUUAUAGAGAUUUGGAUGUGCCGAAAACAAAAAACUUCAUAUAAUUGUUUAAAAUCUCGCAAAAUAAACCUAUAAUUGUUUUUUUUUUUUGGUGGGCCGUCCGUGGCCCACCCCAUCCCAUGAAGGGCGCCUAUGAGUCCACGGAAGCAGUAGGGUCUUUUUUUAUGACUUGUUACCUUUGAAGUUUUUUUAUGACAUUUUGUCAGAUAUUGAUGUAAUAUAUUUACAUUUCUGCGUUUGCGUUUUAUUUAUGAUAUUUUGGUUAAUUUUCGUUUAUUUUGCUUGUCAAAAUUAUUAAGGAAUGAAUGAAUGAUUUAAUGAAUGAUUGAAUGAAUGACGAAAACAUGUAUCUGCUAUUAGAGGAAUGGAUGUAUGUAUGAAUGAUGGAUGGAAUGAAAUUAGGGAAUUAGUGCUUCUGCUUGUUAUGGGACUGAGCACAAACAUUGCGUGAGUUAACUCACGUAGAAUCUGUAUCCAGCGUGAGCUAAGUCACGCAGAGAUUAACAUUAACGUGACUUAACUCAUGCAGUGUAAGUUAACUCACGCAGAAUUAACAUUAGCAUGAGUUAACUCACACAGGGUAUUUUGGAAAGUUUGAUUGGGUAUGAACAAUUUUUGUUGGGAGAAGAUAGAAUUCUAACUUUUAAUAAAAACAAAAGUGAUAGUGAGCCCAUUGCUCAUAUAUUUUUAGGAUCUCUAUUUUUAGGCUAGAUGUAGUUAUUUUUAACGCAAGCAACAUUUGAAAAAUAAAAAGGAAUAGCGAAUUUUAAGAUAAAAUUGGUGUUGCAUUUUAGUUUUCAACACCUCUUUAAUCAUAGAGUUGGUGUUGUAUUGAAGUAGACAAGCUGCGCGAAUCGAAGAUGAAGUGGCACGCAAGAAAGAAUGAUACAGAUUUUGCAUUCGGUGUUUGAUUGACCUGGAUUAUACUUUUUCGGAAAGCUCCGGAUCUCACGAGCAAAAAUCAUCGCUUUGCCAUGAUGUAUGGGUUAUUUUAGUCAUUCGAGGUCGUCUGAAGGCCGGAAACCCCCUUUUAAUAUUUCAGUAUAUUCUAGAACUUUUUAUUUUAUUUCGUUUUGUUAUUUUUCGGCUCAUACGGGUUUGUUAUUUUUUUUAGUUUUUAGUAUUUAAACAAAACUUAUGCAGCUUAAGAGGCACUUUUUCAUUCAAUAAAAAUAUUCGAGACUUUUCUCUCAAUUCUGGUGGAUUCUGGAAAUCCUUAUUCAAUAUAUUUAACGUUUAUCUUUUAGAUUUAAAGUUUGGUAAGCCUUGCUUCGGUUCUAUGUCAUGUAUGUUAGUUUUUCAACACUUGAUUAUUAAUAAAUUAGGGGUUAUAUGACUUUAUCAUACCUUUUUUUUUGGAUAAAAAGCAGGUACUGUAUGUAAUUUUAUCAUACCUUUAUUAUUCAUAAUAGUACAAUGUUUCACACCAGUUUUAUAUUUAAAAGCGGGGUUAUAGAUACACAUAUCACACCAAUUUAUAGAGAAAAAAAUGUAUGAUAUGUAAUUUUUAUACCCAAUAAAAAAAUAUGUGUAUUUUUAUAAGUUUCUCAUACCAAUUUCACAUAUAUUAAAAAAAAGUUUGUGGUGUAGUUAAUGUAUCCAUAAUAAGUGUGAAUUAAUAUUAAUAAAUUUCCCUUUUACAGUAUAUAUAUUUUAGGGUUAAAUAUAUUUUUAGUCUCUAUAAGUAUAUAAAUUUUUUCGUUUUAGUCCCUUUAAAUUCUUUUUUUGUAUUUUUAGUCUUCCAAAAGUUUUCAAUUUUCACUUUUGGUCUCUCAUUUAAAGUAAACUCAUAUGUAGAAUUCAUAUUUUUGAAUAAAAUUUUGCGUAAAAGUUUAUAAUAUUAUAAGAAUCUCUCCAAAAAAUUAUUAGAAUUUUUCAACAAAACAUGAAUUAAAUAUGAAUUUUUAUAUUUUUGGAGGUUAAAAACUCAUAUUUACUUCAUGUUUUUUUUUUUUAAAUUCUAUAUUUUUUGGAGAGAUUUUUACAAUAUUCAACACAUUUAUGCACAAUUUCUUUAAAACAAAUACACGAGUUGACUUAAAAAUAAGGACCACAAGUGGUAAUUGAAAAUUUUAUAUGGACUAAAAGUUGAAAGAAUAUUUUAGAGGGAUUAAACGGAAAUUUGAUAUAUUUAUAGGGACCAAAAACAUAUUUAACAUUAUAUUUUAUCACGUUUUAUUGUAAAUUAUUUAUUUUAAUUUUUUCCAAUAUAUGUGUAUUUUUAAAUUAACACUUAAAAAAGAAUUGAAUUUCAAAGAGUGGACCUUUGUAAAAUUUUAGUAAAAAAAUGAAUUGUAAUGUGGUCAUAAUUUCCUCUUAGAAAAUAUGUAUGGUCAUAAUUUGAAAACAAAAAAGAAAGAAAAUGAAACCAAAUCCAAAAUGAAUUUUGUUUUGCCUUGUGAAAUGUAAAUGUGUUGCCUCAAUAACACACAUCAUCUCAUCUCUUACAUUAAAAUCAUGAAAGUGUUAUGUCAUUGGGUCCACCCCUUUGCAAAGCUACCUACGUUCUCUUUUUUAGUGAAGUUAGUACAAACACAAGUGCACCAUCGUUUCUAAAAAUGGGGAAGAAGGUAAGGACCUAAACAAAAGCUUGAGAUACCUUAAAAAACAUCACACUUAACAGCUCUCAACAAGUAAUAAGGAUAAACAAAGAAUCACAUAUAAAAAAAAGAGCAUUACAUUACAUUUAAUUAAUUUAGAAAUUAUAGUAAAACCAUAAAAUUUCUUGUCACAAUUAAUUGUUGAUAACCUUGAAUCAGAAGUUAUUUUAGACAACUGAGAAGUAAUUUCCAUCUACUUGGUUAUUUUUCACUUGUUAAUACACUAAAACUCAAGGUACGAAAACACUUUGUUAUUCAUUUGAAGCUUUGGUUAUUGGUUUAGUUGUGUAACUGUAUCCAUGAUUUGAGACCCUUCUCUUCACCAUUCUAUUUUUGGUGGCUGAAUCUGUUAUGUGCUCUAUGUUUGUGAUUGAAUCAAAGUUUCAUGUGCCAAUCAUAAUAUAAAUAGUUUGUCAACAGUUUAUAACUUGACAUCAAUAGUUUGUUGAUUUCUUGAUUUUUUAAAUUCUUUGUAAUUUCUUAUUUCAGCUUUGCCAUCUCUGUUCUGUGCAAUUGGGUUUCGGUUUUCUUGAAGCUAUUCUUUUCAAACAAGUUGUCAACAAGUCUAAUUAUUCCAUUUUGCAUUGUUUAAUGUAUGUAUCUGAUAUAAAUGAUUUUUAUUUCAUUAAGAUGUCGCCAUUUGUCUUUAGUCUUGAAGGGGUCAAACUGGGAACCUUUAUUGUUUAUGCAAACUAAGGAAUUGAACAUUAUACCCAAUUUACUAGACAGGGAAGUCCGUAUGUGUAUCUUGCAUGUGACUUGAUAAUUCUAAAUGACUAGGUGAUAAGAUAAGCUCAAAUUUAUUCUAAAUGGCAACCGCUCCGGCGAGCUUCGUUCACUACUUCCGGUGACUUUGUGUUCUCCACCGUAUCUCCAUUUAGCAUCUCUUCUCCUUCCUUCACUGAGAUCUCGAUUAUUCCAGCCAACUAGUCGAUUUCCGGCACUACUCCUCCGGUGACGCCACCUUUUCCUAAUUGCUUCAAGUUUUACUGAGUAUUGUUCCUGGGUUCGAUUCUGAAGUUUUCCUUAUUGCUUCAAGUUUACCUGAGUAUGUUCCUGGGUUUGAUUCUGAUUUUUUAUUAGGGUUUGGCUUAGUUUUUCGGUUGCGCUGUUGAUCUCUGGCUGUUUAUCAUGGUUUGCCCUUGGCCAUUUAUGGCUUCACUGGAUUCUGCGGUGGUUCAGGCGAAGCCACCGGAAUCUGGAAAAUCAUUUUCUCAGGUAUUGUCUUCUCAGGUAUUGGCUGGUCCGAAAGAUUAUCAGCUUACUCAACUUCCUCCGAAAGUUGUGAUGGGGAAAACCAUUCGCGUUAAAAUCAUACAAUCUGAAUACGCAGCUGGGCACGUUGAUUGCAGCAGCAAUAUCCAUGGCGGUUGACGCUGCACAAAGGUGAUACCCCUUUAUCUACUAUGGCUUUGAAGUUAAAAUUGAGUAAUUUGUGGCCAAACAUACAUAAUUGGGAUAUAACUCCACUAGGAAAGGGCUUUUUUGAAUUUCAUUUCAAUACUGUUGAGGAUAUGCGAAGAGUUUGGGCAAUGGGGGUUGUGAACUUGAACCCCGGUUUGAUGCUAUUCUAUUGUUGGUCUAGUGAUUUUUCUACACAGGCACAGGCUCAAACACACGCCCAAAUAUGGGUCUGUUUCUUACACUUGCCCCAUGAGUAUUGGCGUAAGCAGACUUUAUUGGAAAUAGCAUCCGGACUCGGCACACCUUUGAUAAUUGAUGAUGCAACUUUACACAGGCGAUUAGGGAUAUAUGCUCGAGUUUUGAUUGAUGUUGAUCUCUCCGAAAAACUGUUUGAAUCCGUUAUUGUGGAAAGAGAGGGACAUGCUUUGUCCGUUAUGGUGCAAUAUGAAAGACAACCCUCAUUUUGCACUCACUGUAAAAUGUUGGGACAUGAAGUUCACAAUUGCAUAAAACUGAGCACUCUUAACAUGGAAGAAGGUACAUCACAGGUUCUGAAGGCACCAACAGGUCCACACCCAAUCAAGAAGCUACCUGCACACAAUGGGAAAGGCAAGAAACCUGUUGUGACAUCUGCUAACAGGCCUGCUGCCACUGUUACCAAACCGGCCUACAAGUCUGCAGCCAGUCUUAAUCAGCACCCAGACACAGUGGAUUUAGACACUUCUGAUCAAGAAGAGACUGCUAAGGAAGGAGAUAGGGGGGAUGUGGAUGAGAUUGCAGCAAUCCCGAAGAUUGGAACAUCUUCAACACUAUCUCUUCACAAUUCAUUUGAUAUUUUAAAUGAAGAUGGUGAACUCCCUAUAGGGGAGGCUAGGCAAGCUGAAUUAGAGGCUAAUCACAUUCCUAAUGGUGAGUUAAUUGAAAAACCUGUAAUGUUUGAUAUAGGCCCCAAGGAGUUAGCUAAUUCGACUCAAGUGGUUCACUCUAAGCUUCUUGUUGAUUUGGAAAAUAAGCUUCAGACUGAAACAUUAAGUUCAAACUUAACAACUCCAGUUCAAUGUAGCAAAGCAGGGAAGCUGAUAGGCUCCUUCGCAGCAUCUGACUCAGCUAGCCAUGCUUUGGACCCAACUCUUGACUUGCACUCUCUUUCUGCUGAGCAUAUUGGCGAACCUGGUAUGACAGAUAAAGGCUCUAAUAAUCCAGUUAAUGUGCCUCUAAUUGGACAUACUGUCUUAGUAAAAGAUCCUCAGUUUACUAUAUUGAGAUCAAAGAACACUGUACCUUUAAAACCACCAGACCCCUGCAGUACUAGGAAACUGCAACACUCAGAUAAUAUUUCUGUUGCAGAUAAUCAGGCUCUGAUCAUUACUUCUGCAAAGACUGUUGGCUGCAAAGCUACUCCUGAAAAGACUGACUGCAUUGCCACUUCUGUUUCUGUGUCAGCUAUCUUUGCUGGGGAUCCAAAUCUAAGCAAGCAAGCUACCUCAUCUAAAAUCGCUACUUAUGAUGCUACUAUUAUCACUCCCAUUACCACUUAUGAUGAGAAUCUUGGACCUGACAAAGGCAGGAUAUCUCAACCUGCCAACUCUAAAAAUACUUCUGAAGCUUGCAAGAAAAGUGAAAAACUUCUGAGCAAAUUCUGGGCUGGUGGGUUGGAUUCUGACCAUGCUCCUGAUGAGGAGACGGAUAUGAGUGAUGAGCAAGAGCAGAACCUUGAAAGAGAUAUUGAGGAGGGAAGUUUAUUCACUCCUUUUAUGUCAAGAAGGCAGAAGAAGAAUAAAAAGAAGAAACAUCCCAAUAAGCUAAAUGAUACAGGGGUUCAACACACAUUUAGUGAACACAUACAAACUCGUUCUAAAAAGUGCGUCAUCAAAAGCAAUCCCAAAUAUUUGUAAUUGUUUGGAUGGUUGUCAAUUCUUUCUUAGUGGGAUAAUUUUGAUUGUUUUGAUAUUUCUCUUUUUUAGUGCUAGAUGUGUUGGUGAACUUGGCUGCAUUUCCUUGUUUAGCAGCUUAGGUUUCUUUUGAUUAAAAGCAAAGCUUAAUCUAGAUGCUAGAAGUUACUUUGCAUCUUAGGAGUAGUUUUGGCUUGCUUUCUCUUGUAGGUUCUCUCUUUGUAUAGGGUUCAGGCCCUCUCCUGCCUUUUAUUGUUUUCUUAGCCUUUAUCAAAAAAAAUAUAGCAGUUUCAAAUUGAAUUUAUUAAUUACUUAUUACUUAUUGCUUCUUGAUUUCAUUGUGUUUGUUAAUAGUUUGUAACUUCACAUCAAUAGUUUGUUAAUUUCUUUAUUUUUUAAAUUCUUUGUAAUUUCUUAUUUCAGCUUUGGCAUCUCUGUUCUGUGCAAUUGGGUUUCGUCGUCUGGUUUCGACGUCGUUCGCAGCUCUUCAGCUCUCAUACUUCACUUUUCAAGGUAGAGUUUAUUCAUUUGAACCUUUUUUUUUGGUCUAGAAAGCAUAAGGACAUUAUUGAAAUACAAUCUCUCUUCAUUAUUUCUUUCUUUCCUUUGUUCCAAGAACAAUACCAAACCUACCAAUUUCAACAAAGCAAAGCAAAGAUGAAUAAUCAAGUUUCCUUUCAUUCCAUGCUCCUUUCACUUGUUAUAAAUACCCCUUCUACCAUCAUCAUCUUCAUCACACCAACCAAGCUUUCAUUUCAGUGUAAUAGCUUCAAUUUUCAAAUUUUAUUUCAGCAAUGGAGAAUGAAGGCGUCAAAAGAAUAAAUGCGAGCAUUCCAGAUGUAGUUGUGGAACACAUUAUGCAUAACAUGGAUGACUUCGAACUCAGAAACCUCUUUCUCAGGUAACUGAUUGAUUUUUGUAAUUUGUAACUAACUUAUUUUGUAACUAAUGACUAUUGCAUCUAACAAACAGAUAUGUAGGGAAUGGAGGGAUAUGGAUUCAGAUACACGGAAACACAUCACAAUUCCUCUAAUUUACGCAUCCACUCCGGAAAAACUCAAGAAACGGUUUCCUAAACUUCAAUCAUUGAAGCUCAAAGGGAAACCUAGAGCAGCAAAGUGUGGUAUUAUACCGGAGAAUUGGGGAGGUUAUGUUUCUCCAUGGAUUAAAGUGAUUCAAAAUUAUGAUAAUUGUUUGAACUCUUUACACUUCAAGAGAAUGAUUGUGAGCGACCAUGAUCUUUUGAUUCUUGCGGAGAGAGGCGGGAGUCUUUUUUCUCUUGUGCUUGAUGACUGUAGUGGGUUUACGACAAAAGGACUUGAAGAUAUUUGUCGUUCUUGCACGUAAGUAGUAACUUUUCUUCUUAAAAUAUGACAUAUGAGAAUAAUAGUAUUUCAUGGAGCUUGAUGUUGCUAAAUUGUGACUUAAUUUUACUUUCUUGCAGAAAUUUAAGAGUCCUGUUUAUGGAGGAAAGCUCAGUUAGUGAGAAAGAGAAUGAAGAUGGUAAGUGGCUGCAUGAGCUUGCUUUGAACAAUAAAGCUCUUGUGACAUUGAAUUUUUUCAAGACUGAUCUUUUCUUAAAUGAAAGCAAAAUUAACAUUGAGGACCUUGAACUGUUGGCAAAAAACUGCCCCAACUUGGCCUCUGUCAAAAUUACUGAUUGCGAAAUCUUGGAUCUGAAGAACUUCUUUCAAUAUGCAUCUUCUCUAGAAGAAUUUUGUGGAGGUUUCUACAAUAAAGAUCCAGAGAAUUAUGCUGCUGUAUUACCAGCAAGGUUAAGUCGAUUGGGUUUGGUAGAAAUUAGAAAGGAUGAUUUGCCAAUAAUGUUCCCUUCUCUUGUAGCCCAACUGAAAAUGUUGGAUCUUCGCUAUUCAACACUAGAUAUGGAGGAUCAUUGUACCUUAAUCAGAUUAUGCCCCAACUUGGAAACCCUCAAGGUAUGAUUCUAGAGCUUUAUCAUGUUAAAUUUGCUCACCCUUCAAAUACUUGGUAUGAUUCAUUUAAUCUAUUUUGGCGCUCUUUCAAUUCUAGUCCUCUAGUCUUCAAAAUUUAUCCACCAUGCAUAAGUAUAUCUAUAUUUCACACAAAGUUUUAAACUGCGGUUGUAAUUGCGCUGCGAUCUUUGAUAUCAUGGAUAAGUGUUGCCUAUGCAGCCACAAUAUCUGUCACUAAAGCCUCUAAAAACAUUAUGUUGUGGUUGCUGACUGCAACUUAAAACUAUGAUUUCAAAAUAAAAUGAUAUGGAUAAUUUGGAAGGCUAUGAAAACAUGAAACCGUUUAUUUUAUAUUUUAAAUAUUUAUAAUGAACCAGUAAUUUUUUCCCCAUGGACAGUCAAUGGAUGUAAUUGGAAACAAAGGAUUAAUCGAACUUGGUCAAUAUUGUACGAAGCUAAAACGACUAAGAAUCGAAACGGAAAAUGAACGAAGGGAAGACGAAGAAGCCAGAGUUACCCAAAGAGGACUAAUUGAAAUAUCAAAUGGUUGUCCAGAGCUUGAGUACAUCUCAGUUAAUGUAUCCAAUAUCACAAACCAAGCGCUAAUACAUAUCAGUACUCACUUGAAGAACCUGUGUGACUUUCGCAUCACCUUGCUAAACCACCAACAGGUGAUACCUGAUCUUUCUACUCGAUGAUGGAGUAAAGGAAUUACUACAAGGUUGUGUAAAACUUAGAAGAUUUGCUCUGUAUCUUAGGUCGGGAGGGUUGACAGAUAAAGACCUAGAAUACAUUGGAAGAUUCGGUGUAAACUUGAAAUGGAUACUUCUUGGUUAUUGCGGUCAAACCGAUAAAGGGCUAUUGGAUUUCUCCCAAGGUUGUCGAAGUCUUCAGAAAUUGGAAAUCAGAGGGUGCAAAUUUUUCAGUGAGGUUGUGCUAGGUGUAGCUGCAUAUAAUUUAAAAUCUUUGAGGUAUCUCUGGGUACAGAGUUAUAGCCCAUCGUUCCCUCCUGGGAGUGGUUUUCGGUUUUCAGCACGCCCAUAUUGGUUUACCGAGAUGAUUUCUACCAGCCAAGAUGAGGAUAAUAAUCAGUUUCUCGGUUAUUACUCCAUAUUAGGAGGACCAAGAGCAGAUAUUCCACAUACAUUCUGCACCAUCGUCUGGUUGGGUAAUUGAAGUGUUUUUUUAGCUAGAGCAGGUUGGUUCCUUUUUGUUGUCUCAAUCAAUUACACAGCCUCUAUCUCAACAAACUGUCAGAAACAUAAGAGAUUGCAAGAAUGAAGCAUUAACUAGAUAAUACCUCAUAGUUCAACUUGCAUUAUGAAUUGGUUUCAAAUUUUGAAAAUAAAAUAUUAUAAUUCAGUUUCAUAAUUCUUAAGUGGCUAAUGAGGUUCGGACAAUGUCUGAAUCGUUAUGGAGAGCUUGAGUUUGAAUCAUGACAAAAGUAAUAAUUGGUUAAGCUUUGCUUACCUCUGAAAACCAAAUAGUGAAAACCAAAAUUUAUAUUCAUAAUGCUAUCGAAACACAUAGACAAUGUAUCACUUCAUAUACUCUACUUUUGUAAUCACAUCUUAAAAUUAAUUAUACUCUAAACACAUCGAAUUCACAUACUCUGUACUACUUCCGAAACUGACGCACUGGUUUUGGGGCAUGUAUCAGAGGUGUAGCUGGUGUUUUUGUGAAGGAAUUGUCUGGCUUGGUGUGCAAUGAGAUGCAGGUUCAUGAAAGGGAAGCGUGCUAUGUUGAAGGCAAUAGAAUGUCUGCAGCAACUCGAAAUUUCAAGUGUGACCCUAUUUUCUGACUCCAAGAUACUUGUUGAUGCAAUUCAUCCUCGGGUUGAAGGCCUAUCUGAAUUUAAUAUGAUUGUUAGCCGUAUUAGUCCUUGUUUAGAAUUGCAAUGUAACUUUUAGGUGAAGUUUAUACGGAGACAAGCGAAUUUGGUAGCUCAUAGUUUAGCUAGGGUUUGCCAAUUCUUAUUCUAGCCACCAAGUUCAUGAUUAUGUUCCUCCUUGUAUUUCAUCGUUAUUUAAUGAUGAAACGAGUUAAGUUCAUGAUUAUGUUCCUCCUUGUAUUUCAUGAUUAUGAUCCUCCUUGUAUUUCAUCGUUAUUCUAGCCACCAAUUCUUAUUCUAGCCACCAAAAUGUCGCUUAAAGAUACCACUCUCUUCUUCACAGCGCAGACUGUCCAAAUUAUCAUCAAGAGGUGUUUUUGACAUGCUUCCAGAUUCUUCUGAAUGCGACUGCUCUGCUUUUCUAUCGGAAACUUCUUCAGAAUACCCGGAAGAAUCAUUAUUUUUACCAACAUGCUGGUCCAAAACGACACUCAUUUCCUCUUUAAGGCUACUAAGCUAAGAGGAGAGAUCUGGUUCAUAGCCGUAUCCUGUCCUGAAAUACGCCAUCAUUUAUAACAUUGGAGCAAAUUUUUACAAUCACAUGCAUCUAAUAAUACCGAGUAGAAUUUUGCAACAAUGUUAUUUGUUUUCUCUAUGGGAUGGAAAGAGUCCCAAAAGAAAAACUUUGAAGCAUCUGAGCAACUGAACAUGCUGCCCCUGCUGCAUGCAUAACCUAUCUCAAACAUUCCAGUAGCACAACAUGCCACUGAGGCUGAUUCAAACCCAAACCCUGUGAACAAAAAAAAAAAUUAAUUUAUAAUGUGCUUCAUAAUGAUAAUUUAUUUAUAUAGAAAAAUAUUAAAUUAUAUUAUCUGUUGCAAGGUUUUCUUAUGAUGUGCAACAUAAUGUAAUAGGGAUUUGAAAACACCAAUUUCAUAUCAGGGAGCUCCUGAUUCAGCUUGGAGGUUAUAUUCUUGAGCUUACCAUUGAACUCAAGUGCUAUGAUAUUGUAGCUGGCAACACAACCAUUCUGGCCCAUAAAAUUUGUAGUUCUCCUCCGAUUAGAUGAAAGGGACCAAUUAAAAAGGAUUAACAUUUUGAAAUUAAAUUUGAUCCAACAAAUCUUUCUAUGCAAGGUAAAGAAAACUGAAAAGGUAACAAUUUAAACUAAACAGGCUCUUCAUAGUAGGAAUUGGAGUGAUAAUUGGAGACUGGAAAACAGCAAUAGUACAUGAAUAGUGAUAUACCUGAAGCUCGGCGUGCCCAUCAUCAACUGCAUUAAUAGCUGCCUUGAGAACCCGAAUUGUGGUUGGGCUAUUCCUGAGUAUAUCCCUACACCAUUUUAUUGUUUCUUUCUCUAAAUUUUCUAGCUACAUCAAAUGAAAACAUUAUAUUGACCAUAAGUAGCUUGAUUUAUAAACAUUGUCAUUCUGCUAAUGUUUUUAGCACUAUCCGUUCCUUUUCAAUUCUCGAAUUUUGAGCAAACAUAUAUUCCUAAUUAUUCGAUGUUUCAAAUUUUUUAGUUUGUGCAAAAUAUAUGACAAUUUCAUUACAGUUUAAAUUCCAUAUACAUUGAAAAUGAAUAUGAAGAAUGACUUUGAAAAAAAUAGAUAUCUAAAAGUAAAAUUACAAUUUCAUGAAAGGAAAAGAGCUUACUGGUACAACAAUAUUAUCCACCAUCCAGAAUAGCAUUAUUGUGGAUGAAUUGUUAGUAAAAAUAAGUAGUUUUAAUUUAAUCUUCACCAAACGUGAUGUAACAUCCCAAUAUUUUAUAUAUAUUACAUGUGGUAACCCUCUCUAUUUGUAUUUAAUUAAUUGGAACAUUGAGUUUUACUAUUUAUCUAGUUAUUUUAUUUAUCAAUUUGGUGUGUCUAAGUUAUGAUAGGUAGUUUUAGUUUGAUGGUUUUUGUCCUUAAUUUUUGGUUGCACGUUGCUAACCUCAUGGUUUCAAUUAUCAUUUAUUCUCUUGUUUGCCAAUCUACUCACCUGUAAGCAAAGCUAUAGUAAAUUUAAAAAUAAAAUAAUGAAAGAAGUAGAUAGAAACUAAGUGAACUUUGACUCUUUCUUCCCUUAUGUUGUGUGCCACCUCACCUUGACCUAAUCUAUCUAUAAUGACUAGAUUACUCUUUAGUUUAGUCAUGCCAACCUUACUCCCUCUUUCUCCUAUAUCUACGUCCCACUCCCCAAAAUGAAGGAACAAAUCACUUAGUCCUUACUCCCUCUUUCUCCUAUGAUCAAACCAAUUCAAGAUUUCCCCAAUAUUUAUAUCUCCCUCGUUCUCUCUAGCAUAAUUCAGUUUUCCUCUUCCUCUUUCUACAGAAUAUGUAUACUCCCUCCUAAAUAAAUGAAACAUCGGCAAAUGAUCCUUUAACCAGGUAGUUUUCCACGUAACCACAUCAUCAUCAUCAUGUUGUCUAUUCAAAGGUCCUAAGUUUCUUCCUCUCUAUAACUUGCGCAUGGUUAUUGCUCCAAAUCCAAAUCCCCUAGCAAUUUGCUCGUGGGCCUUUAGAGUUUCUUGCUAGAUAUUGUUCGAUUAGGAAGGAAAGCUUUUGAGGUAAGGGCGCUUCCCCAUACUUAUCAUAACUGUAACUAAUGGUUAGGUAUUAUGAUUUAAAGAGUAUGGUUCAUAAUUGUUGUUAAAGGGAAAUGAAAUUAAAAUAGAAACUUGUAUUGUAAUAUUAUGUUUUAUAUGAUAUUUAUGCAUGAAGCUGAUAUGUGGAAUGAUUUAUGUGAAGAGGAUUGUGAUUGUAUCAUGUCUGAUAUGUUUCUGAUGUUUUUUGGUGUUUGAGAAAGAAAUGUUUGAUAUAUAAAUUUAAAGAAAGAAAGAAAAUCAAGGAAAUGUGAGUUUUAUGAAAAGAUUGGUUUUUGGGUCAUGUGCAAUGAUGGUUAUUAAUAUUUGAUUGUGUUUGCCUAAGUGGCGGGAUUGCAUUCAUCGUCAUGCAUGCAUAUACAUUUCUGUGUGCCUUAGUGGCGGUUAAAAAUAUAUAUAUGUCCCCUAGUAGCAGUUAAAUAUUUUGUGUGCCUUAGUAGCGGUUAAAUAUUUUGUGUGCCUUAGUGGCGGCUUAUCUCCAGAUCAUUUAGUUUUUAGGAGCAUGCAUUGCAUUGCAUAAUAACCUAAAGAAAAAUAAAAGAUGAAUGGUUUGUGAAUAUUUCUUUUCUUGUUAGCAGCUUAUGUCCAGCAUUGAUUUUAUAAUUUUGUACUGUAUGUUUGAUUGGAUUUGUAUGAUUUGUGGUUUAUGGAAGCUGACCCCUUACACCAACAUUUUAGGUUCUAAAGAAGAGAUGAUGCUUUGGUGUUUUGCAUGAAGAGCGUGCGGGGACGAAAAUGGGUUUUUGGAUUAAAUUGUAAUUGUAAAGAUAAUUUGGAGGAUAUUUAUUCAAAGUUUUAAUUAAAUUAUGCUAAGAAUUUUCGUAUAGGUUUUUGGUGAGAAUUUAUUAUUGAUAAAAAGAAAAUAGUAGUAAUUUUCGAAAAAAGAGAAUGAUUUAGGCGUAAUGUCUUGAAUCAAAAUCCAGGGCGUUACACGUGACAUGAUAGAACUUCAAUAACCAGCAUCAAAGCUCCCAACCUUUUAUAGAGAUACAAAGAUAAAAGAUGUUACAAUAGAGGAAAAGGAGCUGCAAGUAAACUUUCUUAUCUAUUAUCAAAUUAUCUUGUGACUAAAUGUUUGAUGAGUAAAAUUGUUCAAAUGAAAAGGCAAAUUAUCGAAGCACCUUAGGACCAGUUUGGCCAGAGGUAGCAUUAUCUGCUGCAAUGGUUAGAUCACAAACCAUAUGCAAUAUAUGCCCCCCUCCAAUAGCAUACCCUGCUAUCUGUUUUAAUGUUAGCAAAUAAUUUGCAGCUGCUGUGAAGGCUUUGUGCACAAAAAAGUGAGAUUAAGAAUAAAGGUGCACAGAAGUAAGCUAGGAGAGUACCAUUACGAUUACUGGUUUUGGAAGGUGGCGAAUCUGCACCUGUAAUAGGAGAAAAGAAUGAAGAUCAAAGUAUAAGAAUAACAAAGGGACGAGUAAUAUAUUUAUACAACUUGAAUUGAAAAUUUUCUCUUUACAAAUCAUGAAAACAACAUUGAGUAAAUAAGCAAUUUUCCGUCCUUGGACUUAUGACUGGUUGGACAAUUUAGUCCCUCAAAUUGAAGAAAUAGCUAGGAAUUCAGUCUAUUAAAUUAGAGAACGUUGGUCAAUUUAAUCAAUACUCCAGAAUUAUGCACCACAAGGUUCCUUCAGUGUCAAUGUAAGCAACUUUUCCAUUGCCUCCAAAUUAUAUGUAAGCAACUCUUUGAUUGAUAAGCAAGCAAAUUUUGUGUAUCAUUGGGAGAAUUUUAUGUAUCAUAACAAUUCCAUAAUCAAAGAACUUUCUGUAACAUAUGCAGGAAUUAUUCAGAAACACAAAGAGCAGGUAAAAUCAAACACACAGAAAACAUAUAGCAACACAUCAACUUCCCACAAUCCAACAGACAUAAAACAUGCAAAUAACAAAACAAAACAAUAAACAUCUCAUAAGAAACUUGUUUUUAAACCAUGCCUUAGAUAUUAUUAUAAAUAAUGAAAUCUCCAACCUAAUCAAUCUAGUCAGCAGAAUAUAGACUUGAGGCUUUUCCAGAACAAACUAAUGAGCUUACCUUUUCCAAUUUUUCAGCACACCUACAAAUCACUCAAACUUAAGCCAAUGCUUCAAUCUUAAACAAAAAAAAUUACUUCAUAACUCUUAACCCAUAACCUCAUGUAAUUUUUUUAACUACAUGUCUAAAACUAUAGUUUCAUACCUGUAUCAUAAACACUACUUUCCAUAUACCAAUGCAUAUAAUUUGAAGAACAUUACAAAUUCAAUAUUAAAAUGGUUCCUUAACACUCAUCAUCUUUUACCAUAUUUGUUCAAUUUCACAAUUAGAUUAACAUCUUCCAUAUUUCAAUAUUAAAAUAAUAGUGCUUCACACGCAAAAGUUUCUACAUCAUCAAUUGUUGAGACAUCAAAUGAGAAAGCAACCAAAUUUUGUGUCUCAUUGGGAGAAUUUUUUGUAUCAUAACCAUUCCAUAAAAGUCAUUUGUCUGCUUUUUUGUGUAUUAGAACUCUGAUAGUAAGCGAUUCAUAUUCAACAAAGGAUGGAGAUGAAGAUAGGAAAUAUUAGAGUAUGUUCUGUAUGUGAAAACAUUUUUAUGUUUUCAUUUGUUUUUUACUAUGUUAUCUGUUUUCAAAUUUCAAAAGAAAAAAAAAAAAAGUUGUUUCAUUAAUCAAACUUCAAACAAUACAAUGAUUUUAUAAUCAAAUUUAAAAAGUAAAAGUAGAAAAUACGGUGUCAUUUUAUCAAAACAAACAUGCCUUUAAUAGCAGUAGUACACACCACCCAGUAACAGACAUAAAACAUUCCAACAACAACCAAAACCUAAAAAUCUUCUACCGGAAUCAACCAAACACAAACCGAAACACCAAAAUCAAAACCUUCAAAUAAUAAGAAAAAAUUCCUGAAAACAUGCAACCACAAUUGAUCAAAAAUGAAAUCAAGAAAAAUUCAACCCUCUAACCUUCAAUACAACAACCCAAUGGGAGAAGAAGAACAAAGAAACAGAAACAACACAAAAACAGAAAUUAUAUCAGUAAUCUAAACAUGCAUGCUAAUAUAAGAUGAAAAUACUAAUAUAUGUUUCUUUUGAAUUUUUGUGCAGCAAUAAGUGGAUAAAAAUCUUAGGAAUUUGAGAAAUUGCAACAGGUUGUUUUUCAUUCUUCGUGAAAUCUUUGAGAAAUCUUAGGAAUUCAAUGGUAAAAUUUUCUACCCACUUUUAUUACCUGGAAUUAUUGUUUAAAUCUUUGUGAAAUCUUAGGAAUAUAUGUUUUAUAAAGCACACAUGGUUCAUUUUUUGGUUUUUUGUACAUAAUCAGGAAAUAGUUUUGGCCCUUUAUACUUUUUCUUUGUUGCUAAAAAUUAUAAACUUUUUUCAAGCUUGUGACAAAUAAAUUGAAAACUAAACUAUAAAUGUUUUCCUGUAGGGUGCUAAAGUCGUGGUAAUGUAGUUGUGCAAUUAGCUGCAACCAAAGAUGUGCAACUUCAAGGAACUUUUGUUUUUCUAAUCAUGUGUUUAAAUUUUAGUUACAUUGAGCACAAGACCCCGAUUGCAUUUUGUUUUUCUAUGUUUAUUGUUCAACUAGCCCGUUACUCAUAACUUUGUGGUGUUACUUUUAACUUAUGUAGUCAUUUAAUCAUUUUUGGUCUGGGUUAUGUAAUUGCAUUAAAUUAAAUUGAACUAUAUGUCAAAUGAUGACAUCUUCCCUUUAAUGAUGAUAACAACAUCUGAUUUACCUUAGAAGUGCAUUAUAUAUUUUUAUUUUGGUGGUACAUUCAUAGUAAUAUUUUGUUAACGCCACCAUAUAUCUUUGUUCGCCUGUGCCCGUGCGUUGCACGGGUGGGAAUACUAGUAGGUAAACAUGCAUCCAUAGUUAAGUUUAUUGAGAAACCUUUUAAACAGAAACUAAAUCAGAUAAUUAAAAUUUGCAGCUUAACUAAAGAUUAAUUAAAUGCACUUAUCAUUUUAUCAUGCCAGGAUUACUAUCAGAAAGCUACAUAAAACAAUACACUACCACACAUUUUAGUGCAAGAGAAAACAAUCAAAAUAAAUUAUUUUAAUCACAACUUGUGUGGAAUUAAUUAGAGUGAAACUCAGAUAUUUGCCUAAACAUUUAAACUAAAUGAUUGCUAUACAGAAAGAACAUAGACAAAAUUGGUGAUUGAAAGCCAAAAAUGGGUGAUACAUAUAAGAAACCUUGUACACAUAUGCACCAUUGUGCCUUAGAAAAUGAGGUGUACAACACAAAAUUAACAAAGACUCCAGAAGCAACAAAACCGAUUGAUCAUGUUUCUCACACAAGCAAUUGGAAUCUGCCUUCCAGCAGGCUUAAUCGCAACAAUACAAUACACUGCAAAAUUCAACAGACUUGAAGUUAGUUCCAAACUCAUGGAUUUUAAGUUUCGAUAGAAAAACAAAAUAAAAAAAAAAAAGAGGAAUAUGCUGGAGAGGGAAAUGCAAAGAAAAUAUCAACUUAAUAUUGUAGUUAUUCACAAAUAUGAUCUUAAAUGAGAGUCAUAACAUUAUAUAGACGAAGGAAAUAUACUAAUGUUGGUUGAUUCUAAAGAAUCAACUCACAAAUAAGAACAAAAAUGGAACAAAUUAAAGCAAAUAAUGGUAGCAGAAUUUUAUGGCUCAUUUUCCAUGUCAAAAUUUUAUGACUACAAAUAACUUACAUGGUUUUGAUAAAAUUAACACCGGCGCGUCGUCAACUUCUUUUUAAGCUCUUGAAAAUUUUCUUCGCAUUUCCUAUCCCACACAUAUGUUGUCCUUUCCGAGUCAAUCGUGUCACAAGUAACGCUAUCUGCAAAGAUUCUUUGAUGAACCUCCUAUGAUACUCUACUUAUUUCCGCAACCAUCUUGGGAGCCUCCCAUUGCAAACAUUGCAUCCACUUUAUAAGGAUUAACUACUAUCCCAUUACUAGAAAUCGCAUAACCCAGGAAACUUACUUCUCGUAACCAACAUUCACACUUCGACAUCUUAGCAUUCCACCUAUUUUUCUUUAAAGUCUGCAACACAAUCCGCAAACGUUUUGCAUGCUCUUCGUUUGAUUCAGAGUAUACCAAAAUAUCAUCCAUGUAUACUACGACAAACUGAGCUAAAUACCUGAGUCCUGAACGCAGUCUUGGGCAGAUCCUCCAAUUUCGCUUGAAUCUAAUGAUAUCUUGAUCUGAAUUCUAUCUUACUAAUCACACAAGCACCAGCCAAAUGAUCCAUCAGAUCAUCAAUCCUCUGAUCUUCUUAAAAAUUGACAGUGACAUAUGUUUGCGCUUGAUCUGAGGUCGCGUAUCACUUCUCCUAAAUAAAAAUCCUUUAUGCAAUUUUUUUUCCUCCUUGCUUUAAUUUCGUCCUUUAGAGAAUCUGCUUCCUUCAAUCCCUUCUUAGUUGUUGCUCCUUCAUUAACCCCUUCCAUCAUCUUGAAAGUUUCAUUCCUAGGAUUGUCAAGAGUUGUUCCAUAGAAUUCUGGUCUUGUCAAGUUUGCAAGUUGAGUCGACGUUUGUCCCAUCUGCACCUCCAAGUUCUUAAUAGCGGCCUCAUUCAUCUUCUUAAUUUCUUCAUGAGCAUUGGAUAAUCCUUCGAGUUUACCAUGUGUCACCUUCAUUCUCUGAGUGAUCAUAUCUUCUAGAUUUCUUCUUGGUUUCUGCUGUCGAGUGCCUUGAGGUGGGCGAUUUGCUUUUCGUGGUUGGAAAAAAUUGUUGAUUUAGUAGGAGAAAUUUGGGUGUUCUGCCCAACUGGGAUUGUAUGUGUUGGAAUAAAACACACUAAAAUGAAAUAAAACAUCCUCUUAAAAAAUAAUUAAAUAACAAGUUUUGUUAAUCUUACUUUACAAAUGACAAAUAUUCAUAAAAUAUAAAACUCAGGUUUACUUUUUGUGCGUUUUAGUUUUUUUAUUUUUAGGGAAAGGACCCUGGUAAUUUGAAAUUCGAUUGAAAUGUAAGUAAAUUUUAAUGAAAAUUGUUCUACUUAAGAAUUGCAUUUGGAGGUUUCCUGUAUAAUUUUUUCGUAGGUGUAACUUAUUACCAUUUGAGUCCAAUAUUACUUUAGAGAUUUACUUUCAAUUAAUAUCCAUUACAUAUUUGGUAAUUAACCUUAGGGUGUGUUUCUGAUUGAAGGUUUAUAAGGGGAAUGGAGGAGAUGACUUAAUUUUCUUUUUUAAAUUACGGACAGUAAAAAAUAAUUUUUAAAAUAAAUAAAGAGUUAUUGAAGUAUUAUAUGAUCAUUUAUCAUGUUUUUGUUUCAAUGUUUUUAAAAUAUUUUAUAGUGUAUUAAACUGGUAAAAAAAAAUAUUAAAUGGAAAGAUUCAACUACUUUUAAUUUGUAUUAAAUGAAUUCAACAAAAAAAUAAAUAUUCUAUUAAAUUGGUCAAAAGAAAGUCAAAUAUACUUAAUAUACAAUUUUUAUUUAUUUUUUUUACGAAAAUACACAUCAAUAUAUGUAUAACACCUAUUACAUGACCUUGCAUUCAGAAAAUCAAAAGUUAUCUUUAAAUUUAUGUAUUUUCUCUCAUUAUGGAGGUCAAAAACUCAAAUUUGUCACAUGAAAACGAUGAUUCCACAUAUGAUAGAAAUGAUGAAUUGAAAGUUUUUGAUGAUUCAAAACUUGGUGUAAGAGGUCUUAUGGAGCGUGGGGUGACAAAGAUCCCACGCAUGUUUUAUUCUGGAGAAGUAAACAUCAUCAAAAACCCAAUCAAAAACUCAAUGUUGAAUGUUCCCAUCAUAGACCUCAAAGACAUCCACAUUGAUCCCUCUCGUCGUGUUGAAGUAAUUAACCAAAUCCGAACCGCAUGCAAGGAGUGGGGAUUUUUUCAAGUGAUUAAUCAUGGAAUUCCCAUUGAUGUAUUGGAUGAAACAAUUGAUGGAAUUCGUAGGUUUCAUGAACAAGAUCCCGAAGUAAGGAAACAAUUUUAUAAUCGGGAUAUGAAAAAGAAAAUUGUUUAUUUAUCAACUACUAGCUUGUAUCGAGAUAAGUCUGCUAACUGGAGAGAUAGUGUUGGAUGUUUCAUGGCUCCCAAUCCGCCCAAACAUGAGGAACUUCCUGAAGUAUUUAGGUAAUUAGUUAAUUUUAAAUCAUUUAUAUAUUUUUUUGAAUGUUAGUAUUGAUAGUGAUUGUUAAUAUUAUGUCAGAAGUGAGGAUCGCUUUAUUCUUUAACUCCUUCGUCCCAACCAUCAUAAUUUUUAUUUUUUGAAAAUCUGGUAUUCGAUCCAAGAAUCGACUACUCCGAGGGGACCAAUCUCAUCCCCCACUUGCGAGGGGCUCAUUUAAAGCCAGAACAAGCUCUGUAUGAACUUGCCCACCGAAAUUGGCAUCAGGAGGAAUCAAACCUGAGACCUUGAGAGGAGCAAACUCCAAGAUCCCAAGCAAACCACUAGGCCAACCCUAAAUGGGUUCCCAACCAUCAUAAUUUAUAAUUAGUAUUAUGUUUGGGAUAUUAUUAUUAUUUAAAAAAAAAAAUUAAUGAACAGGGAAUUAUUAUUAUUAUUAAUUAAAGAGACAUUAAUGAUCAUUUUACAAUGUCAAACUCUUAUAAAUGUAAGGGUUAAUAUGUCUUUAUUCCCCUGUAAUUUGGGCGAGUUCCGGUUUUCCCCCCUGUAAAAAAAAAAGUUUAGAUUCCAACCCUAUAAUAUAAAGAUUCUCUACAAAACACCCCUGUAAUAUGAAGAUUCUCCACAAAACACCCCUGACCCCAUUCAGACGCUGAUGUGGCACGCCACUGUGUAAUUAUUUUAAUUUUAAUUUUUUUUUAAAUCUGACAUGUGUGUAAUUGUUUAAUAAAUUAUUUUUAAAAAGAUAAAAAAAACUGAAAAUUAAUUUUCAAAAAUUUAAAAUCAAGAAAAAAAAAAUUUAAAAAACAUAAAAAUUAAACUGGAUUUUUUUUCAAAAAAUAAAAAUAUUAAUUUUUUUACCAAAACAUUCAAAAAUUAGCUUAUAUUAUUUUUUUCGAAUAUUUUUAAAAUUUUAAUUUAAUUCGGAUUUUUUUUUUAAAAUUUUCGAAAGUUUCAAAAUAUAGUAAGUGUAUGAAUUUUUUUUAUAUAAUAUUUUUGGAAAUAUAUAUAAAGAAAACAACCCGUUUUAGCUUUUGGGUUGGCUGUAUCUUUUUAAAAAUGCCCACAAUUUUUAAUACAAAUAACACAUGUAACAAAUAGAUAAGAAUAAAUUUAAAUAUUAAAAAAAUUUCCAGAUUUUUUUUAUCCUCAAUUUUUAAAUAUUAAAAAAUAUUCUCAAAUCUGUAACACAUCGUAAUAAAAAUCUAAAUUUUCCUAAAUUUUUAAAUAAAUUUGUAUCAAGAUUUGUUUUUUUGUUGAGAAAAUUUAAAAAACUUAUUUUUCGAAAAAAAAUCUGUUUUAAACUUCAAAAAAUUUAUAUUCCAAAUUUUCAAAAAUAAUUUUGAAUUUUUUUUUUUGAAAUAUAUAUUUCAACAUUUUCGAAAAUAAUUUUAAAAAAUUUUGAAAUAUAUAUUUUUCGUAAAUUAUAAAUUUUGAAAUUUUCGAAAAAUAUAUAUUUCAGAAAAUAUUUUUCGUAAUAAAAAAAAAGUCCUGAUUUUUUUAAAUUUUUAUAUAUUUUUUUAAAUAAAUAAAAAAAUUAAUUAUACAGUCAGCACGCCACAUAAUCAGAUAUGCACAGUCAGCAUGCCACUCAGCUUGCCACGUCAGCAAUUAUGCACAGUCACAUGGGUCAGGGGCUUAAAUCAAAGAAUCUUAUUUUACAGGGUUGGAAUCUAAACUUUUUUUUUUACAGGGGGGGAAAACCGGAACUCGCCUAAAUUACAGGGGGUAAAGACAUAUUAACCCUAAAUGUAAAUAGGAUAUCAUAUGGAAAUUCAACACUGAAAGUUAUUGUAUUAGUGCAUUCCUCAAAUAUUAUUAUGUUGCAAGAUUUUUUUUUAACACACUUAAGUUUUAGAUAUUUUAUUUUCUUGAGAUUAAAAAGAAAUUUUAAUUCUUAGAAACAUAAAUGGAUUGUCAUUCUUUUCACAUGAUGAUAUUGCACUCUAUUUUAUUUAUAUAUAUAUAUAUAUAUAUAUAUAUAUAUAUAUAUAUAUAUAUAUAUAUAUAUAUAUAUAUUAUUGUCAUAAUUUUAAUAUUUGAUAUGGGUUUUAUUAUUGUAUAAGUGCCUUUAAUUUUGAAUUAUGGUAGGUUCAAAUUAUUUAGAUUAUUUUAUUUAUUGUUUGUUUUCUUGCAGAGACAUUAUAAUGGAAUAUUCCAAGAAAGUAGCGACAUUAGGCAGUACCAUAUCUGAGUUAUUUUCGGAGACUCUUGGAUUGCAUCCAUCUUACCUCAAAGAAAGGAAUUACUUCGAAGGAAUUUUUAUUCAAGGUCAUUAUUAUCCACCAUGUCCUGAACCUGAAUUAACCAUGGGUGCGUCCACACACACUGAUCCUGCUUUCAUGACAAUAGUUCUACAAGAACAAUUGGCUGGUCUUCAAGUUCUUCGAGAUAAUCAAUGGUUUAAUGUUGCUCCUGUGCACGGAGCUCUUGUUGUCAACAUAGGAGAUCUUCUACAGGUAAAUUUAUUUAAAGGAAGGUUAGAUGACUUAUUUAAAUAUGUUAAAGCAAAAUAGACUUUUAACUGAGCUAACAUGACAUACCUGACUUAUCCCUAAAAAAAGGUCAUACCAACCUUCGAAAAAGCAAUUUUAGACCUAACAAAGCUUAUGAUUGGUAACAUGUCACGAUUUGGUCUUGAAUUAUUUUAAAAUACCAUAUCUAUUUACGCAAAGUUUGAUUUGGCAUAGCCUAUAAAUUCCUCUCCUAACUACCUAAUUUUAAUUAGGUGAUUUUUUAUUGAACAAGUUGAUAUUAUAUACAACCAUAAUAGUAAGGUUGAUAUCGUCGAUAAAGUAUUAGGAAAAUUUCUCUUUAGACUUUCAUUUUUUCUUUCAGGAACCCUGAAAAGACCAAAAUAUUUCCAACGACAAUUAACGGUCAUUCGCUCUUUCCCAGCGAUAUCCCACCCCAUGACCACUCAUGAAAUGCGUCAAGAUUCUACAUAGUCUCAAGAAAUAUGAGGUCAAUGUGCUUGUUGCUCUUAUAGGUAAAUAUGGUACAUCCGAUCAGAUAGAGCAAGAAAACUCUCAUGCACCAUUACAUACGGUUAUUUCUCUCCUUUUCCCUCCCAACCCCAUUCUCCAACUUAGUUUCCCUAUUGAGGUGUUCCUCUUAUAAUCUCUUCAACCAUGGAAUAAUUACAAAAGCACUAAACUUUUCACACACUCAUCAAUCGCACUGUCCUCGCCAACACCAAGGAACCCAGUUAUUAGUUGGACACCCCUAUCUUGGGAGAUCUUUUCCACGUGAGUUAUAAUCUUCCCUUCGAUAUGGAUAUGUAGAAGACACACCAUAUCAUCAAGUGUGACAGUCAUUUUCCCAAUAGGUAGACAAAAGUUGUUGGUCUCCUCAUACCACCUCUCAGACAAGGUUCUCUACUCAAAGUAGAGAACCCGGUAUGAAGAAGUGGGGAAAGACAAAAACCUAUAACUGGAGUCCAGAACCAGUUCAUAUUUGUGGGUGUGUAAGUAUGGUUAUCUUCUUUCCAUGCAUGAUGGCUUUACAUAUAUGACUACGACAUUCAAGCAUUUCAUCAAACACUUGGAGUGCUAAAUAUACAUUCUUAGUUCAUUGUAUUAUUUCAAGUUUUAAACUACCACAUUGAACUUCUUAGUCUCAACAACAUUCAGAAUGCAAACAUACAAACAUUUGAUCAUUUACUAAAAAAAAAAAAAUCAACUUUACAUUAACCUUAAACACUAACAUAUCACCAAUUUAAAAAAAAAAAACUACCAUAUAAAAUUAACACGUGAAUACAAAUGGAUUAUGAACAAGUGUUAGAUUCUUGAAAAGUUGAUUGACUUUGAAGAAAUGAAUUGGAUGGAUAUUGGUUUGAGAGAUAUUGAAGGGAGUUGAUGUGUUUUUGUGUUUGAAACAAAAGUGGGAGUUCAUGUUAUUGUUAUGAAAUAAGAUCAGAAUGCAACAACAUUUAACGGUCACUGGGAAAGAGUAAAUAGUAGUUAACUACUAUAUUUAAUAUAUAAAUAUACAAUUCAAUCUAUAUAAAAUGAGCUAAAUUAACCAAGUAAUUGAGUUCAAGUGGUUAAUGAGUUUCAUCAAUGAUGAAUUAUUUUGGAUAAUCUGACUUUGAUUUUUGAUAGAACAAUUUUUAGUCAUACUUCAUUUACCUCUGACCAAACUCAAAAAUACCAGGGUCCCUUUUUCUUUAGAACUAGAGGGUUAAAAAAAAAAGAAUUUUGUAUAAAAAAAUGAAAUUAUUGUCAUAAUUCAUAGUUAAUUAGAUAUCAUUGUAACGAAUAUAUACUUAUAUCAAUUUAUUUGUUAAUCUUUACAGCUUAUAUCAAAUGACAAUUUUAGUAGUGUUUAUCAUCGGGUGUUAUCAAAUCAUAAAGGCCCAAGAGUUUCUGUAGCUGCCUUCUUUGGAAAUUCUCAUGAUCUGGAGAAAGCUUCAUCAACGAUUUAUGGUCCUAUUAAAGAAUUGUUAUCAGAAGAGAACCCACCAAUCUAUAGAGAUACUAGCUUAGGAGAAUUCAUGUCACACUAUUUGACGAAGGGGCUUUUUGGGAACUCUGCAUUGCAAUCUUUUAGGUUGUAAAAGUAUCAUAUUUCAACUCCAAAAUAAACUUAAUAAGUUGAUACUUCAUCACGUGGUUUUUGACUUUUGUUAAAGAUUGUGGUUUUUGGCUUGUUGUUAUGAUUUUUAUCAGCAAUAAAAAAAUGUUAUAUUUAAUUAAUAAUAUUUUAAGUUCGGAAUGAUGUUUAUAGAUUAAUAGAUAAAUUAUUUUAGAGUUGUUUUUUGCAUAUUCAUAAAAUACUUAAUAUUUUUUGUUUAAGAUUGUUGAAUUAAUAUGAAUGUUAAAAAAGUAUAGAAGUUUGAAGCUAUUUUUUAUAGUUUUAUAUUAAAAUCAAACAUUACAGAAAAUAAUGAAAAUUAUAAACCAAGGCAAUAUAAAAAAAUUGUAACAUUUCUCAAAAAAAAAAUAACAUAUGAAUUGUAUGUCAAAAUAAAAUAAAAUAAAAAUGCAUUUGGGUUAGUCUGAUGACAUUGGUUUAAGAUUUUAGAGUAUCUUCCUCAAUAUCUCAGGUUAAAUGAUUUUUCCCCUUAAAGUCACACUACAACAAAAAUGAGAUUUAGUAACACUUAAAAAAUAUUACUAAAUAAAGAAAUGUUACUAUUUAUAUUUAGUAACUUCUGUAUAAAUGUUAGGUAAAGCCCGUAUUACUAAAUUAUUUCAGCGACAAUUGAGAAUUUUAUUUCUCAGCUAAUUCCUAGCUAAGUCGUUGCCAAUCUCAAGCAAACAGUUAAAGUACAAAUAAAUAACAUUAAGGAUCACAGCGACAAACUAGCUCUGAAAUAUUUCCCUAAUUAAAUUCAUAUUGCAUAAUUGUUCACGAAUAGUUCCCCUAGUUAUACACAUAGUAAGGACAAUAAUAUAGAUAAUUUUAAGAUCAAAAUGUUUCUACAAUUGAUACAAAAUAAUAAUAGAAGAAUUCUACAAGAGCCGAAUGCCACAUGUUGCAAAAGUACUCUUUUUUUUUUGUGGUCGGGAUUCGAACCUCGAACCUUGCAUAUUAUUAAAGAUAUAUGUUAGAUACUAGUUUGUAGUAGUAUAUAUACUUGUAAUAACCUCAUUAGUGGGAUAACUUCAUCAUUUGUAAUAUUCACUUUUAUCAUCAAUACAAACAUUAUUUGAGUUUUCUCUCAUUCCUUCCUUGGAUAUCAUGUUUACUAACAUGGUAUCAGAACAAAUAUGGUAUCCACCUUGAACAAUUUUUAGGGUUGCAUUUUCUCAUUCUAUUUUCCUUUUCUUCCUCACUCUGAUUUUCCAUUUCUCACUUCAUUUUCUUCAUUUUCCUUCUUUCAUUUCACGUGAAAACAUCUAUUCUUUCAACUUCAUUCUGAUUUUCCGGUUUCUACUUCAGUUACUUUGAUCCGAUUGUGUAUCAUGUUCGAUUUGAUUCUGUUUUGCAAUUUCACUUUGUUUUGUGUUUUGUUUCUACUUCAGUUACUUUGUUUUCUGUUUAGCUUCAUUAUUGGAAGCAUUGGUUUCGGUCUAUGGUUUGAAUGCAUCAACAUGGAUUUGUUUUCUAUGGUUUGAAGACAUAUCACAUGGCUAUGCAUCUCUAUUGGCUUGCAUUUGGUUUUUCUUGUCUCGGCUCAGCAUCGGAGGGCAUCUCUUUUCUUAUCUUUGGAACCUUGGUCUUGUCACUUCAUGGUACCUUUGGUGUGACGUUUGUUCAACAUAUGACCUCCUUCCAUUGUAGAUUUUGGCCCUUCCUUGCACUUCUUUUGGAUAUCAUCAUUGAUUUUGGAUAUCCUUGUUUUUUCUUGUUUUGUGCUUCUGUUCAUGAUGGAUCAGCCAUGUUGAUAAGCUUUCGUCAUGAAUGGUUAAGCGUUGUGCUUCUGUCCAAGGAUGGUUAAGUGUCGUUUCUCUUCUUCUUCUUGUGCUUCUGUCUUGAGUUAUUGAAAACUCUUGAUGGUUAAGCGUGGUGCCUUAAUUGGCUUUGUUGAUGAUUGCUUCUACCGGAUGGUGGUUAAGCGUUGCUUUGAUGCUUCUUCCUUCAAUUGGUUCAAUCUUGAGUUUUGGUUGCUUCUUGUUGGAUAAGCACUUGUUUGAUGACUAUUUUUUUUUUAGCCGAUGUGUUCCCGGCAUCUUUCCUUGUAUUUUCUCAUUUCAAGUUGGAAAUGUUUUGAACACCUUCCAACUUGAGGGGGACUAUUAGAGAUAUAUGUUAGAUACUAGUUUGUAGUAGUAUAUAUAAUUGUAAUAACCCCUUUAGUGGGAUAACUUCAUCAUUUGUAAUAUUCACUUUUAUCAUCAAUACAAACAUUAUUUGAGUUUUCUCUCAUUCUGUUAGGGAACUACGACUAUCACUAAGCUAUCUAAGAAAAUGGAAAAAAUACUGAAAUUUUUCUUAUCAUUUAUUGAUGGUUCAAGUCCCUUUUAUAAGGGAUACAAGGAGCACAUAUAGGCCAGCAACGGCACUCCUAGUACAAGGGUAAAACUAAGGUAAAAAAAUAAGACAGCAAAACAUUAUUUGGACUCAUCUACCAGCUAUCAAUGACACUGACAGAGAGCUAUUUUGGGCAAGUUAAUCCUCCAAGUUACCAAGUACCUUGUCCUCUAGUGCCAUAAAAGGGAUCCUUCAUUUGGGCUGAUAGUCUCUUAGAUAAUUGGGCUGAUAGUCUCUUAGAUAAUUGGGAAAACCACCUUGUCCUCAAGGUGAUACUGUAAAGUGAGAGUUUCCCAAUCUUCCCAGCUGGUAUCCUCCGGAGCAAGACCCAACCAUUGGACCAGAACUUGACGGCGAGGCGGAGUGGUGGACAUAUCCAUUUUAGAAUCAAAGAUAGCGAGAGGGAUGAUGAGGGGGUGGUUGUUAAAUGCGUCUGCGGGGAGAGGUUCAGUGAUGGCGGUGAAUGUUCCAUGGUGAGGUUUAAGGAGUGAAGAGUGGAAUACAGGGUGGAUUUUUGAGGAGUCAGGCAAAUCGAGUUUGAAGGCAACUGGACCGCAUUGGUCAAUGAUAGUGAAUGGACCGUAAAAACGGGGUGAUAGUUUAUUAUGGGAGUGGCCGGUUAAAGAUAGUUGGCGGUAAGGACGGAGUUUAACAUACACAAAGUCACCUACUUUGAAAGUGCAGGGACGGCGCUUUAAAUCCGCGUAGUGUUUCAUUUGUGCCUGAGUUUUGAGGAGUUUGUUGUGGAUUUUGGCUAGUAUUUCUUGGCGGGACAGUAGUAUAGUGUCAACUGCCUCAAUGUUAGAUCCAUUUGCUAAGUAUUGUGGGAUGGAUGGUGGGGGUUUGCCAUAGGUAAUUUGAAAUGGGGAUAUUCCGGUGGAUGAGUGGACUGAUGUGUUAUAUGACCAUUCCGCAAGGGAGAGGUAGGAACUCCAUUGUGAUGGUUUGGAAUGUGUAAAGGAGCGAAGGUAGUGCUCCAAAACACGGUUCAAAACUUCGGUUUGACCGUUGGUUUCGGGAUGGUAGGUUGUACUCAUGCGAAGUUUGGUACCACAAAGAGUAAAGAGGUCUUGCCAAAAACGACUGAUGAAGAUGGGGUCGCGGUCAGACACAAGACUACGGGGCAUACCAUGGUGUUUGCAGACAAGAUCAAGGAAUAGUGUAGCCACUUUGUAUGCGGUGAAGGUAGUCGGUAAGGCGCCGAAAUGGGCUCCCUUGGAGAAACGAUCCACAAUGACCAGAAUAGCGGUGAAUCCGUUGGAGGGAGGUAAACCUGUUAUGAAAUCAAGAGAAAGGUCUUCCCAUAUUACAGUUGGGAUAGGUAGCGGUUGGAGCAGGCCGGAGGGACGCCUGGUCUCGUAUUUGAUGAUUUGGCAUACGGGACAUUGAGCUACAAAGUCACGAACAUCUUUACGCAUUCCUGGCCAGUAAAAAUUAUCUUGUAGGCGAUGGAAAGUUUUCAGUGUACCAAUGUGUCCAGCCAAUGGAGAAUUAUGGAAUUCGUGCAACAGCUUGCUCUUAAAGUCGCCUGCGGGGUCAAUCCAAAUUUUACCUUUGAAAAAAAUCAAGCCUUGAGAAAUGAUGUAGUCCUGAUGAGCUAACGGCUGAGUCUGGAUGUUGUUGAGCAGUGUUGUGAAAGUUGUAGACUUAUAAUUUAGAAUGAGAUGAAAUUAAAAAACUUAUAAUUUAGCUGACUUCUCUUUCAAGUUAAUUUUGUAUCCUAUAAAAGUGGCAAUAUAGUCAUGUUUUAAUGGUGGAAAUGAAAACCUGGAAUAUAUCCAAAAAUUUGUUUUAAUGUCGAAACUCACUUACAUGAUUUCGUCUCUUGUUCUCUCUCUUUUUUUUAACAAGUAAACAAAUAUAGAAUGUUAUAUAUAACAUGUCUGUCUUUUGAAAACACUGCAGUCUUUCCGGUUCAAUUGACGUGGAGAUUCAACAUUCUUCAGUUCAUUUUCCAUCGGUUAAGAUGUUGUAUCUUGGCCCGGACUUUGUGGAUACAAAUGAAUUAAUUUCCUUUCUCUCUGGCUGCCCCAGGUUGGAAACUUGGAAGGUUUGCUUUUACUUUACUCCUGCAGACUUUGUGACCAAAGUUCUCGUUCCACCUUCCUCCAGCUCCAAGAGCUCGAUAUCCACCUUAUUUUCAAUUAAUGCAAGUAUAAGAGAGAGUAAAAUACAAUAGAAUAAAAAAAAUGCAACAUGUGCUUGCAUUCAGAUGGGAUGACUUGAGUCCGCUCAUGACAUUUUGGACGACGCAGAGGCUGCCGGGUCUCCAAUGGGUUUCAAUAUGUAUAUUUUACAUUCGUCGGCAUAUCAGAAGGAGGGAAUGCAAAGAGAAGCUAAGGCACGGCUAAAACAAAUGAAAAAGAUUAAUUUGCAAAAAGAAUUGUCUGAUAAUGCUAUUGACAAACACACCCCUUACGAAGAAACGUUAAAUUCAGUUGGUAAAUCAAAUUUGGCUAUCACCUUGGCUCAAGUAUUGAAAGAUGAAAAUCAGACAGUUAUUACCUUGGUGUAAAACUUCAAUUAUUCAAUCUUCUUUUUCUGCAAGGCGAGAAUGAUGGAGGAGGAUGUACUGAGGGCAUGUAGAAGAAUGUUUGAAAUGAAAGUUCAACUGACAAGUUAAAUUUUCGCUCAUCUCAUGUGUGGAUAUUCUUCUCUCGGUAUGUAUCGCUAGACUAUGUUAUUGUGGGGAGGCAUUAAGAGAUUCACGAAGAACAACUAUUUAGUUGUAAAUAGAGAUCUAUAUGAGUUACUGCUGCUAAACUUCAUUCGAGGUGGUUAAUUUGAGAGAGUGAUGGUAGUCAUUGGCCAUAUGAAUGACCAUGAACUGUAUACUGACAAGUUUCUGUGCAAAAGAGAGUUCCUUAGACUUCAUAAGAAUCUUGAUAUGAGAAUUAUCUAUUUUACAUAUCCAAUACCACAUAUUCCCUACAACAAGGAAGUACUCAUAGGAUUGGCAAAGAAAUUCUCUGCACAAAUUCACUUCUGUUGACAAGAUUUACUUCCAAUAAGAUUCUGUAGCAUGGAGGGGCCUCCACCAAAUCUACUUUGACACAUUUUCCUCACAGUUAGGUGUUUAUCCAGAACCAUCAACUCCAGAAGAGUUUUACAGCUCUGUCAGAAAAUUGAAUCAUCAUUUACCCGCAAGAGGAGUGCACAAAAACAAGGGAAAAAAAUAGGCAACUAAAGAAAAAUUACAUCACAUCUAAGUCAAUGUUUACAGCAUGAUGAAAAAGCUAAUAUAGUAAAGCCUCCUACACUAGAACAGAACAGGAAUACAAUUAUUUCUCAAAAAAAAUAUAUUGUGAACCAGAUGACCAGAAAUUUCAAAAUAUAAAUCAUAGAAAAGAUUCAUGUGGAUUCAACACAUGCAUAUGACGUAGAAUAUCAUCCUAGCACAUACAAAGUGAAACUGUAAACAUUUAAAUAAAUCUGAUCAAAGAACAAUGUAUUCAUAUACCUCCAUCAUCCUCGGGUUCUGCAUCACUAUUCCAAGAACACGACAUCUGAGUCCCUUGAAAACAAUACUAUUGAUGGUCCCAUCUCCAUUGAUCCAUGACAAUGUUGGCAUACAUAAUUCACCAGAAGGAAAUUUGAUCAUUUCUUUCUCAAGAUCACAUCUUGGCGAGCCAAGUCUGUCUUGCAUACAGCCUUCAUUCCUAUCACAAGCUUUAUUUUCAGGAUCCACAUCCUCAUGUGGAAAAUUAGGAAUUGUUACUUUGGCUUUGUGCACAUUAUCAAAGCCAGAGUUUCUUUUCCUAAGAACAUCAGCAGAAGCAGAAACGCUGCAUGUAUUAUCACUUUUCUUAAUGAUCUUGUUUGACAAAGGUUGAACAACAGGAUGUAAACCAGACACAACUGCCAAAAGUACUUGUGAUGGUAUUGAGCAUCAACGAUACGAACAGAAUCAUAAGCAUUGACCUAGAAAAAGAAACAAAUUAAACUAGUUUUGAAGCUGAACCAACUUAAGAAUAUAUUAUUAUAAUUUUCAGCAAAAAUUUCAACUUCUUCUGAGCUAAAUGGCUCAAACUAUUACUGCUGUCGCAAACUACAUCAAAUUCUAAAUAAGACAGUUCCAUCUCUGUCACACAUAGCUCCAAACUAGUAAAAGCAGUAUAUAUUUGCACUCUUACCAGAAAUUCAAGAACACGGAGGAAACACGGGGAAAAAAUAAUCAAAAAGAAUUACUUAAGAAUAAGGAUUACAGUAUAAGAGCUUCUACUAGGAGAAUUCUAGAUACAAGUUAACCAAUGGAUGAAAAUAGGAGCACAAAUCCGUAUAACAGCAUCAGUCUAAAAAUUCAAAUAUAUGUGUAUCAUACUCUAUGAUGGCGAUUUUCGAAAGUGUACAAAAUUGUGCAAAAAAAUAAGAUCAAGUAUCGAACUCGAGGAUCAUGUUAUACUGUCGAAUAAUACUUAUAACUUAACUGAACAAAAAGAUAUUUGUUUGAUAGCAAUAAUGAUAGGUAAACAACAACAAAAAAUUGCUUUGAUCUUUAUAAUAAUAAAAUUGUCAAGGAUGAAUUUCACUAGAUGACUAUCUUGAGUUAUCAACUUGACUAUGACUAUAUGACUCUUGUUAAGGCUACAACUGAUCACAACCCUCCGCAAUAUCAAAGAUUGUGAUACAAAUGAUCCACAAUUUAAAACCUUGGUUAAAACAUUUAAUGAGAAUUGAAUUAAUUGAAAAAUAAAGAAAUAAACAAACCUUGCCAUUGGCAUUUGCUAGUUUAUGAGUAAUAGCUUUGAUUCGAGGUUCAUAAUCCGUAAGACGAACAUCGGUCUGAGGUUCUUCAGAAUCAUCGAAUUGUGUGAUUUGAAUAUCAAAUCUCUGAUGCCAAGCAAGUGGUUUAACAGCAUAUUGACACAAGUAUACCAAAUGAGUAGUAAUAUUAAGAGGAACAGAACCUGAAACCCUAGAUAUUUUUUUCUUCUAUUCAAGGACAGAUCGUUUGACGAUUAAGCCCUUACACUCCAAACUUGUCAAAAACUAUGAAAUAAGAAAUAAAGGCCAAGCCCAAUACUUCUGUUUCUAUGCACACAAUAAAAAAAACAUAACUGCUUCACAAACUAGAACAGUCCUCCACAAUCUUCUUGGUAUAAAGUUUUAAGAAAUUACAGGUGCACCAUUGCAGCUAAGAUCAGGGCACCACAGACAUUGACUUGAAACUUCAAUUGACAAGGACGCCUAUAAAUAUGAGCUGUUAUUUUAACAUCAAAAUACAAGCAAUGUAUGUGUUUAUUUAAGCAUAAGAGAUGCACUGUCAACUAUUCAUUUUCAACAAAUAAUUCACUAUGGCCAACGAACAAGGUGAUAUCAAGCUUUCCAUGUAGACUACUGGAUCCGUAUAAGCUCUAUGUUGAAGCUCGAGAAUGUUAGAGGUAUAAUUUCUGGAAUGAUAGACUCCCAACUGACAUUGCCCCGUAUCAUCAUGCUGCAUUAGAAACUGUUCAUCCUCUGAAAUAUAUAAAACAUUGGCAAUGGAAUGCUGAACUGCAAUGGAAGGAAUGGUGUACAAUAUAUGCCAUGACUCUUUAUUUCCGAAUUCCAUCAUCAUCCAUAUAUCUGUACCCCUAUCAUUGCAAUCAAAUAUGCACAAGAAAUCCUUUAAGACACCCAAGGUCAAACUACCCUUUCCUCUAGAAGUAGGAAGCAAAAGCUUCUGGUAUGUCUCAGUGGCUAGAUCAAGAGAAAAAAGCUCACCAGCUAACCAAUUAACUGUCCCACUCAGAAAUAGUCCCGUUUUAGGAAGUGUGUUACUGCAACGUUUUGGAAAGUCAUGGAUCGCCCUCCAGGAACAAUCCGUAGGAUCGGACCCCAAGGUAUAAAUACUAGUUUUAGGAGUGGGGGGUUUGCGGAUAAAAGAAAUAGCAACAAUCUUAUACUUAUGAGUGGUAUUAUCAUACCCAAAGCUAUAAAAGUUAGCUUGAACGCUCAUUCUUCUUCUUGUGUGUGGUGUAAACUUAUCAAAACUAUAUCUUAUAGGGGGAGGAAACGAAUUUUCCACAGGGGGAAUGACACUAUAUUGUCUAGUGGAAGGGUUCCACAGAACAGGGUAACUAUCCCGAAUAGUGAAACAGAUGAUUCCAUUGCAAUCGCCGGAACAUCUACUGAAAUCAUCUGUAUUCAAAUUAUGAGGCAAAGGGAGUGGGGUCUGUGAUUGUGAUAGUGUGUUGAAAACUGAAGUUAUAUGGGUACAAGUGAAACCGUUGUUUUGAAGCAUGAAGAGAUGGUGGUGGUUCUGAGAAGCCUUUGCCAUCCGAAGAUGCUUCUUGACGAAAUCCGGAUCAGAGAUGAGAGAAUUCCACCGCUUGCACAUGCAUUGAAGCUGAAGUAGGAGCUUCACCGGAAGUCUACAAAAUAUUUCUUCAACCAGUUCAAUGGGAAGCAACGGCUUUGUUUCAUCAUCAGCGAUUUGAACGGCUUCUUCUUCGUAUGCAUGGUGGUUCAUUUUAUAUAUAAAGGGAAACUGGUGCUGCUAUGCUGAGAAGAGGACAAAGCAAGGUAUUUGUUUCUUUCUUUUUUUCUCAAGAGAAGAGAAUGAUCGAUUGAUUCUGAAGAACAGGAACUGAGUAGUGUUUUUGUUUGAACAAGAAUGACUCUUUUUCUUUUUUGUUUUUGAACAAGAGUAGAUGCAUGUAGUGUCUGUUUACUACACUGAUAAUGAUACAAGACAAGACCCAUACAUACAUACACACAAUUAUUCCACUUCUAUGUUCACUUUCACUUUUUUCUUUUUCCAACUAUAUUAGGUGUGUCAGUGUCUUAACUCUUAAAGCAGCCAAAGUAAGAGGGAGUGAGGGCGUAUUUGAGGAAAAGGUAAAAACUCACAUAAUUUGGAAAUAAGUACCAUUAAUUUGAUUUUGGAAAUACUCCUAGUAGAGCUAGGCUUUCUAAAAAAAAUACUCUAUUUAGUCCAAUUAUCUCAUUCCAAAACAAAGGAUCAAGUGUCCUUUAUUUCCACCAAUGAUACGAAUUGGAUCCAGCUAUUUCCAAUACACACUCUUUAGUCCAAUUAUUAUUAUACAUACAUAUAAUUCUUCUAAUAGAGUCUUUAUAUAUAUGUUCGAUCGUUUAAUAAUUUUACUAAUGGUUUAAAUUUAUUGUCUGAUUGUGUUGUGGUGGAGGUCAUUGUGAGGUUACUAGAUUGGCUCCUUUCGUAUUCUGAUUUUCUUCUUUAAUAAAAGGAAAAGAUGCUUAAUCUAUGCAAGGGAGAACACUAAUUCAAGUGCAACAAAUGUCUUGUCAAUUCUUAAAAUGAAUAAGAAAAGUUUCAAAGGCAGUCUAAGAUUGAAACAAUACUUUUUUUUUUAAAGAGAGGUAUACAUAUAAUAUUAUUGCUUACACUUUAUGUCCAAACAAUUGAAAUAGGAAGCAUAAACUAGAUACAAGAAAUUAACACGGCUGAAGUUACUCGAGGCAUCUGCCACAAUAAUUAAAUCUGCAAACACGCACAAAAUUUUAAGAAAUUGUCCAAAAAAAUGAUUUCUUAAUACCCAAAAUGAAUGGGUAGUAUAACUGAAACACAAUCUGAUGAGUACAUAAAAAAUAAUGGCAACAUUUCUCCACCAAUUGUGGAACACAUUCAAAAGAAAUUGAGCACAAUGACGCUUCCAAUUUGCAUCACAUAGUUGUAUGUAUAAUCAAUAAUAAACUAAAAUAGAGAUCCCUCCAAAAUUACAAUCUGAAUGUAUAGGCCGCCAUAUUGCUAUUCAAGAAACAAUUUAAUAUACAAUUAGGCAAAGCUUCACCAAUAGGCAGAGAGAUGAUCUGCUGCUGAAGAACCUUUUAUUCUUCAUUAUUCUGAUUAGUUUGUAACAAGGGAAGAAGACGCUCAAAGGAUAUAACUAUCAUUUAUGGCAAAGUAGCUUUCACUUCUUUCCUAUCAGCACCACAUGCCUGCAAUUCAAAAUAUCACAAACCAUUAGAGUUUAAUAAAACACACCAUCUACCAAACUACAUUAUUAUUGUUCAUGUCCUUUUGUUUAGUAAAGCUUUCACUGCAUAAAAACUAAAUCCAACAAAAUAUCAUUCAUUCUUCUACAAAUUAAAAAGUCUUUUACUGUAUUUCAAAUAUCUGGAGUAAUAUUCUCCACAAAUUUAAGCAAAGGAUUAUUGAAUCUGUCACAUAUCAUCUGACAUGCAUUUGCUUGCUUAUAUUCAAAUUUAUUAAGCAUCGGGUAUUUUCAAUGAGAGAUACACAAGAAUAAUAAGUAGGGAUGAAAUAAUUUGUGUACCUCGACCCCUAAGCCUUUAACAUAUACAUUGGUAAAUAGAUCAGAUGGGUCUGGCAUUUGACUUUCCUGGAAAUAAGAAAAUAAAACAGAAUAUAGAUUGUAAAGCAUAUAAAAAAAUAUGUGGGAUACCAAAGUUAGUAUGAGAAGAAUAAAAAGAAUAAACAACUAAUAUAUGGUUAUACCUUUGCUUUGGCAAUGGCUUCAUCAACUUGUUUUCUGGCUUCCUUUUCAAUAUCCUAAAAGAACAAAUUACACAAUACUUUUAGCAAUUAAACUCUAAUGGUUAGUAGAAGAAAAUGAAAAAUGAUAUCUGAGGGCUUUCCUCCUACCCAGUCCAAUCCAAAGCACCCAAAUACUUACUCAAACUGCAUAUAAAGCCUUCCCCUUUUUCACACUACUUCACAGUAUUUACUUAAAAAUAUUUCACACUUGACACCUUCAUCACACCUUAUUUCCCCAUGGGCAGUCUGUUAUGUCGUGCCUAUGAAUGUAAUGAGUCCUUUCAACAAAUAGGGAUUAGUACUUGGUCUUUUGUAUUAAGCUUGUUAUCGAGUUAUUAUCAAUGUCUAAAACUCUUAUUAUUGCUCUCCUUUGUUCUAAAAUUCAUAACAGGAUUUCUCUGCUGAUAACUAACUAAAGUAUUUAAUGAUGAACUUCCUCUUCACUACUCCCCCCUAAUAACUGAAAACUCACAUGUCCAGCCCCUCUCUUUCUCUCUCUGCCACCACCUCAAUAAGGUCCCUGGUAUUCACUACCUGCACCUUCUUAUUUUUCUUAGUGUAGACCCACUUAAACUAAAUAAUAGUGAAACUGUUUCUAUUUGUGAACUUCAAAGUAAAAAGCCAGAAAAACUCGAUGAUCAGUAUAAAGAUGAUCAUAGAAGUAUUUUAUACAAAAUAAAGACAGAUAUAUCACAUUUUACAAUACAAUAGUUAAGCAUGAUUUCAAACUUCACGCAAUCACCUUUAAUUCCUUUUCAGUAGAAAUGUCGUGAGCCAAUACCAGCUUUCUUACUCUCUCAAUUGGAUCACGCUCCUGUAAUCAAAAUAGUCAAUAAAAAAGAGAACAGUUAAUUCCUCAAUUUAAUUAAACAAGGACAUUGUAUACUGGUGAUAGUGAUAUACCUGUCUAACACCGCUAAUCUCAUCACGUGUGCGGUAAGUGCUGCCCGGAUCAGACAUGGAGUGGCCAUGGUAUCUGUAAGUGUCCAUUUCAAGAAUCUGGACAUUAUAGUCAUGAGAGAGAGAAUGAGAGACCGAUCAUAAUCUAGCAAAGAUUAACCUUUGAUAAUUGAAUCAAAAUCAAUCAAAAUUUAGCCAUUUCUAUAACAUAGUUAAAUGUUAUGAAAAAUAUUGUGCUAUUAUAGAAUGAGGAUGCACAUAUUUAUAUACAAGAGACAAUCUCCCAAAGUAAGGAAACUAAGAAUCAACUAAACUAUCUAUGCAAACUAUAAAUCAAAUGAUAAAGGAGAGAAUAACUAAUUAUAAGCCACAAAUACCAACAACCUAGCCAUACCCCACUACGUGGAAUUGGUCACAUGAAUGAGCCAAUGACCUAACCCUUAUCAUUUAUAUAUAUAGGGAGCACGUCAAGUGAGAGCACUAAUUAUUGUGAGAGAAGGGAGGGGUAAAUAAUAGCCCUUGGAUUUAAAUCAACUAUUAUUGAAUAUAACUUCAAAACUGUACCCUAACUUUUUUUGUCAACACAUGUGUGUGCCUUUAUCCUUUUCCCCUGCAUCUUCUUCACUCUAACUGUUAAUAUGCAAAAAAAAAUCUAUAGGAAAUGAAAUGCAAUCAAAGCUUGAGACAAACCAUAAAUUGAUUGAAUUGAAGAUCAGCAAGAAGAUCUUUUAGUUGAUCGAUGAUUGUCCAUGUUGGAACCAACCACAAUCCUAAGAUCCCAGUUUAUUAAUUUAGGGUUCUAUGCAUUCUUCGCAAUUGUUUGCAUUAGUAUUGUUAAAAAAAGUAUUAAAAAAUACGAUGAAGUAAGGUGCAGUUUUGAAAGUUAAACUCAAUUAGAAUCGUUGAAUUAAAUCCAGGGGCUACUGUUUACUACUCUCAUCUCUCACAAUAAUUAUUGCUCUCACAUGAUAUGCUCCCUAUAUAUAUAUAUAUAUAUAUAUAUAUAUAUAUAUAUAUAUAUAUAUAUAUAUAUAUAUAUAUAUAUAUAUAGAGAGAGAGAGAGAGAGAGGGAGGGAGGGAGAGGUGAAAGAAUAUAUCUGUGUAGCUAUACUACAGGUUAAACAGGAAUAAAAGUCAGUUCCUAUCUGACUCUGACUAAAUAAAAUAUCAUUGACAUGGUAGGCAUCGUCUAUCUGCAUCAGACAGAAUGACAACAAGCAAUGUAUGCUCAAAUAAAGCACCUUCUUGAAGAGUCAAACUACUAAUACUAAAUCAUAUGAUUGGAGACAAUGCAAUAUAUCACAACACAUUUAAAAUCCCAAUGGGCCAUGUCGAGGACCAACUCUCUUAACGGGCUUAAAUUGUAGCAUGCAAAAUAGUAAAAAUUGAGAAUCUACCUAGGAUUGGAAAGGGGGGUGUAAGACACACAAACUGUGUGCUGGUAACGCUGAUUGUAAGAUCCUACUUCAGAAACAAAAAUGUAUUAAGGAUGUAUAUACAUAUAACAAACAUAAAUAAGAACAAACGGCAUCAGCAACUCCAGAGAUGCUACCAGCACUAGAACGAAAACCCCAAUCGAAACAGCAAACAGAGAAGCAGACAGGUGUAGGUUAAAAGCCAAACCAGAGCACCCAGAGAAGAUUGAAGCACCUUCUUCGCCAUCAAAGACCACCCAAACAAGCACCCACAACAGAGCCACACAGCCUUGAACAAUUAAGUCAUUGGGCCAUAAGAACAAGCAUAUCACACUGGGGUAAUGGAGAAACAAGAGCAAGAAGAACAGAGCAGUAGCAAGAAUGGUUGUUCAGCCAGGGUAAGGACAAGAGAUGAACGGUAGUGAGAAAACACCGGUACAAAAGUAUAUUUGGAAGAAGAUCGGACCAAAAGACAUAAAAGUAUGCUCAAGAGUGAAAUAAAGGAUCCAAAACCAAUUAGAUCCUCAGGCUUAUAAAAAAAAUGUUGUUCUUUCAUAAGGUACAGCGAGACCACCACACUGAUUUCAUGAAUAAGAUCGGUAGUCCCAUCGAGAUUGUGGUGGUGACACUGACACCAAAACACGUAGGAUCUUGCAAUUUGUUAAACUAUUUAUUAUUAAAUAAAUGUUAUAUUUUAUAAUAGCAGUUAUGGUAGUUAUUGAUAAGUUAUUAUGUAAUAAGUAGUUAGGCAAAAUUACACCUUUAGUCCCAUAACUUAAUUUUAGGUAACAGUAUGAUCCUUAAUUUUGUCCUUUUGGUCCAUUUACAUAUGAAUUUUCAAGCUUCAAAUUCAUGGUUUUAUUUUUUUAUGGCCUUCCAAUCUUCAAAUCUAUGGUCUUCUUCUAUGUUUGCAUAAGAAUAUUAAAAAUGAAGCUUGAAAAUCCAUAUGAAAAUGGACCAAAAGGACAAAAUUGAAAUGAAAAAAAGAUAAAGGACCAAACUGUUACCUGAAAUUAAGUUAACGGACUAAAAUUGUAAUUUUGCCAAGUAGUUAUUAAGUUAGUUAUGUAUUGUUUGUGAAUAAAGGGAAACUCCAAUCUAUUGUGGGUUAUCCUGGAAAUUAUAAAGUGGUUAUUUCGGAAGGAGACCAAGCUCUCAAAUUCUUGGAAGGGAGAGACCCAAGGCUCUCAAAUUUCUUGGGAGCCCAUUGUAAUUAUACUGUUAGUUUGGAUGUUGGUACCAGUUUCUAUCUCAAUCCCACAAUCUAAAGGGUGAUUUUAGUAAACACAGCAACAUAAGGACUUACGGUUGGUUUUAUAUUAUAAAGACACUCCCUCACAGAAGAGAAAUUAAGGCUUCAAUAUUCACAAUGUGCAUGCCUUGUUCCCAAAUUACACUUCAUAUCUAGAAGAACUGGGGUUGCAAGGAUCAAACUCCUAACAAUUUGGUCAAGGAGACUCUAAUACCAGUUCAAGGACUGCCUUUUUUUUUUUUUUUUUGACAAAAGUUAAAGGACUGCCUUGUUAUACGCUUAAGAUGGACAUGUCCGGUGAAGAUGCACAUGAUUUAUUUUAAGUAACCAACGCUUUUCUAUCUGUCAUUGAGUUUCUUGUAUUCAUCUCCUGCUUCUUAGCUUAGGACAGGUCCUAUGGAUCACGCAAGUUAUAUACAAUCAGCUACCUAGGGCAAGACCAGAUUGAAUGAGUAGUUCGCACAUCAGCACUCGGUCAAUUGGAAGAGUCAUAGAUGCUUGUAUCCAGAAAACCCAGAGUAUUCCCAUCUUAUAUGCAAUUGAAUAAUCCUUAGUUCAAAGAACUACACUCACCAUUGAGUGACCUUCCCAUGUUGAAUCAAACACUCAGCACCCUUCCCCAACACCGCAAGAAUUAACACAAACAACAAUUAAUUCUUCAAGUACAACACAAAAAAGACACAAAUCAAAAUCAGUCUGCAACAAAAUCAGCCCAGUUUAUGGUGAAAACGAGACAGAUACUACAGAAGAUUAAAUAAUCUACAUGGCCCACAGGAGAAAACUACAUAACCUGUGUAGAAUCCCCAACAUUUAUAAAGUGUAUCAUGUUAAUAUCUACAAAACUAAAUGGACUUAUAUCUAGUUUGAUGACUAAUAAAAUUUUCUUCAUUGAUUCCGCCAUAUCAAAUGAUUUAGAUCAAAUAUCUGAUGAUGAAUAUCUAGAGCAUUCUUUUAGCCCUAAAACUAAUAUAAUGACAAAUGAAAUAAUCAUGGAUGAUAACUCCUAAUCUAAAUCGCUCUGUCAAGCAUUAGUAGAUGAACAAUCAAUCUGGAACAUUGUUUAACAGUAGCUUUAGAAAUAAGUAUUCAUACAAAUAAAUGCUUGUAACUUUACUCACCAGGGGACCAUUCUUCAAAGCAUGUUCCUUUGCAAAUUUGCAAGCUUGCUUUACAGCAAGAACAUCCAUACCAUCUACCUGUACAAAGUAAAUAUAUUUAUUCAUAAAAUUUCAAAAGGGUUGUUCAAUAAAAUACAAUAUGUAUAUGCUCAGCACGUGUAUAUGUAGAGAGCCAGACAUGCACACAACAGGCCACAAUCAUACCCAUAAAACAUUUCAGCUCUAUAGUGAAGACCUAUACAUCCAACUAAAUCACAUAUGUAUAUAGCAUGCACAAUUCCACGUAUUUAGGUAAGAAAAAUGGACACUUCACAAGAAAGGAGUCAAACCACUACAAUCCAAAAGGAACCAACACAAGAACAAGAAAA
rnacentral:lncRNA from 1 species